rnacentral:lncRNA from 1 species
AUAAAUGGGAAUUCAUUAAGUGCCCCUAAUUCCUGCAAUAACUCCUCUAUAUAUAUGAUCACCGUCAUGCCCAAUACUGGCAUCCAUCGACUAGAAAAACAACACUAGCUGCCCAGAAGAAGAGGAGUUUGCAAGAUCCCAUUCACCAUGGCACGCCCAAGGAACAACACACAUAUUUUGUUCUUGGUUGUAGCUCUUCUGGUCAUGUCUACCGCCUUCCUGGCCUGUAAUGCAGACAGUAAGAACAUACAUUUCUCCUGUACAAUUUUCUUUUUGAAACAAGGCAAAUACUUUGCUUAUUAUAUUGAUAUAGUAGGAGCAAAGGACAACCCGGCCGAAGCCAAAAACAAAAAAAGAAAAAGAAUAUAUGCUUCCAUCAUCUUCUUCUUUAUAGAUCUGUUCUUUCUUUCCCUUGGUACAAAACUGACUGUUCAUCUCUGUUCGUGCCGCCGUGCAGUCGACCCACCUACUGCAAUCCCGAUCCCACUCCAAGGUGCUGCUGCAUCUAUUAAGCGCAGGAAAUAACAAUGCCACUGUAGUGGCAGAUGAUGGAUGACAAAGCUAGCAAACUCAUUUUUAUGUGUCUAUCUCGUCUCAUGUAAAAAUCGGAACAGAUCAUGGUCCAGUCCUGUCCGUGAAUAAAGAUUAGAAAAGUUUCUUAAAUAGCCGUGUUUGCAGCAUUAAUAAGUCAACAUCUGGUAAACACAAGGGGACGAAAUGUUUUGACUAAAGACGCGAAAUUUACUCUUCGGAAGCGCUAGCGAUCAGACUACUGAUAGCUGGCUUCCCACAGACUAGUGCUGCAUUGUCGGAUUGAAAUUGCCUGGAAUGUCUGAUUGGAGAUGUGGGCCUAGGUAUUUUGCAUGUGGUGUUUCCGUCAAUAACUCCCAGAAAAGCGUGUCAGUGCACUAACUGGUUUUUUAAUUUUUACUGCUUCCUCCGUGCUUCAAAAUCUGGACUAUGUGAAACCGGUGCAUGUGGCAAACUGGGUGCAUCUGAUACAUUCUAUUCGUCAGUUUUUUUAUAGGACGCACACCAUGUUCUAUUAACAGUGGAAGCAUAUCAUGUCAAAAAAAAAAAACAGUGGAAGCAUACCAAUUCAUUUUGCUUCUAACGGCUAGCAAAUUUGCAUCCAGCAUCCAUAUCAAUUGUAUAUUGUUUCAAUAUCGUGAUAUUUGUGUCCAGCAUGGAAAAUCAUUUUGCAUCGCCUAAGAGCAAUGGGAGUAUCGGACACCUUGCUUCCAACAUUACAAAUACAUGCUUCCAUCAAACAUAUUUUUCUACCAUUGUUGCAUACUCUUUCAAAUUAACUAAAUUGGAACUUGUCUUCCAAAGAAUCUGGUAUCUGCAUCCAAAUAAAAAGGAAAUUGCUUCCAAGGAAUUUGGAAUUUGCAUCCAAAGAAAUAGUAUUUGCUUCCAUAGUUCGGAAUCUGAAUCGAAAGAAUGCAGAAUUUUCUUUCGUACAACAAAUUGAUGUUUGCUUCCAGAGAUCUAUACUGUGCUUGCAAAUCAUUCUGAUACUAUUUUCAUAUACUAGAGAAUUGCUUACAUACAUAUAUAGAUUUCUUUCCAUUAAAGGAAAAAAAUUGUAUCAAAUAACAUGAAGAAUGUUACCAUGGUGAUGAGCAUGUAUCUCUGUUAAAUAUAGAAUUUCCUUCUAUGGUUGUCAGGAAGCUCCACACCAUCUACCGCGGUGACACAAACUGCAAUCAAAAGUGUAAGGACCUUGUCCCUUGCUGUCUUCAUGUGGACAGAUGUGAUGCUUCUUACUAGCUUCUUACAUGCUUGUGCUUCCUACAAUCAGAGUACAUAAUCAUGUGACGAAGUUAGCAAAAUUUGAUGAACAAACCCAAGAGAGAUGGAGAAGAACAUGUACAACUGCUUCAGAUAAUGGAAAUAUUUCUCGCAUUGGCGAUUGACACACUAACCUUCAACUCCGAUCAGGUGCUCUUCGAAGAGAGGAAUACCGGAGUCCACUGCCUUACUGUUUGGACUUUUGGUGCUACUCCGGCAUGGGAGGGUAACAUGUCGAAGCAUCAAUCAAGGAGGGGAAGGUGGGAUCGACCCUCUAAUGCACCUCACACCUGCAAUGUUGCCCUGGGGACACAUCAAUGGACAGGAGGAGUAGUGGAACGGAUCUGGCCACUGAGGUCGGGAGGAGCAGGGGAAAAAUCCGAGCAGGUGAUGGGCGGCGCAGUCGGAGAGGAGGAGAGCAGGGGAGUCGAUGGCGAGCUAGGAACGUCAUGCGAGGGGUCUCACGAGGGAUAAAUUGGCAAGUGAUUAACGGGAGGGGAUUAAGCGGCAGAUGCUGGUAGUUACAACGAGGCGCUGUGACUUUUUUUUUCAAAAACGGGCAAAGGGAUAAUAUUUUGGCCGUGGAAUUCACCUGGAAUAGACGGCGGUCCAUCGGUCUGAUGCACUGCUUCUAAUCAGACUACAGAUUAUAAGUGUUUCCGAAUGACAAACUGAGUCCCAUGUUUGCUGAUGGAAUUGUGUGGGCGCCAACUGUUGGGUUAGGGAUGAUGUGGCUGUAAAUGGAAUCAGUUUUUUUUUUUUGCUUAGAUGGCAUGGUUGCUCAUGUGGACAGCUGUAGCGAGCCGACCUCAGACGGUCAAGUCUCUGUGCUUAAGUGUCAUCCCUGGAUUGGUAUGCUGACACAUACAGUACUCGAGGAUUUAUGUGACGCCCGGAUAAUUAAGCUACAGUGAUCCCCGCUAAUGAUGUCAUGUCACCUCGGUUACUGUUGAUAAACCUUAGAUAAUUCAAAACCGAAACAAGUUCAAAAUUUAAUUACAGGAAAACAAUAAAAAUUUUCAAACAUUAAAAUUAAAAUGUUCUAAAGGUGGCAAAUAAUGCUUAGGUAAUUAUGGUGGAGGAGCACAUUUUUAUAAAAUAAUUUAAAAAUCACUAAACUAAAUAAAACAGUGGCUUAUACAAAUAAUUAAAUGUAUUUUAUAAAUAUUAAAACAUUAAACUAUUUUAUUCGGUAUGAGGAAUUAAUGUGGCAAUAGAGUAUUUAUAAAUACUAAUUUAGGGGCUAGUGGUAUAUUUUAUAAAACUAAAAAUAAAUAACACAAAAGAAACUACAAAAAACAGAAACAAACAAAAAAAUAAAGAAAAGAAAGAAAGAACGAGAAAGGAAACCCCCCCAAACCACCCUGGGCCAUCUGGCCCAGUUAACCCACCUGGCCCAUCCGGCCGGACCGGCCCGCCUCCCCCUGCCGCCUCCCUUCCCUGUUCCCCCGACCUGGGUCGGAACAGGGGCACGUCCCCGCCGCACCCUCUCGCCAGCGACGACGAGGGGAUAAGGUCGCCACGCCGUGCCCCCUCGGUCUCUCCUCCCACUCGCCCCACUCUCCCCUCGGUCCCCGCACCUUCCCCCUCAGAUCCACCGCACCUCGCCCCCUCGUUCCCCACCGUAACCGAGCGCCACCGCCGCCAUGGCUCCGGCCUAGCCACGGCCACCGUGCCCACCUCGCCGCCCCACGGUGUCUCCAAGGGACGCCGUCGUCCGCUGCUUCGAUUGGUGCAGCCCGUUGGAGACCGGAGCCACCGCAACGCCCCCGACGCCGCCGUCUUCCUCCUCUGCCCCGACAAGCUUCGCCGCCGUUCUUCUUCAUCUCCGGCGACGCCCCUGCAGCUACUAACCCAUUCACCGGCCAUCGUGUGUGCCGCUAGGUGAGCUGCCUCCCCCCUCUGCCCUCUACCUCCCCUAGCUCGCGCUCUAGCUAGCUGCCGCCGUCGCACCCGAACGCCCCGCCGCGGAUCUCGUCGCCGACGCAUUUCCGGUGACCAAAUGGUCACAGGGCCGAGCCCUUUGUGCUCAGCGCGUCGCGCAGCUCCGCCCUAGCCUCCCCGUUAGCCCCGGAGCGCUCUGCCUCGUCGUCUUCGCCUCACGCCCGAACCACCUCGCCGCCGUCGAGCCCGUGACGCUCGACUCCGGCCACCACAGCCUCCGCAGCAACCCCCAUUCGCUCCGCCGUCGUCUUGCCGUUCGAAUGCGACUGGUCCCGCCCAUUUUGGUGGCCUGCAGACGAAACCCGCCACUCACCCGAGCCCCGACGUCCGCCUCUCUGCUCGUCGGCGACAGCUCCGGCGACCUCGGGACGAACCACCACCACCACUAGAUGCGCGUCUUCGCGCUUGUUCGAACGGGCCCAGGCACGCGCGGAUUCGUGCCCUGUGCACAAAUUCCGGCAAACUCCGGCGGGUCGGCGCCGUGCUUUUGGUCGUCGCGGCGAGAGCCGGCCCUGCUGACCUGGCACCGCGGGUCCCACCACCUGGGCCACUGACUGGUGGGCCCAGGGCCCCCUGUUGACCUGUUGACUGGGUCAACUGCUGACUGGGCCGCCCCUAUCUCACUGACCUAUAGGCCCCACUUCAAUAAACGAAAUAAAUGAAAAGAAUAAUUGGUUAAUUAAAUAGUUUAGCUAAUUAAUACACUAAUCUCUCACUGACUAUUGGGCCCACCCUUAUUUAACCUGUUCAAUUAGUCUAAAACCCUCCCUGUUAGUACCCUGUCAAUGACAUGUGGGUCCCACUGGACCCACCUGUCUGGUUUGACUGGUCAACCGACCAGUUGACCUGCUGACAUCACUCUGAUGUCAUGCUGACGUCAUCAUUCACUGUUUUGGAUAAUGUUGGAAUAAAAUAAAUAAUUAAAAUCAGAAAAUGAGUUAAAUCUUUAGAAAAUCAUAUCUUUUAAUCCGUAACUCGGAUGAAAAUACUUUCUACAUGAAAGUUGCUCAGAACGACGAGACGAAUCUAGAUACGCAGUCCGUUCGUCCGCUACACAUCCCUAGCAUAGCAAACACGCAACUUUCCCCCUCCGGUUCAUCUGUCCGAAAACGCGAAACACCGGGAAUACUUUCCCGGAUGUUUCCCCCCUUCGCCGGUAUCACCUAUCCCUGCGUUAGAUCACCUCUAGCACCACGUUUAUCAUGUUAUGAUUUGAUUUCUCUGUUAUUUAUUGUGUUCCCCCUCCGUUACUUCUUUCCGGUAGACUACGAGACCGACGCCGUUGAUGCCCCGGUCGGCUACGGUGUUGGCGACCCCUCAUUCUUGUCUGAGCAACCAGGCAAGCCCCCCCCCCUUGAUCACCAGAUAUCGCCUAUUCUUCUCUAUACUACUUGCAUUAGAGUAGUGUAGCAUGUUACUGCUUUUAGUUAAUCCUAUACUGCUGCAUAGCCUGCCCUUGCUACUACUGUUGUUACCUUUACCUGCUAUCCUACUGCUUAGUAUAGGAUGCUAGUGUUCCAUCAGUGGCCCUACAUUCUUGUCCGUCUGCCAUGCUAUACUACUGAGCCGUGAUCACUUCGGGAGGUGAUCACGGGCAUAUACUAUAUACUUUACACUGUUACAUUACCUGUGAUACUGUUCGGAGAUGGGGGCUGAAGGGGCAGGUGGCUCCAUCCCGGUAGAGGUGGGCCUGGGUUCCCGACGGCCCUCGACUAUUACUUUGUGGCGGAGCGACAGGGCAGGUUGAGGCCACCUAGGAGAAAGGUGGGCCUGGCCCUAGUCGGCGUUCGCGGAUACUUAACACGCUUAACGAGAUCUGGGUAUUUGAUCUGAGUCUGGCCUUUUGAUUUAUACGCACUAACCAUCUAUGCGGGAGUAGUUAUGGGUAUCCCUGCGUCGUGGUAUCAGCCGAAGCCUUCGUGACAUCAGCGACUGAGUGGCGCGCGCCGGAUUGGACUGGAACGCCACUAGGCUAGGUCUGCUUCCGGCCGCGUACGCAACGUGCAGGUGUGCUAAGGGCGAUGGGCCCAGACCCCUGUGCGCUUAGGUUUAGACCGGCGUGCUGACCUCUCUGUGUUGCCUAGGUGGGGCUACGACGUGUUGAUCUUCCGAGGCCGGGCAUGACCCAGGAAAGUGUGUCCGGCCAAAUGGGAUCGAGCGUGUUGGGGAAUGUGGUGCACCCCUGCAGGGAAGUUAAUCUAUUCGAAUAGCCGUGAUCUUCGGUAACAGGACGACUUGGAGUUGUACCUUGACCUUAUGACAACUAGAACCGGAUACUUAAUAAAACACACCCUUCCAUGUGCCAGAUACAACCGGUGAUCGCUCUCUCACAGGGCGACGAGGGAAGGAUCAUCGGUUAGGAUUAUGCUACACGAUGCUACUUGGAGGACUUCAGUCUACUCUCUUCUACAUGCUGCAAGAUGGAGGCUGCCAGAAGCGUAGUCUUCUAAAGGACUAGCUAUCCCCCUCUUAUUCCGGCUUUCUGCAGUCCAGUCCACAUAUAAUAGCCUUAUUCCAGUUGAUACCAACGCAUACAUAUGUAGUGUAGCUCCUUGCUUGCGAGUACUUUGGAUGAGUACUCACGGUUGCUUUCACCUUCUUUUCCCUCUAUCCCUUCUACCUGGUUGUCGCAACCAGAUGUUGGAGCCCAGGAGCCAGACGCCACCGUCGACGACGACUCCUACUACACCGGAGGUGCCUACUACUACAUGCUGCCCGCUGACGACGACCAGGAGUAGUUAGGAGGAUCCCAGGCAGGAGGCCUGUGCCUCUUUCGAUCUGUAUCCAAGUUUGUGCUAGCCUUCUUAAGGCAAACUUGUUUAACUUAUGUCUGUACUCAGAUAUUGUUGCUUCCGCUGACUCGUCUAUGAUCGAGCUCUUGUAUUCGAGCCCUCGAGGCCCCUGGCUUGUAAUAUGAUGCUUGUAUGACUUAUUUUAUUUGUAGAGUUGUGUUGUGAUAUCUUCCCGUGAGUCCCUGAUCUUGAUUGUACACGUUUGCGUGUAUGAUUAGUGUACGAUUAAAUCGGGGGCGUCACAAGUUGGUAUCAGAGCCGACUGCUUGUAGGAAUCCCCCUUCCACACUCCUUGGCCGAAGUCGAGUCUAGACAUUACAAAAACUUUUACUAACAUGGUUGUGCGGCUUACGGGCCCACAUCGCCAUCUGGGUGGUAUUAGGAUCUUUUACUCCUCGAUCCUUACUCUGGGGCUCUGGACUCUCUUCUAUUCAGGUUAAAUGAAUUAUGCUAAAAUCUAACUCUAGGUUCUCGUUACCACUUCCUGCCGGAGAGCCCUUUAAUACGGAUGAUCGACUGCUUCAACGGAAGAUUCUGACAAUACGCUCGGAUGUUCCCUCGAUACUUUGUGCCAUCCCUCUUGCGAUUCCCCUUCCAUCGUAAACCCUUAAGGAUAACUACUUACAGUUGUUAUUCUUACAUUCAUCCCCAGUUGGUCUUGUUAUUACAAGAUACCCCGAAACACUCGUCGUUGUUUCGAUAAUCCUUUGAGCUCACUGCCUCGCAGUUCUUGACACAUGAAUAUCCCUACGGAUAAUUCUCGCACUUAUUGAGUAUCCGCUCAUCCCCCAGUUGUUCAUGUGUUUCACAAUGGUCAUCGACAUACUAUUCGAUCCUCCAAAAAUCCUUAGUAGCUUAUUACUGUGCAAAUACUUGUCUGCUUGCAUUAUGGUUGCGUUCCAAAUGUCUAGCAAUAUUCAUUAGUAUCCCUUGUCAUCAUCAUUUUCAUCCUUUAAUUUGAUGCGAGGUGAAUGCUCGCAAUCCUCAGUCGAAAUCCUAGAAUUCAUCCUUCCGGAUCAGACGUCAUUUUAAACAUGAACUAGUUCUUGACCAACCGAAUUGCCGUCGGUUGUACCCCUAAGUCUACUCAACUUAUCCAUCCUUAAUCAGAGCGUUUACUUCUGAUCCCUUGAUUUAGAAAUCACAAUUCCUUUGCAUUUGAGAUUUAAAUUAAUUAGUCAAUGGUUUCUAUAAUCGGAUACCUUGCAUUCCUUUUCCCUUCUGAUUGAGUAUCGAUACUCACAUCAGGUUCCUUGUGGUCCGCGAGACCAUUUGCUUGGUUAUUAUCCGACAAUGUCCUUCACAACCAAAAUUCUUGUGAGUUCUUUACCUGAUACAUAAUGCCCUUGGUAAAUUGUAUCAUUUGCUUGGCCAACCAUGCUCUGCUUUCGAGCUAGUCGUAUUUACUAUUGAAGCUUGUGGUAUAUGUUUCCACGAUACCCCUGACGGGUUGAACCUAUGCCUUCCUUUAUAUGUGUGAACUCGGAAGUUUUCACGAGUCAUACUCAUCUGGUAUUUCGCUAGAUAAAACUUUCAGCAUAAUGCCUUUAUCAAAGCGAAAAGUGAAUGGAAGGUUAUACAUUGAAGAAGUGGGAGUCGACCUUGAACUUUGUGUUCAUGCCCAUGGACACGAUGUGGAUCUUAUCAUUAAAGCUUCUCUUAAGUUAAUUAUUCCUGGGUAUAAGUUCUUAUAUCUGGGAUCUGGCCUUUUUCAAUCGUGGUUCCGACCAUGUUCUCCUUUAAAUAACAUUUCUUGUGCAAGUUUAAGCACUUGUCUUCUACGGGGUAAUACCCCAGUCCAACCUCUACUUUGAUUUGUCGUCGAGUAUUACCCCCUGGUAUCUCAAGAUUAUCACGGAACUGCAUAACUUCUUAUGGGUUCUUCAACCAAGUGCUACAUUCUCACUGGUUCCAAUUUUUCACGGGCCCUGAGUUAUUAAACACUCGAGAACACCGUUAAGUGAACCGAUUCCGCACUACGAUUCAAUAACUCUAAGUAAUUUUCGUUGCUUAUGGUUUAAUAACACUUCAAGUUAUUCCUAGCCUGAUCGGCUAUAUCAUUAUCGUGCAACUUUUUAACUGUGCUACCUUGUCCUUCUUCCUGGAGCACAACUUUUUGACGAUGAGCUAAGCUUACAUCGACUUUCCUCGUCUUAUCAUUUCGCCUUGUACAACAAGCUUGAUUUCGAGUUUGUGACGUAACCGUGGUUCCAAUAACCUUUCGCUUCAUCAUUCCUUUGACUAGAAGUCAUCGCCGAUCGAUAACACCUUCAUGAAAUCUCUCGACAAUUGUGUCGUGAUCAUCAUCAACAUUUUGGUCUCGUCCAAGAUAUCAAUUGAAUUCAUGAUGAGAAAUACCAUCCUUGCCCUCGAUGAAUUUCAUUGUUCGUGCGACCCAGCCCAUAUUUCGGGUGCACUUUUCAACCAAUGUUUAAAAGGGUAUGUUUCCCCGAGCAUACCUCAUUGUAUCAUUUUAACUGACAAUUGUCAUCCCCUUGUUCACCUAAUUGUGGAAAUCCAUCCUUUGGAAUUCUUGAUGAUUUGUCGCUGAGUACAUCAGCCACCUCCUCAUCCUCUCCUUGAUUUACUGAUGAACUCUUGUUUUGGAACUCGCUUCCAUAGUUCUUUUCCCGAGGAUCUUACAUUUUCAUCUCGUCAAUAUCUGUUGCACCUUUUCUUCUCUGGCAUCCCGAGUCUGAGGUAUCCUGACACCAAUCGGACCUGAACCUCGGUCAGAUAUAAUGGUUGGAACAUAUUCCCAAGAAUUAUAACAUUGGUCUUUAACCCGAUAAGGUGAUGUCAUGCCUAGCACACCUGGCCGGAGAACCUAUUGUUAUAGUUUUCUUUUUAGCAAAGUUAUCCAUUUUUUUAUGAGAAAAUUGUAAGACUAAUUCUAUAAGUUGUUCCUGGUGAAUCCUUAGAGUAUCCAAACUCUGAUCUUUAUCCAGUGACCAUGUCAAUGCUAUCUCGAAGCAUAUCUGUGAUACUCCAAUUUUCAACAAGAACAUUUGAAGCCCAAUGCUAAAUGUUUCCUGCUCAAUUACCCAAACACCAUUGUAUGGGUAAUGUCAUGAAAUUACUCUCCCCUUACCUAAAAGAGUUUUCUACAUUAUAUCCUGUCAUGGAUAUCAUACUCUGCUUGUCCUUGGGAAGGGUAUACCCCUGGUAUAUGUGACAAACACAUUAUCCUUUCCACUGUUCUGUUUGAUCCGAUGAUCACAUUUUCCUUCCAUUGGUUUGUUUAAACCUCCUUGUGAUCUAUAAUAUAUAAGCAGUAAUAUUUCCCUGCUUAUGUAAACACCUCGUUGUACCUCUCUGUCCGCAAGACCCUGUCGCGAUUGUUGAUGACAUUCGAUAACCACCGAUGGACGAGAACUUUGCCUAUUGGUCCGCCUCGUUUCAACGAGCAGGAGAAUGGUUCUCUUCAUCCCUCACCCUUGGUAUCGAUGUUAUUGCCAACAUAACUGACAGGCUACCCUCUGACAUGCCUUGCUAUUGUGACCGUGCAAGAUGUCAGACCCUUUCUACUUUAAUACACAUAGUGGGCCCAUAACCCACAGUUCCACAGGAUCCAAACCUGACUCUCCUAUACACCCUGUUGCCAAAGUUAUUCCUAGAGCUUGACUUCGUAUGUAGUUCGAGCCACCUGCCUAGUGAUCUAUUCUGGUAUCAGACGCAAUACUUAUUCCCAUUGCUCUGAAUCCCUUUCACACUUUGUUUCAGGCACCGAACGAUUGCCUACCCGCUCAAAACUUCUCAUGAUACCUUCUUACUUUGCUCUCGAUAUUUUUGAAAGUUUCAAUUUGAGAGUUACUUUCGCCACCUUCCUCGAUGUUAUCGACCAGAUAGUCUACCUGGUAGAGGUCUGUUCUCCCAGAAUGUCCACCCAAUAUUCUUUAGUAAGUACGACGGAGUCCUGUAGAAAGGACACCGACUUCAUCGUGAUGACUGAAGCACAGGAAUGAACCUCUUCGAGAAGAGCAACCAACACCGAGAAGGUCCGUUAGAAUUUCGUAAACAAUCUCUGCCCCUUACUCCCCUCCUAAAUCUCGGGACGAGAUUUCUUGUAGUGGAGGAGAAUUGUGACGCCCGGAUAAUUAAGCUACAGUGAUCCCCCGCUAAUGAUGCCACGUCACCUCGGUUACUGUUGAUAAACCCUAGAUUAUUCCAAACCGAAACAAGUUCAAAAUUUAAUUACAGGAAAACAAUAAAAGUUUUCAAACAUUAAAAUUAAAAUGUUCUAAAGGUGGCAAAUAAUGCUUAGGUAAUUAUGGUGGAGGAGCACAUUUUUAUAAAAUAAUUUAAAAAGCACUAAACUAAAUAAAACAGUGGCUUAUACAAAUAAUUAAAUGCAUUUUAUAAAUAUUAAAACAUUAAAGUAUUUUAUUCGGUAUGAGGAAUUAAUGUGGCAAUAGAGUAUUUAUAAAUACUAAUUUAGGGGCUAGUGGUAUAUUUUAUAAAACUAAAAAUAAAUAACACAAAAGAAACUACAAAAAACAGAAACAAACAAAAAAAAUAAAGAAAAGAAAGAAAGAAAGAGAAACGAAACCCCCCCAAACCCCCCUGGGCCAUCUGGCCCAGUUAACCCACCUGGCCCAUCCGGCCGGACCGGCCCGCCUCCCCCUGCCGCCUCCCUUCCCUGUUCCCCCGACCUGGGUCGGAACAGGGGCACGUCCCCGCCGCACCCUCUCGCCGGUGACGACUAGGGGAUAAGGUCGCCACGCCGCGCCCCCUCAGUCUCUCCUCCCACUCGCCCCACUCUCCCCUCGGUCCCCGCACCUUNNNNNNNNNNNNNNNNNNNNNNNNNNNNNNNNNNNNNNNNNNNNNNNNNNNNNNNNNNNNNNNNNNNNNNNNNNNNNNNNNNNNNNNNNNNNNNNNNNNNNNNNNNNNNNNNNNNNNNNNNNNNNNNNNNNNNNNNNNNNNNNNNNNNNNNNNNNNNNNNNNNNNNNNNNNNNNNNNNNNNNNNNNNNNNNNCACCGCACCUCGCCCCCUCGUUCCCCACCGUAACCGAGCGCCACCGCCGCCAUGGCUCCGGCCUAGCCACGGCCACCGUGCCCACCUCGCCGCCCCACGGUGUCUCCAAGGGACGCCGUCGUCCGCUGCUUCAACUGGUGCAGCCCGUUGGAGACCGGAGCCACCGCAACACCCCCGACGCCGCCGUCUUCCUCCUCUGCCCCGACAAGCUUCGCCGCCGUUCUUCUUCAUCUCCGGCGACGCCCCUGCAACUACUAACCCAUUCACCGGCCAUCGUGCGUGCCGCAACGUGAGCUGCCUCCCCCCUCUGCCCUCUACCUCCCCUAGCUCGUGCUCUAGCUAGCUGACGCCGUAGCACCCAAACGCCCCGCCGCGGAUCUCGUCGCCGACGCGUUUCCGGUGACCAAAUGGUCACGGGGCCGAGACCUUUGUGCUCAGCGCGUCGCGCAGCUCCGUCCUAGCCUCCCCGUUAGCACCGGAGCGCUCUGCCUCGCCAUCUUCGCCUCACGCCCGAACCACCACGCCGCCGUCGAGCCCGUGGCGCUCGACUCCGGCCACCACAGCCUCCGUAGCCACCCCCAUUUGCUCCGCCGUCGUCUUGCCGUUCGAAUGCGACUGGUCCCGCCCAUUUUGGUGGCCUGCAGACGAAACCCGCCACUCACCCGAGCCCCAACGUCCGCCUCUCUGCUCGCCGGCGACAGCUCCGGCGACCUCGGGACGAACCACCACCAUCACUAGAUACGCGUCUUCGCGCUUGUUCGAACGGGCCCAGGCACGCGCGGAUUCGUGCCCUGUGCACAAAUUCCGGCGAACUCCGGCGGGUCGGCGCCGUGCUUUUGGUCGCCAGCGGCGAGAGCCGGCCCUGCUGACCUGGCACCGCGGGUCCCACCACCUGGGCCACUGACUGAUUGGCCCAGGGCCCCCUGUUGACCUGUUGACUAGGUCAACUGCUGACUGGGCCGCCCCUAUCUCACUGACCUAUAGGCCCCACUUCAAUAAACGAAAUAAAUGAAAAGAAUAAUUGGUUAAUUAAAUAGUUUAGCUAAUUAAUACACUAAUCUCUCACUGACUACUGGGGCACACCCUUAUUUAACAUGUUUAAUUAGUCUAAAACCCUCCCUAUUAGUACCCUGUCAAUGACAUGUGGGUCCCACUGGACCCACCUGUCUGGUUUGACUGGUCAACCGACCAGUUGACCUGUUGACAUCACUCUGAUGUCAUGCUGAUGUCAUCAUUCACUGUUUUGGAUAAUGUUGGAAUAAAAUAAAUAAUUAAAAUCAGAAAAUGAGUUAAAUCUUUAGAAAAUCAUAUCUUUUAAUCCAUAACUCGGAUGAAAAUACUUUCUACAUGAAAGUUGCUCAGAACGACGAGAUGAAUCCAGAUACGCAGUCCGUUCGUCCGCUACACAUCCCUAGCAUAGCAAACACGCAACUUUCCCCCUUCGGUUCAUAUGUCCGAAAACGCGAAACACCGGGAAUACUUUCCCGGAUGUUUCCCCCCUUCGCCGGUAUCACCUAUCCCUGCGUUAGAUCACCUCUAGCACCACGUUUAUCAUGUUAUGAUUUGAUUUCGCUGUUAUUUAUUGUGUUCCCCCUCCGUUACUUCUUUCCGGUAGACUACAAGACCAACGCCGUUGAUGCCCCGGUCGGCUACGGUGUUGACGACCCCUCAUUCUUGUCUGAGCAACCAGGCAAGCCCCCCCCCCCUUGAUCACCAGAUAUCGCCUAUUCUUCUCUAUACUACUUGCAUUAGAGUAGUGUAGCAUGUUACUGCUUUCAGUUAAUCCUAUACUGCUGCAUAGCCUGCCCUUGCUACUACUGUUGUUACCUUUACCUGCUAUCCUACUACUUAGUAUAGGAUGCUAGUGUUCCAUCAGUGGCCCUACAUUCUUGUCCGUCUGCCAUGCUAUACUACUGAGCCGUGAUCACUUCGGGAGGUGAUCACGGGCAUAUACUAUAUACUUUACACUGUUACAUUACCUGUGAUACUGUUCGGAGAUGGGGGCUGAAGGGGCAAGUGGCUCCAUCCCGGUAGAGGUGGGCCUGGGUUCCCGACGGCCCCCGACUGUUACUUUGUGGCAGAGCGACAGGGCAGGUUGAGGCCACCUAGGAGAGAGGUGGGCCUGGCCCUGGUCGGCGUUCGCGGAUACUUAACACGCUUAACGAGAUCUGGGUAUUUGAUCUGAGUCUGGCCUUUUGGUCUAUAUGCACUAACCAUCUACGCGGGAGUAGUUAUGGGUAUCCCGGUGUCGUGGUAUCAGCCGAAGCCUUCGUGACGUCAGCGACUGAGUGGCACGCGCCGGAUUGGACUGGAACGCCACUAGGCUAGGUCUGCUUCCGACCGCGUACGCAACGUGCAGGUGUGCUAAGGGCGAUGGGCCCAGACCCCUGUGCGCUUAGGUUUAGACCGGCGUGCUGACCUCUCUGUUGUGCCUAGGUGGGGCUGCGACGUGUUGAUCUUCCGAGGCCGGGCAUGACCCAGGAAAGUGUGUCCGGCCAAAUGGGAUGGAGCGUGUUGGGGAAUGUGGUGCACCCCUGCAGGGAAGUUAUUCUAUUCGAAUAGCCGUGAUCUUCGGUAACAGGACGACUUGGAGUUGUACCUUGACCUUAUGACAACUAGAACCGGAUACUUAAUAAAACACACCCUUCCAAGUGCCAGAUACAACCGGUGAUCGCUCUCUCACAGGGCAACGAGGGGAGGAUCAUCGGUUAGGAUUAUGCUACACGAUGCUACUUGGAGGACUUUAGUCUACUCUCUUCUACAUGCUGCAAGAUGGAGGCUGCCAGAAGCGUAGUCUUCUAAAGGACUAGCUAUCCCCCUCUUAUUCCGGCUUUCUGCAGUCCAGUCCACAUAUAAUAGCCUUAUUCCAGUUGAUACCAACGCAUACAUAUGUAGUGUAGCUCCUUGCUUGCGAGUACUUUGGAUGAGUACUCACGGUUGCUUUCACAUUGUUUUCCCUCUAUCCCUUCUACCUGGUUGUCGCAACCAAAUGUUGGAGCCCAGGAGUCAGACGCCACCGUCGACGACGACUCCUACUACACCGGAGGUGCCUACUACUACGUGCUGCCCGCUGACGACGACCAGGAGUAGUUAGGAGGAUCCCAGGCAGGAGGCCUGCGCCUCUUUCGAUCUGUAUCCCAGUUUGUGCUAGCCUUCUUAAGGCAAACUUGUUUAACUUAUGUCUGUACUCAGAUAUUGUUGCUUCCGUUGACUCGUCUAUGAUCGAGCUCUUGUAUUCGAGCCCUCGAGGCCCCUGGCUUGUAAUAUGAUACUUGUAUGACUUAUUUUAUUUGUAGAAUUGUGUUGUGAUAUCUUCCCGUGAGUCCCUGAUCUUGAUCGUACACGUUUGCGUGUAUGAUUAGUGUACAAUUAAAUUGGGGGCGUCACAAUUUAUAACAGAGGGAAAUCACAUGUAUAAAAUAACGUAUAUACUAUUACCUCAAUCCAAAUAGCGGAAGCAACAACAAGGUUGUGGAUUCUCAUCAACACCAACGGCAAAGUUGAGUGUAGAAAUCGUAAUCCUAACGUAUCACUUACUCGUCGUAAGAAUACUGCAACAUGAGACGUUGCAGCCACAAAGGGUCAGUACAUUGAAUGUACUGGCAAAUUCACACCAUAGGAUAAUGAUGAAUAAUAGCUAUCACUACAUGCAUAUAUGGCUGGUGGAAAAGCUCUAUGGUUAUAAUGUUUUUGCGAAAAGCCAAUUUUUUCCUACUGCAAAGGAAUAUAUUUUUAUUUAACUACAAAUUUAUUGAAAAACAUUGAGAAUGGUAAAUCCCCAUAUCAAUCCCAAUUAAAAGUAACCCAACAAAUUAAUUAUAGAGUGAUGAGAUCCAUAGGAUAAUCCAAGAAUCAGAUACUCAAGAUGUCCAUAACCGGGGAAACGGCUAAUCAUGAUUAGUUUGCACACUCUGCAGAGGUUUGCACACUUUUCCCCACAAGACUCGAUCUCCUCCGUUGGAUUUCUCCACUACAGGGUGUUUGAGAAACGGAUGACCAAGACACAGUCUUUCAGAAGCAUUAACUCUUUACUUUGGAUGGACCGUUACACCUACUUUCCCUCUACAUUUGCUAGCCCACCACUGAAAGAGGUCACACAACAUACUCAACUAUGCCAGAGCCCAUAAUGGCUUGUGGCUGCACACGGAAGUUUCUAACAUGAAUAAUCUUAUGAUCCCUUUGAGCCUGGGUGGCGUACCGUAGGAGGAUCACACGGUAUAUCCCCGGGAUCUCCUAGGACAACACUGGAUUCCCCAGGUGCCCAAACAAGCAAUCCACUCAGAUGUGCAUUAAUGUUGUCACCUUAAGUUGAACUAUUAAUUAACAAUCUCACAUCUGUCAUGGAUUCACUCAUCCAAACCACGUCUACGAGCAUAGCAUGGCAAUACAAGUUGAACGUAAUAGUAACUCCCAAGGUUUGAAUGCAGGACAAUAGGUUCUACCUUAUCAACUACUUCCCAAUACCCACAUGUUAUCAAGUCCUAACCAUGCAAUGUUUGAGAAUUCAAACUAAUGCAUAAAAAUUGGGUAAUAAGGGGAUAUGAUCAAAGUGUGAACUUGCCUUGUACUGUUGAUUAAGAUGAUUCGCACUCAUAACUCCUAAUAGUUCUACUCGUCACACUCCAGUCAAUCUAUCGUGAGCAAGCAAUAGUAACCACACAUAAGCAAUCACUCAAAGGAUCGGAUAGAAUGAAGCAAACAAUUUCCAACAGUACCAAAAUUAUGUGAAUUUGGCCUUAUCAGAAAGUUUAGGUCAAGAGCUUCGAUUUGCAAAAAGAAUCAACUCAAACAGAGUUAUAAAACUUGAGUUAUGAUCAAAAGAAGUUUGAAUAUGAAUCUGAACAAAUUUCGAAAUUUGAAAAUUUCAAAAGAUUGAUGUGACAGGUUCACUGGAUAGGUGAAAACAAGACAAAACUAUAGGCGCUGGUUUCAUCUAAUUUGGAUGAACGAGUAAUAAGUUAUGGCUAUUUGAAAAAUCAAGGCCAAGCUGUUUUACGGAGAAAAAUAUAUAAAUACGUAGACCAAUUGAUAAUCUAAUUAUUUUUCCGUACUAGUCUAGAAAUAAUAAGCUACGAAAGUAUAUAUGAAGAAAGAUACUUUUAUAAGAUAGAGAAAAAAUGACUUUGGAAAGAAGAGACAACUUUUAAAAGUACCGCCGGAGAGGAGAAAUACAUUUUUCUUUAGUGAAUCUAGUCAAACCAAAAAAAUUGAUUUAACCCUAAUCGGAUGAUUUUUGAAGCUCUAUGGGUCUAUAUUUAUAGGUGGAAAAGAGAUUUAGGGGUCAAAGGCUAGGCAAUGUGGGACUAAAACUAUACGUACGCAGAAGAAAUUUGAAAAAGAUCGCAUGGGCUAAAAGUUUGGCCCGGCCGCGGGCUGUAGUUUUUUUGAAGCAAAAUUCGGUCAAAGUAAAAAAAAGGCUGGCUGGGCCUGGCCCAUGUAGGAGAGAAGAAAAAAAAUAAAAUGAUGGGGCGCCUGAUGCCACUAUGCAGCGCGCGUGGGCGGCAAAUAAUUAUGGGCCGCACGUAUCGUUUUUUCUAAAUAGAAACAGAAAGUAAAACUGAAUAACGAAAAUAAAAUAAAACUUUUAUAUAGGCAUAUUAUAUAUCAAAAUUUUCAUAAAAAUCUUUUCUACGACAUGGACAUUUUACCAAAGUCAAAUAAAAUCCACACAAAUUUAUAUAAAGCAAAGAGUGCUACUGCUCUAAUAAAAUCCAAUAAAAAUCAUUUCAAAAAUACCAAAAUGAUUUCUAAUUUAUUACUCUCCAAUUUUAUGUUGUAGGGAAUCAUGUUACCCUAUUAAGCAUAUAUUUUAUUUUUGGAGAAAAAUAAUUUGAAUAAAACCCAAAUAACUCCAAAUUGAAAAUAAUUUUCAAAAGGACUUUAAAUUUGAUCCUUUUAAACUCCCAACUCAUAUUUCAUAUAUUUUUAAUAAGUCAUUUUAUCUUCUCUAAUGAAAAUCAUUGAGUUGCUUGAAGUUUUCUAAAUUUGAAAGCCUUUCCAAAUAAAAUUCAAAUCUUUUUGAAACCCUUUACAUUUAUUUAAAAUGAAAGAAGUCAUGUCAUCUUCUCUCUAGGGUUUUGUGAUGAAAAGAAUUUGAAUUCAUGGAGAUUAAAAUGCAAAAAGAAAAUUGUGGGAAAGUCCUUUUAUUCCCUCUCAUUUAACUUUCAAAAAGUUUCGAAUUUCACACAAUCAAUCAAAUAAGCAAUCAAAUCUAUCUAUUUAAUAUAACAUUCCAAAAUUUAGAAUUUUGGGAUGUUACAAACCUGCCACCCUUAAAAUGAAUCUUGUCCUCAAGAUUCGGAGAGGCUACAAAGAAAUAGGUUAGGUUUGGGGGUCUUCUUAAAAUCCAUUGAUCGUCUCCGGGGUCUCGGGUGCUGCCACCCUUAGAAGCAUUGUUACAGUUCCAUCAAAACUCAUAUACUCCAUCCUUAUCUUUGACAGUGUCGGUCUUCUCGGAUUAUCGGAAAAAUUCCUUCUCUGGGCUCUUCCGGUAGUGGCAUAACCUUUACUGUAAUUCUUCCGUCUUUAUAUAUGGGACUGGGUCUUCUUAGCUGACGGGUCUGGCGCCAAUUCUAAACAACUAUCGAUAUCUCAUGGUGGUCAACAAUUUAUGGUUUCUCCCGUAGGAAAUGGGUUUGGGCUUCAUUCUCACCGUAUAACCUACGAUUGGCAACAACUGUUGUGUACAAUGGAAAAAUUCUUAUACCAUUCUAAGGUUUAAUCAAGGUUUAAUUUCGUCGUCACUCUACUAUGGGUAAGUCACUCAGAUUUACCAUCCCAUAUAGCAAGGCGAAUAAUAGAGUAAGUCGGUAUGGUGAUCAAUCCAUCCCGCACCCAAAUCAUUACCGUGUAUAUGGUUUAGUGAAUCUCAUUCUAUCACUCGGUCAUCCUCACAAGCAUUGCAGAAUUUCUCUUGUCGACGAACUAAGUUCGGAUAUAUCCAUUGAUUCUGCAAGCCAAACAAACAUCUAUCGUUCCUUCACCACUCUCAGGUUUUGCGUAAACUCCUAUAAGAUCGUCGGUGGGUAAGGUCGAAAUCUCAUCCAGGGUUUUUCCUUCAGCAAGAGUGUGCUUGCUUCUUGGUAGGUCCUGGGGCCUAUGGGUUAUGGCCCAUCUCAUCACUUGCAAACCUUGAAAUCCUCAUCGGGGCAACUGAUCAUUAACCCACCAUCCAGCUUCCUAGCAUACUUAAAAUCCUUCCAAUUGUACUGUCUCCCUUCCUUAUAUUGGUACCAAACUCAAACGUAAUUACUCCGACUCAUCAUGGAGUUACAAUUGCUCCAUAUUACCAACCUUCUACCUCCUUUACAUCCAAUAAUACUCCAUACCUUCAUACUCUUGGGGUAUCCCACAUAUCGAGACAAAACUAGGACUUAUCUUGUCCAACGUCCACUCCGUGGAAUAUCCUUAUCUUUUCCAAGGGUCAAAUCUCCUCACAGGGUACUACCACCCUUGAAAUGCACCAAUAUCAUCCAUAGACCAUAUUUCUCAUAUCCUCGAAAAUGGUCAAAAAUCCCUCUUCACAGAGUAACAACUCAUAAAAUCCAUAUCAGUACCAACGAUGCUAACUUUAUUGAUUCUCCAAUUAUUGCAAUCUCCUGCAUUUCCAUUACAUGCCUCAACUCAACACCUCACUAUAAAGGAAAUGUUCCCACUGCUACUACUAUAUUUCUCACAGACACAACUAAUUAUCACAAGUCUCCUUCUCCUUGGGACAAUCUCUGGCAAAGUGCCCUGCUUCAUCACAACGAAAACAUAUUACUUCUGACAAGUCCCGAGGUUUCCUUUUUUUGGGCAACUGCUAAAGUAGUGCCCUGACUCCUUGCACCUGAAACGGGUGAUAUGACUUAGGUCCUUCCUGGAAUCCAAUCUACUUCUCUUCCUGGACUUUUCCGUGCCAAUCAGGGCUUCCAUUUCCUGUGGGUCAUACUCUACUUCCUCUGUCGGGAAUUAAAGUAGAUCCCCAUUCAAACAAUUUUGGGAGAUGUGUUCUUCUUCUCCACGUGAAUAGCAAAACUUAGUGCAGGGUUUAAUCGGGUCUUCUUUAGGUGUGUCCUCCACCUCUUCCUUCAUCACCAGUUCUUCUAAAAUUUACAUGAGGGCUCUUUUCAUUGCUUCCUUCUUCUACUGGAUGGUUCUUCGAACCAUGUGGUAAAUGCGACACUGAGCAGGGUAGUGGGUAGUCCCUUCACACAAGAAUCAAGUGAUCUGCCUAGUUGGCAUUCUUCAGCUGGGUGGCUUUCUUCACAAUGAGGGCAUUCCCCCUUGUGUUAUUUAUGGGUGUGUCCUACUUCUCCAUGGAGCUUGCAUGCACAAGGUUUAUUCAUAUCAUUUCCAUAAGGCUUCAAUUUCUGGGACACAAGACGAGACGUUAGCAAAGUCAACUUAAAUUCCUUCCAAAUGGUUACUCCUUGCCAUCCAUUGAGGGUUUGGUACAUCCUCCACCUAGUAGCAACACCUCUUUCAAAGCACUUAAAACAUAUUGGGCCAUAUCCUUUCCGGCUAUAGGGUUAUUCUCCAUGUGAUCCUCCAUGUUCUGAAUCCAUCGGUCUGUCUCCAAUUGACUUAUUCGUCCCGGAAACACAAGUUCAUCUCCAUUCACCCUCUAUUUGGUCAAUGGGUUUGGGGUGGGAUAAGAGAGAUAGAGAGGGAUACACACGAUGCAAACAAUGGUUUUGAAAAGACAGAUUUUAUUUGUGGCUGUCGAAAAAACAUCAAACAAUGUGAUCCUCCAUUCACCCUCACAAACGUUGCAUCUAACGUAGGUAUAUAACAGGGGUUUGGGUCUUCUAAAGGUCAAUAAAUCUUCAAAGUCAUCAAACUCUUCAGGUCUUAUUCAUGUCUCCGAUGGCUUCUUCCGAUCGUGCUUGUCCUUCUCAAGUUAUUUUGCCAUGUCAUUUCUAUUGACACGAAGUCUCUCGUGGCGUCCUUCAAUAUUUCUGGAGUUGCGUUCCAAACUUCUGGGUUUCAACAUCCUUGGCAUGAAUCAUGCUCCUACUGUUCUUCAGUUCCGAAUGAGUUCUCUGAUAUCUCGAGGUUUUGCUCCUCCAGCUUGGCUACUUCCAGCUUCUGGGUCCUAAGUUCUUCAUGGAAUGCUUUAUUGUCAAAUACGGCUUCUUGCAAGUCCAUCUUAAAAUCCUUGAUGUAACACUCCAGAUCCUGGUGAUACACCAACUAAGAUUAAAACUUCCUCUCUUGCUGAUAGGUGCUCCAUCAGCCUUCUACCAUCCAAUCCUUCCGAAGAAAUGCAUGCUUAACUCAGCACGGUGUCCAUAGCAUAAGCGGGCAAUAACAUCAUGGAUAGCCGUGUUUCUUCCCUUGUCAUUGCCAUGAGUUGUCAUUCAAUAGUUUAUAUCUCCUGCAUUAGGGUUUUCUUGACAAAAACUUUGAGUUCUAAUGCUCCAUGUUCCGGUCUUUCUCUGAUACACCUUGAUCUCGGGUAUUGACAGCUUCCAUAGUCUGCCAAGUUCCACAAGGGUAGCCUUCCUAGGUUCUACAAAUCUGGGAAUUCUUCAGAGCUUUCAAAUCCUCCUAGUCUUCGGAGUCUUCAACCGUUGUAGUUUCCAUUAUUAUAAUGCACGGAAAAAAAUCUUCUUCAUUCCAAAGUGGUCUUAGUUGUCCGAUAUCUUGUACUUCUUGGAGUGGUCUCAUCAGUCGAAUCUUCGUGUAGUCAAAAGGGGAAAGGGGUAUGGUCUCACUUAAUAGGGAAUAUUUGAAUAAGCUCAGAAGAGAAGAGAGGUAAAAGAUCUUUUUGAAAAUGAAGUUUGUAGAGAAAAUCUUUCCUAUGGGCUUGUCAGUUUCUAAGGGUCACGUACUAUGAUGACCCACAAGUAUAGGGGAUCUAUCGUAGUCCUUUCGAUAAGUAAGAGUGUCGAACCCAACAAGGAGCAGAAGGAAAUGAUAAGCGGUUUUCAGCAAGGUAUUCUCUGCAAGUACUGAAAUAAGUGGUAACAGAUAGGUUGGUGAUAAGGUAAAUUGUAAUGAGCAACAAGUAACAAAAGUAAAUAAGGUGCAGUAAGGUGGCCCAAUCCUUUUUGUAGCAAAGGACAAGCCGGAACAAACUCUUAUAAUAGGAAAAGUGCUCCCGAGGACACAUGGGAAUAUCAUCAAGCUAGCUUUCAUCACGUUCAUAUGAUUCGCGUUCGGUACUUUGAUAAUUUGAUAUGUGGGUCGACCGGUGCUUGGGUGAUGUUCUUACUUGAACAAGCGUCCCACUUAUGAUUAACCUCUAUUGCAAGCAUCCGCAACUACAACAAAAGUAUUAAGGUAAACCUAACCAUAGCAUGAAACAAGUGGAUCCAAAUCAGCCCCUUACGAAGCAACGCAUAAACUAGGGUUUAAGCUUCUGUCACUCUAGCAACCCAUCAUCUACUUAUUGCUUCCCAAUGCCUUCCUCUAGGCCCAAAUAAUGGUGAAGUGUUAUGUAGUCGACGUUCACAUAACACCACUAGAGGCUAGACAACAUACAUCUUAUCAAAAUAUCAAACGAAUACCAAAUUCACAUGACUACUAAUAGCAAGACUUCUCCCUUAUCCUCAGGAACAAACGUAAUUACUCACAAAGCAUAUUCAUGUUCAUAAUCAGAGGGGUAAUAAUAUGCAUAAAGGAUCUGAACAUAUGAUCUUCCACCAAAUAAACCAAUUAGCAUCAACUACAAGGAGUAAUCAACACUACUAGCAACCUACUAGCACCAAUCCCGGACUUUGAGAAAAGAAUUGGAUACAAGAGAUGAACUAGGGUUUGGAGAUGAGAUGGUGCUGGUGAAGAUGUUGAUGGAGAUUGCCCUCUCCCGAUGAGAGGAGCGUUGGUGAUGAUGAUGGUGAUGAUUUCCCCCUCUCGAAGGGAAGUAUCCCUGGCAGAACAGCUCUGCUGGAGCUCUAGAUUGCUUCCGCCUCAGUUCCGCCUCAUGGCGGCGGAGUCUCGUCCCGAAAGGUUGCUUCUGAUUUUUUUUCUCAUCGAAAGACUUCAUAUAGCAGAAGAUGGACGUCGGAGACCCACCAGGGGGCCCACAAGGUAGGGGGCGCGCCCUAGGAGGGGGCGCGCCCCCACCCUCGUGAGCAGGGUGUGGGCCCCCUGGACUUCAUCUUUGGCGAGGAUUUUUAUUUAUUUAUUUUAAGAUGUUCCGUGGAGUUUCAGGACUUUUGGAGUUGCACAGAAUAGGUCUCUAAUAUUUGCUCCUUUUCCAGCCCAGAAUUCCAGCUGUCGGCCUUCUCCCUCUUUAUGUAAACCUUGUAAAAUAGGAGAGAAUAGCCAUAAGUAUUGUGACAUAAAGUGAAAUAACAACCCAUAAUGCAAUAAAUAUCGAUAUAAAAGCAUCAUGCAAAAUGGACGUAUCAACUACCCCAAGCUUAGACCUCGCUUGUCCUCAAGCGAGAAGCCGGUAACAAUAAAUAUGCCCUCAUGUUUAGAGGUAGAGGCGUCGAUAAAAAUAAAAUAUGGACAUGAAGGCAUCAUGAUUAUUCUCAUAACAGCAACAUAUAUAGAUUUUGUCAUAUGAUUUCUGAUGUUCAAGCGAUGAUCUAUUCACAAUGCAAAAGUAUGAAUCAUAAACCUUAUUGGGCGCCACCAAACUAUAAUCUCAGUCAUUGAAGCAAUUGCAAUUUAUCAUAACAUCGGAGAGAGUCUAUGUCAGAGCUUAAAAGCAAGUCCACAUACUCAACUAUCAUCUAUUCCUUCAUAAUUGCUAGCACUCACGCGAUACUUGUGGUUAUGGAGUUUUAAUCGGACAUAGAGAAAGAUAGGGGCUUAAUGCCCCCACAACCUUUUACCUCAAGGGUAAUGUCAACAAUAAUGGUUCAUGCUCCCCUACAUCCAAUUAGAUAUAUAUAUAUCAUGUUCUUUCCAACAUGCUAAACUUGCCAAAGGAUAAAAUGAAAAAGAAAAGGUGAAGAUCACCAUGACUCUUGCAAAAGGUAGAAGAUAAUAAUAAAAGAUAGGCCCUUCGCAGAGGGAAGCAGAGGUUGCCAUGCGCUUUUAUGGUUGGAUGCACAAAAUCUCAAUGCGAAAGAACGUCACUUUAUAUUGCCCCUUGUGAUAUGAACCUUUAUUAUGCAGUCCUUCGCUUUUAUUACUUUCACAUCACAAGAUCGUAUAAAGCUUAUUUCUUCCACACCAAUCAAUCAUACAUAUUUAGAGCAAUUUUAUUGCUUUGCACCGAUGACAACUUACUUGAAGGAUCUUACUCAAUCCAUAGGUAGAUAUGGUGGACUCUCAUGGCAAAACUGAUUUAAGGGUAUUUGGAAGCACAAGUAGUAUCUCUACUUGGUGCUAAGAAUUUGGCUAGCAUGAGGGGGGAAGGCAAGCUCAACAAGUUAGAGGAUCCAUGACAACAUACUUUAUCUCAGAUAUAAGAAAGACAUAACUCAUUAAGUUGUCUUCCUUGUCCAACAUCAACUCUUUAGCAUGUAAUAUUUUAAUGAGUGCUCCCAAUCAUAAAAGAUGUCAAUGAUAAUAUAUCUACAUGUGAAACCUCUCUUUCCUUAUUACUUCCUAUUAAUUGCAACGAUGACCAAAGCUAUGUCUGUCAAUUCCCAACAACUUUUAAUCAUCAUACUCUUUCUAUGUGAAGUCAUUACUCUCAAUAAGAUCAAUAUGAACUCUAUGUUUCUUUUUAUUCUUUUUCUCUUUUCUUUUAUUCACCCAAGAUCAUGGCAAAAUAAUCAAGCCCUCGACUCAGCACUAAUCUUUAUUAUAUAUAUAGCUCACGGACCCGAUUACAAAGAGAGAUCAUAAAGCGAAACUCAAAACUAGAUCAGGCCAUAAACUUUAUUCUACUAGAUCAAGAUACUACUAAUAGGAUCGAACUAAGAAAAAUGGUAAAGAUAGGAGUUGUGAUUGUGAUACGAUAUCGGGGCACCUCCCCCAAGCUUGGCAGUUGCCAAGGGGAGUGCCCAUACCCAUGUGAUUAUGUCACCUUUGUCGGUGAAGAAGGUGGUGGAGGUUUUGUCGAUGAAGCAAGCUUGUCGUCCAUCUUCCAAGGCAUAGGCUCACCAUCAUAGAAGGAUGAUCGAGUCUCUGGGAUCCUCAAAUCUGCAUCCAAACUCAUCCUUUUGAAUCUAUAUUCAUACUCACAGUUUUGAUUUUGCAGGUCAUAGAUUUGGACUUGGAGGUGCUCUAUCUUCUCAUGAAGCUUGAAGAUGGCCUCCCUGAUGUUGUCAGCAUCCAACUUGUGGUUGCUAGUGAACUCCGCGAUCAUCAUGUGGUUGGAGUUGAGUCCGCGUUCCACCAUCUUUUGACACUUGAAAACUUGUUGUUCCAUUCCUUCGAGCCUCGUCUCCAUGCUUCCGGUCCCCUUUGGUCCCUCUUCAUCGCGGAUGUGCAGCAACCCAUCACGCAACUCAAUGCUUUGAGGGUGUCGCAGCACCUCCGCGAGGUAAGGGUUGAUGACCUUCUCGAAGAACUUGUCCUUGGAAGCACUUGGGGCCGUCAUGAUAAUCUAGAUCUGUCAGAAAAACAGCUCGAAACAAGAACAUAGGAGAUUUGUGUGAUACGGGAGUCAAAACCUUCGGGAGAAUAUAUAAUGAAUUUUUACCGACCAAAAUACGUAUCGUGCAAGAAAACGGAGUCCGGAGGGCACACAAGGUGCUCACGAGGUAGGGGGCGCGCCUAGAGAGGUAAGGCGCGCCCACCACUCUCGUGGGACCCUCGUGUCCUUCCCGGACUACUACUUAUUUUUCUAUUUUUCUGAAUAUUCCAAAACGGAGAAAUACUGCCUUAAAAAUUAUUUUGGAGUCGGUUUACUUACCGUACCACAUACCUAUUCCCUUUUGGAGUCUGAAAGGUUCUGGAAAGUGUCCCUUAUGUAUUCCUCCGGGGUUACGGUUUCAGUAAUAUUGGUUUCAACAUUUAUGGGAUUACCUGAGAUAUAAUGUUUGAUUCUUUGACCGUUUACCACUUUCGGAUUUGUGCCUUCGAAGUUGUUGAUUUUCAUUGCACCGGAACGAUAGACCUCCUCGAUAACAUAAGGGCCUUCCCAUUUAGAGAGAAGUUUUCCUGCAAAAAAAUCUUAAACGAGAGUUGUAUAGCAAUACAUAAUCACCUACAUUAAACUCACGCUUUUGUAUCCUUUUGUCAUGCCAUCUUUUAGCUUUUUCUUUAAAUAACUUGGCAUUUUCAUAAGCUUGGGUUCUCCAUUCAUUAAGUGAGCUAAUAUCAAAUAACCUCUUCUCACCGGCAAGUUUGAAAUCAUAGUUGAGCUCUUUAAUAGCCCAAUAUGCCUUAUGUUCUAGUUCGAGAGGUAAGUGACAUGCUUUUCCAUAAACCAUUUUAUAUGGAGACAUACCCAUAGGAUUUUUAUAUGCAGUUCUAUAUGCCCAUAAUGCAUCAUCAAUUUUCUUGGACCAAUUCUUUCUAGACCUAUUAACAGUCUUUUGCAAAAUUAAUUUGAGCUCUCUAUUGCUCAACUCUACUUGACCACUAGACUGUGGAUGAUAAGGAGAUGCAAUUCUAUGAUUAACAUUAUAUUUAGCAAGCAUUUUACGGAAAGCACCAUGAAUAAAGUGUGAACCACCAUCAGUCAUUAAAUAUCUAGGGACUCCAAACCUCGGAAAAAUAACUUCCUUAAGCAUUUUGAUAGAAGUGUUAUGACCAGCACUACUAGUUGGAAUAGCUUCUACCCACUUAGUAACGUAAUCAACAACAACUAGAAUGUGUGUGUAUCCAUUAGAGGCAGGAAAAGGUCCCAUAUAAUCAAAGCCCCAGACAUCAAACGGUUCAAUAACAAGAGAAUAAUUCAUAGGCAUUUCUUGACGUCUACUAAUAUUACCAAUUCUUUGACAUUCAUCACAAGACAAGACAAACUUACGGGCAUGCUUGAAAAGAGUAGGCCAAUAAAAACUGGAUUGCAAUACCUUAUGUGCAGUUCUGUCUCCAGCAUGGUGUCCUCCAUAAGCUUCGGAGUGACACUUGCGUAGGAUCUGUUCCUGUUCAUGCUCAGGUACACAACGUCUAAUAACACCAUCUACUCCUUCUUUAUAAAGAUGUGGGUCAUCCCAAAAGUAAUGUCUCAAAUCAUAGAAGAACUUUUUCUUUUGUUGGUAUGUGAAGCUAGGUGGUAUAAACUUAGCAACAAUAUAAUUAGCAUAAUCAGCAUACCAAGGAGUACUACGAGAAGUGCUUAUAACAUUUAAUUGUUCAUCAGGAAAGCUAUCAUUAAUAGGUAGUGGGUCAUCAAGAACAUUUUCUAACCUAGAUAAGUUAUCUGCAACGGGGUUCUCAGCUCCUUUUCUAUCAACGAUACGCAAAUCAAAUUCUUGCAGCAGGAGAACCCACCUAAUAAGUCUAGGUUUAGCUUCUUUCUUUUCCAUCAGAUAUUUAAUAGCAGGAUGAUCAGUGUGAAUAGUUACUUUAGAAUCAACAAUAUAAGGUCUGAACUUAUCACAAGCAAAUACAACCGCUAAAAGUUCUUUUUCAGUAGUAGCAUAAUUUCUUUGAGCAUUGUCUAGAGUCUUACUAGCAUAAUGGAUAACAUUUAAUUUCUUAUCAACUCUUUGCCCUAGAACAGCACCUACAGCAUAAUCACUAGCAUCACACAUUAUUUCAAAGGGUAAAUUCCAAUUAGGUGGCUGAACAACAGGUGAAGGGACUAAUGCUUUCUUAAGUAUUUCAAAUGCUCCUACACAAUCAUCAUCAAAGACGAAUGGUAUAUCUUUUUGCAAUAAAUUAGUCAGAGGCCGAGAAAUUUUUGAUAAGUCCUUAAUGAACCUCCUGUAAAAUCCGGCGUGACUAAGGAAACUUCUCAUACCUUUGAUGUCCUUGGGACAUGGCAUCUUUUCAAUAGCAUCCACUUUGGCUUUAUCAACUUCAAUACCUCUUUCGGAAACUUUGUGCCCCAAAACAAUACCUUCAUUAACCAUAAAGUGGCACUUUUCCCAAUUCAAGAAAAGAUUAGUUUCUUCACAUCUCUGCAAAACUCGAUCAAGAUUGCUCAAGCAAUCAUCAAAAGAGGAACCAUAGACGGAAAAAUCGUCCAUGAAAACCUCACAAAUCUUUUCACAAAAGUCAGAGAAUAUAGCCAUCAUGCAUCUUUGAAAGGUAGCAGGUGCAUUACAUAAACCAGAAGGCAUACAUCUAUAAGCAAAAGUACCAAAAGGGCACGUAAAAGUAGUCUUUGAUUGAUCUCUAGCUGACACAGGUAUUUGAGAGAAACCAGAAUAACCAUCUAGAAAGCAGUAAUGUGUGUGUUUGCAUAAUCUUUCUAGCAUUUGAUCAAUAAAAGGUAAGGGUUAAUGAUCUUUCUUAGUAGCCUUAUUUAAUUUGUGGAAAUCAAUUAUCAUCCUAUAACCUGUGAUAAUUCUUUGUGGAAUCAAUUCAUCUUUAUCAUUAGGAACAACAGUAAUACCUCCCUUUUUGGGGACACAAUGGACAUGACUUACCCACUGACUAUCAGCAACGGGAUAAAUUAUACCUUCCUCCAGAAGCUUGAGUAUUUCUUUUCUUACCACUUCUUUCAUUUUAGGAUUUAGACAUCGUUGAGGAUCACGAACUGGUUUGGCAUCUGCUUCCAAAUUUAUUUUAUGUUGACAUAGAGUGGGACUAAUGCCCUUAAGACCAUCAAGAGUGUAUCCAAUAGCAGCACGAUGCUUCUUCAGAGUUUUCAAUAAUCUUUCUUCUUCAUGCUCUGAAAGGUUAGCACCAAUAAUAACAUGAUAUAUCUUCUUUUCAUCAAGAUAAGCAUAUUUAAGAUUAUCAGGUAACGGUUUAAGCUCAAACACGGGAUCACCCUUUGGUUGAGGAGGAUUCCCUAGAAUUUCAACAGGCAAAUUGUGUUGCAGAAUAGGUUCCUGUUCAAAGAAUACAUCAUCUAUUUCCCUUCAUUCGUUCAUGAACAUAUCAUUUUCAUGGUCUAGCAAAUAGUGUUCUAAAGGGUCACUAGGAGGUACGGCAAUAGAAGCAAGACCAAUAAUUUCAUCCUUACUAGGUAAUUCUUCCUCACGAUGUUGUUUAGUAAAUUUGGAGAAAUUAAACUCAUGAACCAUAUCAUCCAAGCCAAUAGUGACAACAUUCUUUUCGCAAUCUAUCUUAGCAUUAAUAGUGUUCAAGAAGGGUCUACCAAAUAUAAUGUGACAAAAGCUAUCUUGUGGAGAAGUAAGAACAAGAAAAUCAGCGGGAUAUUUAGUUUUCCCACACAAGACUUCAACAUAUCUAACAAUCCCAAUUGGUGAAAUAGUAUCUCUAUUGGCAAGUUUAAUUAUGACAUCAAUUCCUUCUAACUCAGCAGGUGCAAUUUCAUUCUUAAUUUCUUCGUAUAAAGUAUGCGGUAUAACACUAGCACUCGCACCCAUAUCACAUAAGCCAUGAUAACAAUGAUCUCCUAUUUUAACAGAAAUAACAGGCACGCCUACCACAGGUCUAUGUUUAUCUUUAUCACAAGGCUUAGCAAUUCUAGCAGUUUCACCUUUGAACUGAAUAACAUGCCCAUCAAUAUUAUCAGACAAGAGAUCUUUAAUAAUAGCAAUAUUAGGUUCUACUUUAACUUUCUCAGGGGGUACAUAAGUUCUGAUAUUGCUUUUACGAACAACAGUUGAAGCUUUAGCAUGAUCCUUUACUCUAACAGGAAAAGGUGGUUUCUCAACAUAAGGAGUAGGAACAGUAGGAUCAUUGUAAGUGACAAUCUUUUCUUCAACUUUAAUAGGUGCAGCUACUUUCACUUCUAUAGGAGGAUGAUAUUUAAACCACUUCUCCUUAGGGAGAUCAACAUAAGUAGCAAAAGAUUCACAGAAAGAAGCUACUAUCUCAGAGUCGAGUCCAUAUUUAGUGCUAAACUUACGGAAAAUAUCGGUAUCCACAAAAGAAUUAACACAAUCAAACUUAGGUGUCAUACCUGACUCCUUACCUUCGUCAAGGUCCCAAUCUUCAGAGUUGCGUUUAAUUCUAUCCAAUAAAUUCCAUCUGAAUUCAAUAGUCUUCAUCAUAAAAGAGCCAGCACAAGAAGUAUCGAGCAUGGUGCGAUUAUUUUCAGAAAGCCGAGCAUAAAAACUUUGCAUAAUUAUUUCUAUCGGGAGCUCAUGAUUGGGGCAUGAAUAUAACAUUGAUUUAAGCCUCCCCCAAGCUUGAGCGAUGCUUUCUCCUUCGCGAGGCCAUAAAUUAUAUAUAUAAUUGCGAUCACGAUGAACAAGAUGCAUAGGGUAAUACUUUUGAUGAAAUUCCAAUGGCUAGGUGAAAACUAGACAAAACUAUAGGCGUUGGUUUCAUCUAAUUUGGAUGAACGAGUAAGAAGUUAUGGCUAUUUGAAAAAUCAAGGCCAAGCUGUUUUACGGAGAAAAAUAUAUAAAUACAGAGACCAAUUGAUAAUCUAAUUAUUCUUCUGUACUAGUCUAGAAAUAAUAAGUUACGAAAGUAUAUAUGAAGAAAGAUACCUUUAUAAGAUAGAGAAAAAAUGACUUUGGAAAGAAGAGACAACUUCUAAAAGUACCGCACGAGAGGAGAAAUACAUUUUUCUUUAGUGAAUCUAGUCAAACCAAAAAAAUUGAUUUAACCCUAAUCGGAUGAUUUUUGAAGCUCUAUGGGUCUAUAUUUAUAGGUGGAAAAAAGGUUUAGGGGUCAAAGGUACUAACCUAUACAUAUGUAGAUGAAAUUGUAAAAAGAUCGCAUGGGCUAAAAGUUCGGCCCAGCCGCACGCUGUAGUUUUUUUAAAGCAAAAUUCGGUCAAAGUGAAAAAAAAGGCUGGCUGGGCCUGGCCCAUGUAGGAGAGAAGAAAAAAAAUAAAAUGAUGGGGCGCCUAAUGCCACUAUGCAGUGCACGUGAGCGACAAAUAAUUAUGGGCCGCAGAUACAGUUUUUUCUAAAUAGAAACAGAAUGGGAAACUGAAUAACGAAAAUAAAAUAAAACUUUUAUAUAGGCAAAUUAUAUAUCAAAAUUUUCAUAAAAAGCUUUUCUAUGACAUGGACAUUUUACCAAAGUCAAAUAAAUCCACGCAAAUUUAUAUAAAGCAAAGAGUGCUACUGCUCUAAUAAAAUCCAAUAAAAAUCAUUUCAAAAAUACUAAAAUGAUUUCAAAUUUAUUACUCUCCAAUUUUAUGUUGUAGGGAAUCAUGUUACCCAAUUUUCCAUAUAUUUUAUUUUUGGAGAAAAAUAAUUUGAAUAAAACCCAAAUAACUCCAAAUUGAAAAUAAUUCUCAAAUGGACUUUAAAUUUGAUCCUUUUAAACUCCCAACUCAUAUUUCAUAUAUUUUUAAGAAGUCAUUUUAUCUUCUCUAAUGAAAAUCUUUGAGUUGCUUGAAGUUUUCUGAAUUUGAAAAUAUUUCAAAUAAAAUUCAAAUCUUUUUUAAACCAUUUUCAUUUAUUUAAAAUGAAAGAAGUCAUGUCAUCUUCUCUCCAGGGUUUUGUGAUGAAAAUAAUUUGAAUUCAUGGAGAUCAAAAUACAAAACGAAAAUUUUGGGAAAGUCCUUUUAUUCCCUCUCAUUUAAAUUUCAAAUUUUUUCGAAUUUCACUCAAUUUCACAUAAUCAAUCAAAUAAGCAAUCAAAUCUAUCUAUUUAAUAUAACAUUCCAAAAUUUAGAAUUUUGGGAUGUUACAAACCUACCACCCUUAAAAUGAAUCUCGUCCUCGAGAUUCGGAGAGGCUAGAAAGAAAUAGGUUAGGUUUGGGGGUCUUCUCAAAAUCCAUUGAUCAUCUCCGGUGUCUCGGGUGCUGCCACCCUUAGAAGCAUUGUUACGGUUCCAUCAAAACUCAUAUACUCCAUCCUUAUCUUUGACAGUGUCGGUCUUCUCGGAUUCUCGGAAAAAUUCCUUCUCUGGGCUCUUCCGGUAGUGGCAUAACCUUUACUGCAAUUCUUUUGUCUUUUAAUCUGGGACUGGGUUUUCUUAGCUGGCGGGUCUGGCGCCAAUUCUAAACAACUAUCGAUAUCUCAUGGUGGUCAACAAUUUAUGGUUUCUCCUGUAGGAAAUGGGUUUGGGCUUCAUUCUCACCGUAUAACCUACGAUUGGCAACAACUGUUGUGUACAAGGGAAAAAUUCUUAUACCAUUCUAAGGUUUAAUCAAGGUUUAAUUUCGUCGUCGCUCUACUAUGGGUAAGUCACUCAGAUUUACCAUCGCAUAUAGCAAGGCGAAUAAUAAGAGUAAGUCGGUAUGGUGAUCAAUCCAUCCCGCACCCAAAUCAUUACCGUGUAUAUGGUUUAGCGAAUCUCGCAUUCUAACACUCGGUCAUCCUCACAAGCAUUGCCGAAUUUCUCUUUUCGACGAACUAAGUUCAGAUAUAUCCAUUGAUUCUGCAAGCCAAACAAAUAUCUAUCCUUCCUUCACCACUCUCAGGUUUUGCGUAAACUCCUAUAAGAUCGUCGGUGGGUAAGGUCGUAAUCUCAUCCAUGGUUUUUCCUUCAGCAAGAGUGUGCUUGCUUCUUGGUAGGUCCUGGGGCCUAUUGGUUAUGGCCCAUCUCAUCACUUGCAAACCUUGAAAUCCUCAUCAGGGCAAGUGAUCAUUAACCCAACAUCCAGCUUCCUAGCAUACUUAAAAUCCUUCCAAUUGUACUGUCUCCCUUCCUUCUAUUGGUACCAAACUCAAACGUAAUUACUCCGACUCAUCAUGGAGUUACAAUUGCUCCAUAUUACCAACCUUCUACCUCCUUUACAUCCAAUAAUACUCCAUACCUUCAUAGUCUUGGGGUAUCCCACAUAUCGAGACAAAACUAGUACUUAUCUUGUCCAACGUCCACUCCAUGGAAUAUCCUUAUCUUUUCCAAGGGUCAAAUCUCCUCACAGGGUACUACCAUCCUUGAAAUGCACCAAUAUCAUCCAUAUACCAUAUUUCUCAUAUCCUCGAAAAUGGUCAAAAAUCCCUCUUCAUAGAGUAACAACUCAUAAAAUCCAUAUCAAUACCAAUGAUGCUCACGUUAUUGAUUCUCCAAUUAUUGCAAUCUCCUGCAUUUCCAUUACAUGCCUCAACUCAACACCUCACUAUAAAGGAAAUCUUCCCACUUCUACUACUAUAUUUCUCACAAACACAACUAAUUAUCACAAGUCUCCUUCUCCUUGGGACAAUCUCUGGCAAAGUGCCCUGCUUCAUCACAACGAAAACAUAUUGCUUCUGACUAGUUCUGAGGUUUCCUUUUUUUUGGGAAACUGCUGAAGUGGUGCCCUGACUCCUUGCACCUGAAACAGGUGAUAUGACUCAGGUCCUUCCUGGAAUCCAAUCUGCUUCUCUUCCUGGACUUUUCCGUGCCAAUCAGGGCUUCCAUUUCCUGUGGGUCGUACUCUACUUCCUCUGUCGGGAAUUCUAGUAGAUCCCCAUUCAAACAAUUCUGGGAGAUGUGUCCUUCUUCUCCACAUGAAUAGCAAAACUUAGUGCAGGGUUUAAUCGAGUCUUCUUUAGGUGUGUCCUCCACCUCUUCCUUCAUCACCGGUUCUUCUAAAAUUUUCAUGAGGGAUCUUUUCAUUGCUUCCUUCUUCUACUGGAUGGUUCUUCGAACCAUGUGGUAAAUGCAACACUAAGCAGGGUAGUGGGUAGUCCCUUCACACAAGUAUCAAGUGAUCUGCCUAGUUGGCAUUCUUCAGCUGGGUGGCUUUCUUCACAAUGAGGGCAUUCCCCCUUGUGUUCUUUAUGGGUGUGUCCUAUUUCUCCAUGGAGCUUGCAUACACAAGGUUUAUUCAUAUCAUUUCCAUAAGGCUUCAAUUUCUGGGACACAAGACGAGACGUUAGCAAAGUCAACUUAAAUUCCUUCCAAAUGGUUACUCCUUGCCAUCCAUUGAGGGUUUGGUACAUCCUCCACCUAGUAGCAGCACCUCUUUCAAAGCACUUAAAACAUGUUGGGCCAUAUCCUUUCCGGCUAUAGGGUUAUUCUCCAUGUGAUCCUCCAUGUUCUGAAUCCAUCGGUGUGUCUCUAAUUGACUUAUUGGUCCCGGAAACACGAGUUCAUCUCCAUUCACCCUCUAUUUGGUCAAUGGGUUUGGGGUGGGAUAAGAGAGAUAGAGAGGGAAACACACGAUGUAAACAAUGGUUUUGAAAAGACAUAUUUUAUUUGUUGCUGUCGGAAAAACAUCAAACAAAUGACAGCUCACAAACAUUGCAUCUAACGUAGGUAUAUAACAGGGGUUUGGGUCUUCUAAAGGUCAAUAAAUCUUCAAAGUCAUCAAACUCUUCAGGUCUUAUUCAUGUCUCCGAUGGCUUCUUCCGAUCGUGCUUGUCCUUCUCAAGUUAUUUUGCCAUAUCAUUUCUAUUGACACAAAGUCUCUCGUGGCGUCCUUCAAUAUUUCUGGAGUUGCGUUCCAAACUUCUGGGUUUCAACAUCCUUGGCAUGAACCAUGGUCCUACUGUUCUUCAGUUCCGAAUGAGUUCUCUGAUAUCUCGAGGUUUUGCUCCUCCAGCUUGGCUACUUCCAGCUUCUGGGUCCUAAGUUCUUCACGGAAUGCUUUAUUGUCAAAUACGGCUUCUUGCAAGUCCAUCUUAAAAUCCUUGAUGUAAUACUCCAGAUCCUGGUGAUACACCAACUAAGAUUAAAACUUCCACUCUUGCUUAUAGGUGCUCCAUCAGCCUUCUACCAUCCAAUCCUUCCGAAGAAAUGCAUGCUUAACUCAGCACGGUGGCCAUAGCAUAAGCGGGCAAUAACAUCAUGGAUAGCCUUGUUUCUUCCCUUGUCAUUGCCAUGAGCUGUCAUUCCAUAGUUUAUAUCUCCUGCAUUAGGGUUUUCUUGACAAAAACUUUGAGUUCUAAUGCUCCAUGUUCCGGUCUUUCUCGGAUACACCUUUAUCUCGGGUAUUGACAACUUCCAUAGUCUGCCAAGUUCCAUAAGGGUAGCCUUCCUAGGUUCUACAAAUCUGGGAAUUCUUCAGAGCUUUCAAAUCCUCCUAGUCUUAGGAGUCUUCAACCGUUGUAGUUUCCAUUAUUAUAAUGCACGGAAAAAAAUCUUCUUCAUUCCAAAGUGGUCUUAGCUAUCCGAUAUCUUGUACUUCUUGGAGUGGUCUCAUCAGUCAAAUCUACGUGUGGUCAAAAGGGGAAAGGGGUAUGGUCUCACUUAAUAGGGAAUAUUUGAAUAAGCUCUGAAGAGAAGAGAGGUAAAAGAUCUUUUUGAAAAUGAAGUUUGUAGAGAAAAUCUUUCCUAUGGGCUUGUCAAUUUCUAGGGGUCAUGUCCUAUAGUCAACAUGUGCUCUGAUACCAUCUUGUAGCGAGCCGACCUCAGACGGUCAAGUCUCUGUGCUUAAUUGUCAUCCCUGGAUCGGUAUGCUGACACACACAGUACUCGAGGAUUUAUAACAGACGUAAAUCACAUGUAUAAAAUAACGUAUAUACUAUUACCUCAAUCCAAAUAGCGGAAGUAACAACAAGGUUGUGGAUUCCCAUCAACACCAACGGCAAAGUUGAGUGUAGAAAUCAUAACCCUAACGUAUUACUUACUCGUCGUAAGAAUCCUGCAACAUGUGACGUUGCAGCCACAAAUGGUCAGUACAUUGAAUGUAAUGGCAAAUUCACACCAUAGGUUAAUGAUGAAUAAUAGCUAUCACUACAUGCAUAUAUGGCUCGUGGAAAAGCUCUAUGGUUAUAAUGUUUUUGCGAAAAGCCAAUUUUUUCCUACUGCAAAGGAAUAUAUUUUUAUUUAACUACAAAUUUGUUGAAAAACAUUGAGAAUGGUAAAUCCCCAUCUCAAUCCCAAUUAAAGUAACCCAACAAAUUAAUUACAGAGUGAUGAGAUCCAUAGGAUAAUCCAAGAACCAGAUACUCAAGAUGUCCAUAACCGGGGACACGACUAAUCAUGAUUAGUUAGUACACUCUACAGAGGUUUGCGCACUUUUCCCCACAAGACUCGAUCUCCUCCGUUGGAUUUCUCGCACUACAGGGUGUUUGAGAAACGGAUGACCGAGACACAGUCUUUCAGAAGCAUUAACUCUUUACUUUGGGUGGACCGUUACACCUACUUUCCCUCUACAUCUGCUAACCCACCACUGAAAUAGGUCACACAACAUACUCAACUAUGCCAGAGCCCAUAAUGGCUUGUGGCUGCACACGGAAGUUUCUAACAUGAAUAAUCUUAUGAUCCCUUUGAGCCUGGGUGGCGUGCCGUAGGAGGAUCACACGGUAUAUCCCCGGGAUCUCCUAGGACAACACUGGAUUCCCCAAGUGCCCAAACAAGCAAUCCACCCAGAUAUGUAUUAAUGUUGCCACCGUAAGUUGAACUAUUAAUUAACUAUCUCACAUCUGCCAUGGAUUCACUCACCCAAACCACGUCUACGAGCAUAGCAUGGCAAUACAAGCAUAACGUAAUAGUAACUCCCAAGGUUUGAAUGCAGGACAAUAGGUUCUACCUCAUCAACUACUUCCCAAUACCCACAUGUUAUCAAGUCCUAACCAUGCAAUGUUUGAGGAUUGAAACUAAUGCAUAAAAACUGGGCAAUAAGGGGAUAUGAUCAAAGUGUGAACUUGCCUGGUACUGUUGAUGAAGAUGAUUCGCACUCAUAACUCCUGAUAGUUCUACUCGUCACACUCCAGUCAAUCUAUCGUGAGCAAGCAAUAGUAACCACACAUAAGCAAUCACUCAAAGGAUCGGAUUGAAGGAAGAAGACAAUUCAGAAAAAUCAAAACCAAGCAGAUAACUCUUGCAACAUAAUACAAUUUCUAACAGUACCAAAAUUAUGUGAAUUUGGCCUUAUCAGAAAGUUUAGGUCAAGAGCUUUGAUUUGCAAAAAGAAUCAACUCAAACGGAGUUAUAAAACUCAAGUUUUGAUCAAAAGAAGUUUGAAUAUGAAUCUGAACAAAUUUGAAAAUUUGAAAAUUUCAAAAGGUUGAUGCGACAAGUUCACUGGAUAGGUGAAAACAAGACGAAACUAUAGGCGCAGGUUUCAUGUAAUUUUGAUGAACGAGUAAGAUGUUAUGGCUAUUUGAAAAAAUCAGGACUAAGCUGUUUUAUGGGAGAAAAAUAAUUACGGCUAAAAGAAUUCUAUGUCUAAUGUAUAAAUACAGAGACCAAUUGAUAAUCUAAUUAUUCUACCGUAAUAGCUAGAAAUAAUAAGCUACAGAAGUAUAUAUGAAGAAAGAUACUUUUAUAAGGUAGAGAAAAAAUGACUUCGGAGAGAAGUGACAACUUCUAGUGAAUCUAAUCAAGCCAAAAAAUUGAUUUAACCCAAAUCAGAUGAUUUUUAGAGGCUCUAUGGGUCUAUAUUUAUAGGUGGAAAAGAGGUUUAGAGGUCAAAGGCUAGGCAAUGUGGGACUAAACCUAUACGUACGCAGAUGAAAUUUGAAAAUGAUCGCAUGGGCUAAAAGUUCGGCCCGGCCGCGCGCUGUAGUUUAAAAAAACAAAAUUCUGUCAAAGUGAAAAAAAGGCUGGCUGGCCUGGCCCAUGUAGGAGAGAAGAAAAAAAUAAAAUGAUGGGGUGCCCGGUGCCACUAUGUAGCGCACGUGGGCGACAAAUAAUUAUGGGCCGCACGUACAGUUUUUUUAAAUAGAAAUAGAAAGGGAAACUGAAUAACGAAAAUACAACAAAAAUUUUAUAUAGGCAUAUUAUAUAUCAAAUUUGUCAGAAAAAGAUUUUUUACGCCAUGAACAUUUUUUCACAGUCAAAUAAAAGCCACACAAAUUUCAAUAAAGCAAAGAGCGCUACUGCUCUAGUAAAAUCCAAUAAAAACCAUUUUAAAAAUACCAAAAUGAUUUUAAAUUUAUUAAUAUCCAAUUUUUUGUUUUAGGGAAUCAUGUUACCCUAUUUUACAUAUAUUUUUUGGAUAAAAAUAAUUUGAAUAAAACCCAAAUAAUUCCAAAUUGAAAAUAAUUUCCAAAAGGACUUUAAAUUUAUCCUUUUAAACUCCCAACUCAUAUUUCAUAUAUUUUUAAGAAGUCAUUUUAUCUUCUCUCAUGAAAAUCAUUGAGUUGCUUGAAGUUUUCUGAAUUUGAAAAUAUUUCCAAAUAAAAUUCAAAUCUUUUCGAAACCCUUUUCAUUUAUUUAAAAUGGAAGAAGUCAUGUCAUCUUGUCUCCAGGGUUUUGUGAUGAAAAGAAUUUGAAUUCAUGGAGAUCAAAAUGCAAAAUGAAAAGUUUGGGAAAGUCCUUUUAUUCCCUCUCAUUUAACUUUCAAAAAGUUUCGAAUUUCACUCAAUUUCACACAAUUAAUCAAACAAGCAAUUAAAUCUAUCUAUUUAAUAUAACAUUCCAAAAUUUAGAAUUUUGGGAUGUUACAACAACUUGCAUGUUGAGAUAAAUAAGGUAGUGGGGAUGAACUUGUUAUAUACAUAGGAUAAGAUGCUCUAACUUUUUAUUAUUCGAAUGUCCGUGGACACAUUUCAGUCCAUAUGCAGUAUAACGAAAUGUCCAAAGAUAUCUCAUAUUUGUGAAUGGAAGGAGUACUAUUUUAAAAAUGUAUUUGCUACAAUUAUUGACUUAUUGAAUUGAUGCUUUGCUUUUUCAGAAAUGUUUGACAUUAUUCUUUUUUCUUCAAUUAAACUGCUUGAAUUUUGAAUAUAUGAUAGACCAUAGGUGGUUGUCAUAUGCAAAACCACUUGAGAUGCAAUAAAGUAAAUUAAAUUCAUGUGCAAUGGGAGUAUUGCAAUCAAUGAUUCACAUAUCAUAGCUCCGUGAUGUGGCACUAGACAACUAUCGUAGACACUAUAUAUGUCAUUGCUUCUCACCUAGGUUUUCAUGUUGCAAAUGCCACUACAAAUGCUACCCCUAUCAACUCGUGUGUGAGCAAGAAUUUGAGUAUCUUGAUACAUGCAUAUGUUGUAGGAUUGGGAGUGGGAGACAUUGGGAAAAUUGUGCUAUGUGCAAAUUCAUAUGUACACAUGAACCAGAGGGUACCUCAUACAACAAAUUUGUAUCCUUCGUUGCUAGGAUUCUUUUGCUGUCGCCGUACCUUGUACCGGAUCUGAAGGAAUUGCCUUAGUUGUUCACUGUACAAUGCAAGUUAGCGCAGUACAACUUUCCUAUGCAUGGAGGGUGGUGCAUCAAGACUAAUUGGGGACUCAACCCAAACGGUUUCUUGCAGAAAAUCGUCACUUACGCAUAUAUGACUGGCUUCCUAACAGAACUAACAUAUAUAUGUUGCACUCAUCUGUGAUGAUUUCGUUCUAGCCCAGCCCUAUGCCAAUCAUGCACACCACUAAUUAGUUUCGGGAAACCAUCUGUGAUGAUUAUCAAUGACUAAUUAGCUCGUGACAUAAGACCCCGAACUGUCAUUGAGGUGUCGUGUGAUUCAACCUACUCUAGUUUCAAUUAAAUUCAGACUUUGAAGGCUCGACUAUUCAGUUGCAUGAAUACUGGCACGUACCCGUAUGGCUAAGCCUUUAAAAAGUGAAAUUCCGGCACUUGUUACUUUUAUGAAUCAGGAAAACAAAUAGUUUUGCUACCAACCCGUUUAGCUCUGUAAAGAAUGAUUUACAUGUACUCACUUACAAACAUCAGCCUUCGGGUAGUUUUAUUUGUCGUCGAUUGGAAACCUGGCGAGUUGUGUAAAGCUCAUGCUUAUCCGUCUUUACUAGUGCAUUUGGGCUCCUUCCGUUUCCCUUCCUAUUUGCGUGAAGUGGGAUUUAUCGAGAGAAGGAAAGCCAGCAUGGCCACCAGGGUAGUGUUGGAAACGAGUCACAACAAAGGCAAAGUAGGUUAGGUCCCUAUACUUUUAUUGACCCUCGAUACUUUUGAUUCACCUUCAGUACCAUCAGUAGUUGAAGCUUGACAACUAAUGUUAUGAUUUAAGAGCCAUGCUUGAAUACCUGGUACAUUUGACCAACCUGUCAUAACAUUGUAAACACAUACUAUUGUAGCAAUUUUGAUGAUGACAUUUAAGCUCAAAAUUAUUGGAUAUGUAAAUAAUAGAAUUCGGUCAGUGGAAGUAUUGUGAUAAUUGAUUCACAGAUAAUUACUGCAUCUGAUAUGAUACUAGACGACUAUCAAUGCCGAGUGCUAUAAAUGACAUUGGUUCUACCAUUUCAAUAUUCCAAAGGUCACAGCAAACACUACUACACGUAGCACAUUUUUUCAGGAAUCUACCACCGCGCUUUUAAAUUAUACAUACAUGAUUGUGAGCUUCUUGUUGCUUAUGGUUUGGGAUUGGAAGAUACUAGGAAAAUUGACUUAGUUAUGCACAUGUAUGUCGAGAUGAACCAGAGAGUACCUCGGAUGCCAGACCCAUGUCCCAGGUUGCCAGACAACCAUCCCAUCUCUAGCACGUAAGGAGAUUCUACAUCGACAUCAACAUAAUCAUCAUGUGUUUUAGUUAGGAACUAUUGACGUGAUGUUGAUAUUUUCUAGUUUGAUUGAGGAAGUGACCACAAAGCAGGCAGGUCCCACAGAUGAACCAUCUAUUUCUUCCAUGCCACGAAAAUAAAUUGAAGACACAUAUUCAAAGCAAUUAAAUUGUCACAAAGGAGUCUCUUUAAUCAAUUCGGAACACAACGGAAAUGACACUAACUAUUAUGGUCACUGCUACCUCUUGAGCACUGCGUUGGUUUUCCCUUGAAGAGGAAAUGGUGAUGCAGCAUAGUAGCGUAAGUAUUUCCCUCAGUUUCUGAGAACCAAGGUAUCAAUCCAGUAGGAGGCUAUGCGCGAGUCCCUUGUACCUACACAAAACAAAUAACUCCUCGCAACCAAUGCGAUAAGGGGUUGUCAAUCCCUUCACGAUCACUUACGAGAGUGAGAUCUGAUAGAUAUGAUAGGAUAAUAUUUUUGGUAUUUUUAUGAUAGAGAUGCAAAGUAAAAUAAAAGCAAAGUAAAAAAGCAAAGGAAAUAAAUAAGUGUGGGAAGAUUAAUAUGAUGAAGAUAGACCCGGGGGCCAUAGAUUUCACUAGUGGCUUCUCUCAAGAGCAUAAGUAUUUUACGGUGGGUGAACGAAUUACUGUUGAGGAAUUGACAGAAUUGAGCAUAGUUAUGAGAAUAUCUAGGUAUGAUCAUGUAUAUAGGCAUCAUGUCCGAGAUAAGUAGACCGACUCCUGCCUGCAUCUACUACUAUUGCCCCACUCAUCGACCGCUAUCCAGCAUGCAUCUAGAGUAUUAAGUUCAUGAAAAUAGAGUAACGCCUUAAGAAAGAUGACAUGAUGUAGAGGGAUAAAUUCAUGCAAUAUGAUAAAAACCACAUCUUGUUAUCCUCAAUGGCAACAAUACAAUACGUGCCUUGCUGCCCCUACUGUCACUAGGAAAGGACACCGCAAGAUUGAACCCAAAGCUAAGCACUUCUCUCAUUGCAAGAAAGAUCAAUCUAGUAGGCCAAACCAAACUGAUAAUUCGAAGAGACUUGCAAAGAUAACCAAUCAUACAUAAAAGAAAUCAGAGAAGAUUCAAAUAUUGUUCAUAGAUAAUCUUGAUCAUAAACCCACAAUUCAUCGGUCUCAACAAACACACCGCAAAAAGAAGAUUACAUCGAAUAGAUCUCCACGAGAGAGGGGGAGAACAUUGUAUUGAGAUCCAAAAAGAGAGAAGAAGCCAUCUAGCUACCAACUAUGGACCCAAAGGUCUGAGGUAAACUACUCACACUUCGUCGGAGAGGCUAUCGUGAUGAUGUAGAAGCCCUCCGUGAUGGAUGCCCCCUCCGGCGGAGCUCCGGAACAGGCCCCAAGAUGGGAUCUCGUGGGUACAAAAGGUUGCGGCGGUGGAAUUAGGUUUUUGGCUCCGUAUCUGAUCGUUUGGGGGUACGUAGGUAUAUAUAGGAGGAAGGAGUAUGCCGGUGGAGCAACAGGGGGCCCACGAGGGUGGAGGGCGCGCCCUGGGGGGUGGGCACGCCCCCCUACCUCGUGGCCUCCUCCUUUGUUUCUUGACGUAGGGUCCAAGUCUCCUGGAUCAUAAUUGAGGGAGUCCUGGAUUAGGGGGUGUCUGGAUGGCCGGACUAUACCUUCAGCCAGACUCCUGGACUAUGAAGACACAAGAUUGAAGACUCCGUCCCGUGUCCGGAAGGGACUUUCGUUGGCGUGGAACACAAGCUUGGCGAUAUGGAUAUGUAGAUCUCCUACCAUUGUAACCGACUUUGUGUAACCCUAACCCUCUCCGGUGUCUAUAUAAACCGGAGGGUUUUACUCCGUAGGACAACAUACACAACAACAAUCAUACCAUAGGCUAGCUUCUAGGGUUUAGCCUCUCUGAUCUCGUGGUAUAUCUACUCUUGUACUACCCAUAUCAUCAAUAUUAAUCAAGCAGGACAUAGGGUUUUACCUCCAACGAGAGGGCCCGAACCUGGGUAAAACUUCGUGUUCCUUGCCUCCUGUUACCAUCCGGCCUAGACGCACAGUUCGGGACCCCCUACCCGAGAUCCGCCGGUUUUGACACCGACAUUGGUGCUUUCAUUGAGAGUUCCUCUAUGUCGUCGCCAUCAGGAAGGAUGCCUCGCCCCGUCUUUAAAGACGGCACCGUUGCUAAGGGAGCUUUGGCUGUCGGCCAAACCCUCUGGCUAGGUGGUUUUCUUAUGACCGCCUGUUCGGCUUCUGCGUCGACGAUGACUUCUCGAGCCAUCGAAAACAAUCUUCAUGUCAGCUCAGAACUCGCCGAGCAGUUAGAUCCAAUGUAGCUCUCCUCCAUAAACGAGCUCUUGGAUCGCUUCACCGCCCUGGGAGUCACUACGGAUUAUGACCAGAUUGGGCCUAAACCCGAUCUGAGAGAGAUUAACUCUCCCCAAGUCACCCAUCACGUUGUCGUGGUAGAGGGACAGUGCGGCGACCCUUCAUCUAUCUUAAGGACUCGCUACAUCCGGAUUCCCGAUCCCUCCAAGCCGGAUACCCGCGGAGGGGAGGCUAUCACACAAGACCUGAACUUAGAGUCAGGCGACGGGCUGGAUUCAUUGGACAACAUCCAGGAAUCCAAAUUUUCGAGUUCGGAAAUUCCUCGGCCUCUGAGCCUUAGAUGGGGUGAGGCUUCAGAUUUAAUUCCACCCACCCACCCCAACAUAAGCGAUCUAUCCAAAAUCAGGCAAGAGCCCGAUGAAACAGUACAUCAUUACUGGGCCAGAUUCCUCCUGGUUAAGAACAGGCUAAGGGACUGCCGCGAGGAAGACGCAAUCUCAAUCUUCUGCAAUAAUUGCACGGACAAGGGAAUACUCAACGCCAUAAGUCGCGUGAUAUUACACACUUCACUGACUUGGCAUCCAUUGUACGAAAGUACUGUGCGAUGGAAAGCGCCUGGAAAACCGAAAUCAAAUUUUGGGACAAUCCGGCCCUGAAUACAAACCCAGUCCGAAAUAAAAGGAUGCAUCAUCACCAGACACCCGGGUUAAGCACUAAAAAGGAAAAACCCUCUACAGGGCAUGGAACCGUACUGGAAGGAUGGCUCAAUGGACCCUGUAACAUUCACAGUACAGAGGACGCCACACCAACUCACAGCCUCAGAGCAUGUUGGAUACUCCGGCAGGUGGCCAAAACUGGCGAAAGUCUCCUAAUUCCGGAGGCCAUAGAAAGCCACCCCAGAGACACCAAUACGGUAUUAAUAGUCUUCGAGACUUUCGCAUCAAAUAAUAUGCGAAAAAGGACACUCCGCAGCCUUGCCGAAGUCUACCAAGUAGCAACAAUAAACACAUGGAGUGACACGGCUAUUACCUUUAAUGCCAGUGAUGAACCUAAAUUCCGAACAGCCCAAGCACCAGCCGCAUUGGUCCUCAGUCCAAUAGUGGACGGCUUUCGUCUUACCAAGGUACUCAUGGACGGCGGCGGCGGAUUGAACCUCAUUUAUGAGGAAACCCUUCAAAAAAUGGAAAUAGACUGGAACCGCAUUGAGCGAAGCAGCACAACCUUUAGAGGAAUAAUCCCCAGUCGGGAAGCGCGCUGUACAGGAAAAAUCACACUAAAUGUGGUGUUCGGCGUGCCGGAUAAUUACAGGUCCGAAGAGGUCACGUUCCAUGUGUCUCCGUUCAGCAGCGGUUAUCAUGCUCUGCUAGGGCGGGAAGCGUUUACAAUCUUCCAAGCAAUACCCCAUUACGGGUACAUGAAGCUCAAGAUGCCUGGGCCUAACGGGAUCAUCACUCUCACUAGUGAUCCGGACAUAGCACUCCACGCCGAAAACAAGACAGCCGCACUGGCCCUCGAGGCACUAUCUGAAGCCCUAGCAGCUGAGGAACUGACUGCGCUGCGCUCUACGAUGAAUAGGGACGAUGUGGUACUCGACAAAAGAUCCAAGUCCACCUCCUUUAAACUGGCGGACGAAAUAGUCAAAUUCCAAGUCCAUCCAACAAACCCCAAUAAAACAGCUUCCAUCGGGGCACAGUUAAACCCUGAUGUAGACGCCGCACUGCGAGAGUUCCUAUGAGAGAAUUGGGACAUUUUCGCCUGGCACCCUUCAGACAUGCCAGGAAUCCCACGCAGGCUGGCCGAGCACAGCUUAAAUAUCCAAACAGGAUUCAAACCUGUCAAACAGGCUCUUCGGCGUUUUUCCGAACCUAAGAGACAUGCCAUGGGAGAGGAGCUAACAAAGCUAUUGGAGGCCGGAUUCAUCAGAGAUAUAAAACAUCCGGACUGGCUAGCAAACCUGGUGAUGGUACCAAAGAAGGACAAAUCAUGGCGCCUGUGUGUUGAUUUUAAAGACCUUAACAAGGCUUGCCCAAAGGAUCCCUUCCCCCUCCCCCGCAUCGAUCAAAUUAUCGACGCUACCGCAGGACACGAUUCGUUGUGUUUCCUCGACGCAUAUUCCGGCUACCAUCAAAUCAAGAUGGCAGAACCAGACCAAGCCGCAAUGGCAUUUAUCACACCAUAAGGCCCAUUCUGCUUCAACACGAUGCCCUUCGGGCUCAUAAACGCUGGCGCAACAUAUCAGCGCAUGAUUCAGACAUGUCUGGCAAGCCAGAUCGGCAAAAUAGUGGACCCAUAUGUAGAUGAUGUGGUCGUCAAAACAAGACAUGUUGAAUCUCUAGUAGAUGACUUGAGGCUCACAUUUGAUAACCUCCGAACAUACGACAUCAAGCUCAACCCGGAAAAAUGUGUUUUCGGCGUUCCAGCCGGAAAGCUCUUGGGCUUCAUUGUAUCCGGUAGAGGAAUUGAAGCAAAUCCAGCCAAGAUCCGAGCUCUGUCACAACUGGAUAUCCCAAAGGACCUCAAACAAAUACAAAAGUUAAUCGGAUGUGUGGCGGCUCUAAGCCGCUUUAUCUCCCGCUUGGGAGAAAAGGCUCUACCCCUUUACCGCCUCCUUCGGUGCACCGAAUGCUUCAAAUGGAUGGAUGCAGCCACGGCCGUACUCGACGAAAUAAAAGCCGUACUGGCAACAAACCCAGUCCUGGCCGCGCCAAACAUUGGUGAACCAAUGCUAUUAUACAUUGCAGCAACACAUCAUGUUGUAAGCGCAGUGCUCGUCGUCGAACGAGAAGCGGACGAACACAAAUUCCCCCUUCAAAAGCCGGUCUAUUAUGUGUCCAUUGUCCUCACUCCCUACAAAUCACGGUACCCGCAUUAUCAAAAGAUCGUACGCGGUAUUCAUGGCAUCCCGGAAGCUACGACACUACUUUCAAGAGUGUUCAAUAACAGUAGCCUCGGAAGUACCACUUAACGAUAUUAUAAACAACCAUGACGCAACGGGCCGGAUUGCAAAAUGGGCCAUUGAGCUCCUCCCGUUCGACAUAACUUAUAAGCCAUGGCAAGCCAUCAAGUCGCAAGUCUUGGCCGACUUCGUCGCAGAAUGGACGAAGGCCGAACUCCCUAAAGAGUACGACACAUAUUCAAAUUGGAUCAUGAAUUUCGACGGCUCCCAGAUGUUGGCCGGACUGGGGGCCGGCGUCGUUUUGACGUCCCCCACAGGAGACACAGUUCAAUAUGUACUCUAGAUUAUGUACACGGACUCCAACAAUCCAGCCGAAUAUGAGGCCCUUUUACAUGGUCUCCGGAUGGCAGUAUCCAUGGGCAUUCAACGCCUAGAGGUGCGCGGGGACUCGAACCUCGCAAUAUCCCAAAUAAAUGGAGACUUCGAUGCCAAGGAUACAAAAAUGGCAGCUUACCGCAACACCGUCCUAAAAAUGUCAUCUCAGUUCGAGGGGCUUGAAUUUCACCAUAUAGCCCGGGAAAAUAAUCAGGCGACGGAUGUCCUAGCACGCAUCGGCGCAAAACACGAUGUAGUCCCCCCCCAACAUCUUCUUGGAAAGGCUGUUCAAGCCAUCCGUAGUAUGGGAAGGGGGGCCGAACAAUAACAGCCCGGACCCAACCGCACUGCCCGACACCAAACAUCCUGACACAAUUGGAGGCUUUGCCAAUGAAAUAACACCUUCAGCCCACGUAAUAAUGGCCGUCAUCGCCCCGUGGACAGAACCAUUCCUCGCCUACCUUACUAGGCAGGAACUCCCCGAGGACCAAAAUGAGGCACGCUGCAUAGUGCGGCGAUCCAAAGCCUACAGAGUCCACGAGGGAGAACUUUAUAAGAAAAGCACUGCCGGAGUCCUUCAAAGGUGCAUCUCCGAAGAGGAGGGGCGGAACCUCCUGGCUGAAAUUCAUGCCGGACUCGGAGGUCAUCACGCUGCAGCUCGGUCCCUUGUAAGCAAGGCCUUCCGUACAGGCUUUUAUUGGCCGACGGCCCGGGCAGACGCUCAGGUUGCCAGCUCUUUGCAAACCAAAGCCAUAUGCCACCCACCGCCCUCCAAACUAUCCCCAUUACUUGGCCCUUCGCGGUCUGGGGGCUUGACAUGGUUGGACCCCUUAAAUGCGGAACCCACAAGCAAAAAUACUUACUGGUCAUGGUGGAUUAGUUCACCAAAUGGAUAGAAGCCAAGCCUGUUAAGACGGCCGAAUCCGGACCGGUGAUAGACUUUAUAUCUGGGGUUGUACACCGUUACGGCGUCCCCCACAGCAUCAUCACUGAUAACAGCACGAACUUCACGGCCGACGAGGUAAAACUCUGGUGCAAAAACAUGGGCAUCAAGCUCGAUUAUGCUUCCGUCUAUCACCCACAAACUAACGACCAGGUCGAACGUGCAAAUGGUCUUAUCAUGAGCGACAUCAAACCCAGAUUAGUGCGGUCCCUCAAGGAAUCUAAUACGCACUGGGUAGAGGAGCUCGACUCCGUACUCUGGGGGCUGCGGACCACGCCGAAUUGUACCACCGGAUACACACCAUUCUUUAUGGUGUACGGCGCAGACGCAGUUUUGCCUUGCGACAUAAUUCAUGACUCACCUCGAGUGUGCAUGUACGAAGAAAGAGAAGCCGAGCUCGAUCAGCAGAAUAGCUUGGACGAUUGGAGGAGGAGCGUGACGUGGCAAAAGCCCGUUCCGCAUUCUAUCAACAGCAGGCUCGAAGAUACCAAAGCAGAGAAGUACGGGCCAAAAAUUACAACGUUGGCGAAUUAGUUCUACGACUACCGGACAAGAAAAAGGACAAACUCAAGCCCAAGUGGGAAGGUCCCUUCAUAAUUGACCAAGUCCUGACUGGUGGAGCGUACCGCCUGCGGGAUGCAUCGGAUAACCGACUCAAGCCGAACCCAUGGAACGCAGCCCGUCUCCAAAGAUUCUAUGCCUAGCGCUGGACUCUGUGUUCGUCUCCUUCCUCUGUCCAUUUUUUAUAUAUAUUCUGUCUUACAUUUCUCUUCUCUCUCUCUCUCUCUCUCUCUCUCUCUCUCUCUCUUAUAGCCUUUAAAGGCUCAUAAAGUGACGCGCUAUCCGCGCUCAUUAAACCCGGGGGCUUCUUUAAACAGAAGCUUAUUCAUACGGGCUUCAUGCCCAGCACAUGUGUCAUACUUCCGCAUGUACCUUUUAUUCACCAUUAUAUGCAUCGAUAUGACUUAAGUUUUGUCCAAGCUGGGUUGCCUGGCUCCUGUGCUUACCCCUACGUUCCCGAUUGUUCGGCUAGGUGGUAAAGGGAGCACCUCUGCGAUUGUUACUGCCGGGUCAGCCGAACGUGUACCUCAGACUGGGUGAAGCCGAAAGCUAGCGUUCUUAAGGGAAUAUUCGGUCGGUGAACUAAAGAUGAUCCUUUUUCAUUUUUAUCUAUACGCCCCCAGAUAUUUUUCCUGCGUUUCUUUUCGCAGCAUGGACAUGCACCUUAGGGCAUGCCUCCCAGGGAAAGGAACCCCUAACGGAACUAUUCUCCCUGGAAGAUGUUUCUUACUAACCAUGUAAUAUAACAUAACUAGUCGGUCACUUGUCUAUUCACGCACUAAUGACCCCUACGCCUAGUCUCCAUGCAUUCCCCGGUUCCUAUAUAACCGCAUGGGAAUUCGGACACACUCUGGACCGUCAGGUCCCGAGGCUGAAGCAAAAAGGUCGGCCAUGACAAAUGAUCUACAAUCUGGCUAGAAGGCAUUAUAAAUGUCAAUUAAAUUACAUAGUCAUUUUGACUGAUUGUAUUCCUCUUCAAUACCAUCUAACAGGCUGUCUAAUUUACAGUCCUGCUGGGAAUACUUUGCGGCCAACUCUACUUGGCCGUAUACUAAGCUUACAGGGAUCUCCUUCCCAUCGGGCCCUACAAGACCGACCUCGGCCAUGUGGUUGGGGUCAGCCUUUGCGUACCGCGUCUUCACCAUGGCCCAGGCCUCCCUAGCGCCUUGACGCCAGGCCGAUAUCUUCCACAAUCGGAAGCGCAGCCGUGCUCCCUUUAGCUUCUCCGCAAGCUCUCCAAGACCUUCGGGCAUGGAGACGGAUGGCCACAUGGCCUGGGCGACGCCUUGCAUCGCCUGCUGAACUCGAUCGAGCAGUUGCGAGAGCUCGGGAAGAAGGUCACCCGUAGAACCGGGCAUCUCCUCUGCAGGACGACCUGUUAGCACACCUACAGACACUGCUCUGUUAGUUGACUUCCCCGCCGAACUUUCUUUCAAAGGUUCGUUCAGGCACUUACUAAAUAUGCAGCGCCGAAGCUGCUGAUUCUCCUUCAUGGAGUCUGACAGCUGGGCACGAACAUCUUUCAGCUCGACGGCCAGCUGGGUGUUGGCAUCUUGGAGAUCGUUCCUCUCCCGCCUCACCUUUGUCAGCACCUUCUCACCAGCCUUUAGCUGGCGUAGGAGGUGUUGCCUUUCCGGAUUCAAUCCAGCGCCAUCUGCAAUUUCAUUUGUCAGAUUCGCACCCAUGUCGUGCUUUGCAAAAUACUUAUCUUUCAAAGUGUAUAUUACCAGAGAGGGUCUCCUUGGGCUCCCCUGCCGCGGCUAGUGCGGCCUCAAGUUGGGAUUUGCACUCUUCCAGCUCCUUGGACAGUAGGGAAUUCUUUUCUAUAAGAACCUGCAUAACAAAUGAUCCUUAAAUCAGUUAUUCUAACUAUUUCAAGUCUCGGGGGCUACUGGUAUAUAUAUAUAUAUAUAUAAUUACCAAAAUUUUCUUACCCGUAUGUCUUUUACAUAUUGCUCCGUAGCUCUGGCUAGACCAUUUUGAGCGGCACGGAGGUAUGCAUCUCCGGAGUUGAAGGCAUCUAACGCCCCUUGAGAGAAACAAGCGUCGCGAAGAAUUGUCCGGCAACGCCUGUGGUUCAUGGCACUCUCCACCUCAGAGUUGGUGGCAGACAACCCGUCCACAUCCUCCAUUGGAGGAGCGUCUGGCGCGCGCCUUGCGUUCGCCUCCGCCUCCGGGCCAGGCUUUGGAGCCUAGCUGGUGGAGGCGCGAUUGGCAGCCUCUCCGGAUAUAGUCCGGCGAGGUCUCUUUGUCUGGAAGAAAGCACAAGUGUCAAUGUGCCUCGAAGGUAUAACACCUAGGAUAAGGGGGUGCGCCAUACCUUUGCGCUGACGCCUCGGUCCGUACUGCACUUCUUUUCUGCCCACGGGGCCCUACGGCCCCUCGUUGGCUUGUCGCCGCAGGUUCAGCCUUCCGCUUUAAAAACCUCCCCUGCAAAGUUCGGUUGUAAUCAGGAAACUGAAAACACGAGAGGGCGGACACCUAUUCGGGGUACUGGGACUUCGAUCUCAGUUACCUGGGAGGCCGGGAUUAGCCCUGGGUAAUCGGCUGUAAUGGCCACCAAGGCGUUGUCCUUGCUCAAUUGAUGGAACACACCAUCAAUCAGCUCCACAGAUAUGUCUGGAUCCUCUUGAGAGGCCGGGUCGAGGGACCAUCCUGGGUCCUCGGGUUGUGGAGGAGGGCUGCUUAUUUCCUUAAUAGCCAGGCGCAGUUCCUGCGUUGAAGUCGUCAGACUGAAUAUUUAACAAUGGGAAUACAAAACGGAUGGGCAAGUAAAUACGACCGCUUACCCAGCUUGGGUGAUUGUGCAUAGAGAAUCCACCCUGUGGGUUAACGCGGAGAAAUUCCUCCUCUUCUCCCUUAUACAAAGUGGACAAGAUUUUUAGUAGAGCGGCAACUGAAUCCGGCCCCUUACGGCCGUAGCGGGUGGCGUCGUCCUCCCCGUUGAAGUCCCACAUGGGGUGGCUUCUAUACUAAAGCGGUUGCACCCCCCGCAUAAUGCAUUCGGCCAUAAACCCGAUCAUGCUUAGUCCGGAAUGGGCUAACAAUCUUAUUCGGCCCAUCAGGUAAAUGAUGUCCCUGUCACUUUCCCUCUGAGGGCUCCGUGGAAGCCAGCUUAGGCGCUUCUUUAAGGUAGCACUGUCGAAUUCAGGGAGGCCGAUCUGGACAGGAUCCGGCAGCGGGACGUCUUCUAUAUAAAACCAUUCCGAGGGCCAGUCUUCGGACGCCUUCUUUGGGGUUCCGGACAGAUAUCCAGUCCCGGUGAUGCGCCACACUUUGGCUCCGCCCACUUGAUACAUUGACCCCUCCUUAGAGUGGGACACAAGGCAGAAUAACCUUUUCCAUAGCCCGAAAUGAGCCUCGAUACCCAAAAACAGCUCGCAGAGGGCUACAAAACCCGUGAUAUGCAAUACGGAGGCAGGCGUGAGAUUGUGUAGCUGGUGGCCAUAGAACUCCAAGAGCCCCUGGAGAAAUGGAUGGAUUGGAAAUCCGAGCCCCCUUAUUAAAUAAGGGACGAGGCACACCCGCUCUCCUUUGGAGGGAUUAGGGGCACUCUCCGCUUGCUCUCCGCCAUUAUAGAUGGCAAGGCCGGCUCGAACCGGGACCAUAUAGGCCGGGGGGAGAAAUCCCUUGGUCUGGAGCGUCACUAGCUCGCUAUGCGGGAUGGAGCAUCUCUCCCAGUAUCCAGGCUGAGGGUUGGAAAGGCGAGAAGAGGAGUCGCGACGGCUGGCCAUGGUGGAAUGGACCUUUGUCGGAUGCGCUCUGAUGAACACUCGCGAAGGGGGGAAGAUGUGGUUUGGAUCUAAAUCCUCGUCCCCUUAAAUAGGUCAGCUCAUUUACGCGGCUAGGGGUGUGAAUGUAAAAACACUCAGACUUUUCAUAUUCAUUUGACACGUGGGAAGCAGCCAUUAUUGGGCGUAGAAGCCAAGGAGCGCAACAUCUACAAGAAACCAGACUUUAUUCAACAGGUACACCGAAUUUGGAGAACCCGCAUUGCAAUGCCGAAGACAAUCUGCGCGGACUCAUCGUCAUUGAAGCCUGGUUCGGGGGCUACUUAGGGAGUCCUGGAUUAGGGGGUGUCCGGAUGGCCGGACUAUACCUUCAGCCAGACUCCUGGACUAUGAAGACACAAGAUUGAAGACUCCGUCCCGUGUUCGGAAGGGACUUUCCUUGGCGUGGAAGACAAGCUUGGCGAUACGGAUAUGUAGAUCUCCUACCAUUGUAACCGUCUUUGUGUAACCCUAACCCUCUCCGGUGUCUAUAUAAACCGGAGGGUUUUAGUCCAUAGGACAACAUACACAACAACAAUCAUACCAUAGGCUAGCUUCUAGGGUUUAGCCUCUCUGAUCUCGUGGUAGAUCUACUCUUGUACUACCCAUAUCAUCAAUAUUAAUCAAGCAGGACGUAGGGUUUUACCUCCAUCGAGUGGGCCCGAACCUGGGUAAAACUUCGUGUUCCUUGCCUCCUGUUACCAUCCGGCCUAGAUGCACAGUUCGGGACCCCCUACCCGAGAUCCACCGGUUUUGACACCGACAAUAAUCUUCCUAAAAAUCACGUUCCCGAAGGUUUCAUUCCGGUUGGACUCCGUUUGAUAUUCCUUUUCUGCGAAACUCUGAAAUAGGCAAAAAACCACAAUUCUGGGCUGGGCCUCCAGUUAAUACGUUAGUCCCAAAAAUAAUAUAAAAGUGAAUAAUAAAGCCCAAUAAUGUCCAAAACAGUAGAUAAUAUAGCAUGGAGCAAUCAAAAAUUAUAGAUACGUUGGAGACGUAUCAGUCACUCUCCAGAGUACAGACUGCAAGUGAUCUCUAACUCGCCACUACUACUCUUUCUUGUUCACUUUCUUUUUACUUUCUCUAGUUGCUUAUAUUCUUAGUGCAACUUUCUUGAGGGUAUUUGUUUUUUUUUAUAUUUGGCCACUUUACGAAGUACAGUUUGCCUGGAGGUCAAGGUCAGGGUGUGCUUUUUAAAUCUAUUCAUAGUGUAUAAUAACGGGUAUGCUAAAACUCAUUCGACUGAUAUUUAAUCAUGUCCCAGUCAACCUUGCAACAUUUUGUCCCUUUGUUUGCAACUUUUCUUCCUACCGGUUGCAACAUCAGUCUUGCUGGUUGUGGCAUGUCAUCCCUCGUUGAUUGUAGCAUGUCAUCUCACUGGUCGCAACAUCCUCAAUUGAUGGUUGUAGCAAUUUAGUCAGAAUGGUUGUAGGAUAUAUUGUCGUUGCUUGCAGUAUUGUCGUCUAAUUUUUCAUCAUCACUUGCAGCAUCCAGUCUUCUCGAUCAUAGCACCACAACUAUGCUGACGUCACUAGACUGAGACUUCAUUAAGUCUCAGCCGAUUGAGUUCUAAAGUUUGUGGUCAGAUCAGACUUCAAAUUUUGCUUUUCUAUGAUUUUUUUUAAUUAUUAACUUAUUUGCUACACUUACUAGUAGACUGCCCGUGCGUUGCCAUGGACCAACAAUUGAAUUUACUGAAAACGCUCUCACCCGCUUAUUAUACAUAGUAAAGCAACAAUUAACAUAAUAAUAAAGCAACAAUCAACAUACAUGCAUCCGCAUACAACAACCUAAUUGACUAAAAUGCCCCUUCCUUUAAUUUCACAUCUGCAGUACAUGGCAGCAUGCCUCCUCAAGUAGCUUUCGUCGGGUCUAGAUUGUUUGUGGUUCUUUACUAACUUGUUUGUAAGAGAACUGUUCCAUCCAAAUGUAGGAUGUACGCACUCUCUGAAGAAACAUAAGAUUUUUUAUUGAUAAUAUAGUACAAUAUUAAAGUGGCAUCUUCAUCAUCCCGGCGCUCUCCAUGACGAGGAGGGAGUAGUUCACCCUCGGGGCUGAGGGUAUGUACCAGUAGCUAUGUGUUUGAUCUCUCUCUCUCUCUCUCUCUCUCUCUCGUGUUCUUGAUUUGGCACGAUCUUGAUGUAUCGUGAGCUUUGCUAUUAUAGUUGGAUCUUAUGUUGCUUCUCCCCCUCUUCUCUCUUGUAAUGGAUUGAGUUUUCCCUUUGAAGUAAUCUUAUCGGAUUGAGUCUUCAAUGAUUUGAGAACACUUGAUGUAUGUCUUGCCGUGUGUAUCUGUGGUGACAGUGGGAUAUCACGUGAUUCACUUGAUGUAUGUUUCGGUGAUCAACUUGCGGGUUCCACCCAUGAACCUAUGCAUAGGGGUUGGCACACGUUUUCGUCUUGACUCUCCGGUAGAAACUUUGGGGCACUCUUUGAGGUUCUAAGUGUUGGUUGAAUAGAUUAAUCUGAGAUUGUGUGAUGCAUAUCAUAUAAUCAUACCCACGGAUACUUGAGGUGACAUUGGAGUAUCUAGAUGACAUUAGGGUUUUGGUUGAUUUGUGUCUUAAGGUGUUAUUCUAGUACGAACUCUAGGGAUGUUUGUGACACUUAUAGGAAUAGCCUAACGGAUUGAUUGGAAAGAAUAACUUUGAGGUGGUUUCGUACCCUACCAUAAUCUCUUCGUUUGUUCUCCGCUAUUAGUGACUUUGGAGUGACUCUUUGUUGCAUGUUGAGGGAUAGUUAUAUGAUCCAAUUAUAUUAUUAUUGUUGAGAGAACUUGCACUAGUGAAAGUAUGAACCCUAGGCCUUGUUUCCUAGCAUUGCAAUACCGUUUGUGCUCACUUUUAUCAUUAGUUACCUUGCUGUUUUUAUAUUUUCAGAUUACAAAAACCUAUAUCCACCAUCCAUAUUGCACUUGUAUCACCAUCUCUUCGCCGAACUAGUGCGCCUAUACAAUUUACCAUUGUAUUGGGUGUGUUGGGGACACAAGAGACUCUUUGUUAUUUGGUUGCAGGGUUGUUUGAGAGAGACCAUCUUCAUCCUAUGCUUCCCACGGAUUGAUAAACCUUAGGUCAUCCACUUGAGGGAAAAUUUGCUACUGUCCUACAAACCUCUGCACUUGGAGGCCCAACAACAUCUACAAGAAGAAGGUUGUGUAGCAGACAUCAACGUGUGCUGAACUUGGAGGUGACGUGCGUUCGGUACAUGAUCGAUCGGAUCGUGAAGACGUAUGACUACGUCAACCGCGUUGUGCUAACGCUUCCGCUUUCGGUCUUCGAGGGUACGUGGACAACACUCUCCCCUCUCGUUGCUAUGCAUCACCAUGAUCUUGCGUGUGCGUAGUAAUUUUUUUGAAAUUACCACGUUCCCCAACGAUAGCUUCUUUCAAGAGCAUAAGUAUUACGGUGGGUGAACAAAUUACUAUCGAGCAACUGAUAGAAUUGAGCAUAGUUAUGAGAAUAUCUAGUUAUGAUCAUGUAUAUAGGCAUCAGGUCCUUGAAAAGUAGACCGAAACGAUUCUGCAUCUACUACUAUUACCUCACACGUCGACCGCUAUACAGCAUGCAUCUAGAGUAUUAAGUUCAUAAGAACAGAGUAAUGCUUUAACUAAGAUGACAUGAUGUAGAGGGAUAAACUCAUGCAUUAUGAUAUAAACCCUAUCUUGUUAUCCUCGAUGGCAACAAUACAAUACGUGCCUUGCUCCCCCUGCUGUCGCUAGGAAAGGACACCGCAAGAUUGAACCCAAAGCUAAGCACGUCUCCCAUUGCAAGAAAGAUCAAUCUAGUAGGCCAAACCAAACUGAUAAUUCGAAGAGACUUGUAAAGAAAACCAAUCAUACAUAAAAGAAUUCAAAGGAGAUUCAAAUAUUGUUCAUAGAUAAACUUGAUCAUAGACCCACAAUUCAUCGGUCUCGACAAACACACCGCAAAAGAAGAUUACAUCGAAUAGAUAUCCAAGAGAAUUGAGGAGAACUUUGUAUUGAGAUCCAAAGGGAGAGAAGAAGCCAUCUAGCUAAUAACUAUGGACCCGAAGGUCUGAGGUAAACUACUCACACAUCAUCGGAGAGGCUAUGGUGUUGAUGUAGAAGCCCUCCGUGAUCAAUGCCCCCUCCGGCGGAGCGCCGGAGAAGUCCCCAAGAUGGGAUCUCAGGGGUACAGAAGGUUGCGGCGGUGGAAAUAGGGUUUUGGCUCUGUGUCUGAUGUUUUGGGGGUAUGUAGGUAUAUAUAGGUGGAAGAAGCCGAAAAUCAUGUUACCGAAGGUUUCAUUCCGUUUGGACUCUGUUUGAUAUUCUUUUUCUGCGAAACACUGAAAUAGGCAAAAACAGCAAUUUGGGCUGGGCCUCCGGUUAAUAGGUUAGUCCCAAAAAUAAUAUAAAAGUGUAUAAUAAAGCCCAUUAAACAUCCAAACAGAAUAUAAUAUAGCAUUGAACAAGAAAAAAAUUAUAGAUACGUUGGAGACGUAUCAAGCAUCCCCAAGCUUAAUUCCUGCUCGUCCUCGAGUAGGUAAAUGAUAAAAAUAGAAUUUUUGAUGUGGAAUGCUACUUGGCAUAAUUUUCAAUGUAAUUCUCUUAUUUGUGGUAUGAAUGUUCAGAUUCGAAUGAUUCAAGACAAAAUCUUAAUAUUGACAUAAAAAUAAUAAUACUUCAAGCAUACUAACUAAGCAAUUAUGUCUUCUCAAAAUAACAUGGCCAAAGAAAGUUAUCCCUACAAAAUCAUAUAGUUUGGCUAUGCUCUAUCUCCAUCACACAAAUUAUUUAAUCAUGCACAACCCCGAUGACAAGCCAAGCAAUUGUUUCAUACUUUUGGUGUUCUCAAGCUUUUCAAUCUUCACGCAAUACAUGAGCGUGAGCCAUGGACAUAGCACUAUAUGUUGAAUAGAAUGGUGGUUGUGGAGAAGACAAAAAAGGAGAAGAUAGUCUCACAUCAACUAGACGUAUCAAUGGGCUAUGGAGAUGCCCAUCAAUAGAUAUCAAUGUGAGUGAGUAAGGAUUGCCAUGCAACGGAUGCACUAGAGCUAUAAGUAUAUGAAAGCUCAACAAAAACUAAGUGGGUGUGCAUCCAACUCGCUUGCUCACGAAGACCUAGGGCAUUUUGAGGAAGCCCAUCAUUGGAAUAUACAAGCCAAGUUCUAUAAUGAAAAUUUCCCACUAGUAUAUGAAAGUGAUAUCAAAGGAGACUCUCUAUCAUGAAGAUCAUGGUGCUACUUUGAAGCACAAGUGUGGUAAAAGGAUAGUAGCAUUGUCCCUUCUCUCUUUUUCUCUCUUUUUUUUCUUUUUUUUCUUUGGCAUUUUAUCUUCUUUUUUAUGGCCUUUUUUUAUUUAGUCUGGAGUCUCAUCCCGACUUAUGGGGGAAUCAUAGUCUCCAUCAUCCUUUCCUCACUUGGUACAAUGCUCUAAUAAUGAUGAUCAUCACACUUUUAUUUUCUUUACAACUCAAGAAUUACAACUCAAAACUUAGAACAAAACAUGACUCUAUGUGGAUGCCUCCGGCGGUGUACCGGGAUAUACAAUGAAUCAAGAGUGACAUGUAUGAAAGAAUUAUGAAUGGUGGCUUUGCCACAAAUAUGAUGUCAACUACAUGAUCAUGCAAAGGAAUAUGACAAUGAUGAAGUGUGUCAUAGUAAAUGGAACGAUGGUAAGUUGCAUGGCAAUAUAUCUUGGAAUGGCUAUGGAAAUGCCAUGAUAGGUAAGUAUGGUGGCUGUUUUGAGGAAGGCAUAUGGUGGGUGUAUGAUACCGGCGAAAAGUGCGCGGUAUUAGAGAGGCUAGCGAUUGUGGAAGGAUGAGAGUGUGUAUAAUCCAUGGACUCAACAUUAGUCAUAAAGAACUCAUAUACUUGUUGCAAAAAUCUACAAGUUAUCAAAGCAAAGUAUUACGCGCAUGCUCCUAGGGGGAUAUAUUGGUAGGAAAAGACCAUCGCUCAUCCCCGACCGCCACUCAUAAGGAAGACAAUCAAUAAAUAAAUCAUGCUCCGACUUCAUCACAUAACGGUUCACCAUACGUGCAUGCUACGGGAAUCACAAACUUUAACACAAGUAUUUCUCAAAUUCACAACAACUCAACUAGCAUGACUCUAAUAUCACCAUCUUCAUAUCUCAAAACAAUUAUCAAGCAUCAAACUUCUCAUAGUAUUCAACACACUCAUAAGAAAUAUUUUUACUAAUCUUGGAUGCCUAGCAAAUUACCAUGCUGUUUUGUAGGACUCUCAAAAUAAUAUAAGUGAAGCAUGAUAGAAAAAUAGUUUCUAUAAAACAAAUCCACCACCGUGCUCUAAAAGAUAUAAGUGAAGCACUAGAGAAAAACUAUAUAGCUCAAAAGAUAUAAAUGAAGCACAUAGGGUAUUCUAAUAAAUUCCGAAUCAAGUGUGUCUCUCUCAAAAGGUGUGUACAAAAAGGAUGAUUGUGGUAAACUAAAAAUCAAAGACUCAAAUCAUACAAGACGCUCCAAGCAAAACACAUAUCACGCGGUGAAUAAAAAUAUAGCUCCAAGUAAAGUUACCGAUGGACGAAGACGAAAGAGGGGAUGCCUUCCGGGGCAUCCCCAAGCUUUGGCUUUUAGGUGUCCUUAGAUUAUCUUGGAGUGCCAUGGGCAUCCCCAAGCUUAGGCCUAUGCCACUCCUUGUUCCAUUAUCCAUCAAAUCUUUUACCCAAAACUUGAAAACUUCACAACACAAAACUUAACAGAAAAUCUCAUGAGCUCUGUUAGCGAAAGAAAGCAAAACACCACUUCAAGGUAUUGUAAUGAACUCAUUAUUUAUUUAUAUUGGUGUUAAACCUACUGUACUCCAACUUCUCUAUGGUUUAUAAACUCUUUUACUAGCCAUAGAUUCAUCAAAAUAAGCAAACAACACCGAAAAACAGAAUCUGUCAAAAACAGAACAGUCUGUAGUAAUCUGUAACUAACGCAAACUUCUGGAACUCAAAAACUUCUACCAAAAUAGGAAGACCUAGACAAUUUGUUUAUUGAUCUACUGCAAUUGGAAUCAGUAUUUUAUCACGUUCUGGUGAUUUUUUAACAUUUGUUUUAGUGAAUAGAAAGUUUCUGGAAUUUUCAGCAAGAUCAAAUAACUAUCAUCCAAGAAGAUCCUAUAGGUUUAAAUUGGCACAAACACUAAUUAAAACAUAAAAACAAAUCUAACCAUAGGCUAGAUCAAAUAUUUAUUCCUAAACAGAAGCAAAAGCAAAAAAACAAAAAUAAAAUUGGGUUGCCUCCCAACAAAUGCUAUCGUUUAACGCCCCUAGCUAGGCAUAAAAGCAAGGAAAGAUCUAGGUAUUGCCAUCUUUGGUAGGUAAUUCUUCAAUAAGACACCUAUAACCCCUAAGGGUUUCUUUCCUUUUAUUAAUUAUCAAACUCGUAGGCACAAAAUCAAGAAAAAUCGUUCGUAGUUUCCUUACUAGAGGAUUGGGAUGAACACUUAUUGAUUUUAAAUCCGCAGUUUCCUUACUAGAGGAUUCACCCUUAUUUUUAGGAACAUAAACAAGCUUGGAAAUUUUGGUAGGAGGAUUUGGAGUAUUUUUAAUGGAAUAAAAAGCGGACCCCAAGUUGGUGAUAAUUCCCUCAAGUUUAUCGAUUCUAGUAGAAUCUUGAUCUACUCUUUGAUUAACUAUGCGUUCUUUUUCCUUCAAACUUUUCAGAGUAACUCCCACCUUAGAUCCAUAUUGGUUAAUUCAGUUGUGGAUAUUUUUAUCCAAAUUCUCAAUAAACUCUACAGUAGCAACUUUAUUUUCAAUAAUUUCAAGCCUUUGCAUCACAUGUUCCAAAGUUAACAUAGUUCCAUUAACCAAAAGAGGUGGUGAGCCAAACAAAUCUAUCAUAGCAUUAUAAGAAUCAAAAGUAUGGCUACCCAAGAAAUUCCCUCCGGUAACGGUAUCAAGAAUAUAUAUGUACCAAGGAGUAACGCCUACAUAAAAACUGCGGAGAAGAACGGAAGUAGAUUGCUUCCUGGUAGAUCUAUUUUGAGCAUUGCAAAUUCUAUACCAAGCGUCUUUUAGAUUUUCUCCCUCCCUUUGCUUAAAAUUAAGAACCUCAUUCUCGGGAGACAACGGAGAAGAUAGGGACUAGCCAUAACGAUGAAGCAAGCGAAAAAGAGGCGAACAGAAAGGAGAGGGCGAAUAAGACGGCAAGGGUGAAGUGGGGGAGAGGAAAACGAGAGGAAAAUGGCAAAUAAUGUAAUGCGAGUGAUACGAAUUUGUGAUGGGUACUUGGUAUGUCUUGACUUGUGCGUAGACUCCCCGGCAACGGCGCCAGAAAUCCUUCUUGCUACCUCUUGAGCACUGUGUUGGUUUUCCCUUGAAGAAGAAAGGGUGAUGCAAUAAAGUAGCGUAAGUAUUUCCCUCAGUUUUUGAGAACCAAGGUAUCAAUCCAAUAGGAGACCACGCUCAAGUCCCACUCACCUACACAAACAAAUAAGAACCUCUCAACCAACGCGAUAAAGGGGUAAUCAAUCCCUUCACGGUCACUUACGAGAGUGAGAUCUAAUAGAUAUGAUAAGAUAAUAUUUUUGAUAUUUUUAUGAUAAAGAUGCAAAGUAAAAUAAAUGGCAAUAAAAAUAACUAAGUGUUGGAAGAUUAAUAUGAUGGAGAAUAGACCAGGGGGCCAUAGGUUUCACUAGUGGCUUCUCUGUAGAGCAUAAGUAUUACGGUGGGUGAACAAAUUACUGUCGAGCAAUUGAUAGAAUUGAGCAUAGUUAUGCGAAUAUCUUGGUAUGAUCAUGUAUAUAGGCAUCACGUCCGUGACAAGUAGACCGAAACGAUUCUGCAUCUACUACUAUUACUCCACACAUCGACCGCUAUCCAGCAUGCAUCUAGUGUAUUAAGUUCGUAAGAACAGUGUAAUGCUUUAAGUUAGAUGACAUGAUGUAGAGGGAUAAACUCAUGCAAUAUGAUAUAAACCCCAUCUUGUUAUCCUCGAUGGCAACAAUACAAUAUGUGCCUUGCUGCCCCUGCUGACACCGUAAGAUUGAACCCAAAGCUAAGCACUUCUCCCAUUGCAAGAAAGAUCAAUCUAGUAGGCCAAACCAAACUGAUAAUUCGAAGAGACAUGCAAAGAUAACCAAUCAUACAUAAAAGAAUUCAGAGGAAAUUCAAAUAUUUUUUAUAGAUAAACUUGAUCAUAAACCCACAAUUCAUCGGUCUCGACAAACACACUGCAAAAGAAGAUUACAUCAAAUAGAUCUCCAGGAGAAUCGAGGAGAACUUUGUAUUGAGAUCCAAAGGGAGAGAAGAAGCCAACCCGAAGGUCUGAGGUAAACUACUCACACAUCAUCGGAGAGGCUAUGGUGUUGAUGUAGAAGCCCUCCGUGAUCAAUGCCCCCUCCGGCGGAGCGCCGGAAAAGGCCGCAAGAUGGGAUCUCACGGGUACAGAAGGUUGCGCCGGUGGAAAUAGGGUUUUGGCUCCGUGUCUGAUGUUUUGGGGGUACGUAGGUAUAUAUAGGAGGAAGAAGUACGUUGGUGGAGCAACAUGGGCCCCACGAGGGUGCAGGGCGCGCAUGGGGGGGGGCGGUAGGCGCGCUCCCCUGCCUCAUUCUCUCCUCGUUGAUUGCUUUACGUAGACUCCAAGUCCUCUGGAUCACGUUUGUUUCGAAAAUCACGUUCCCGAAGGUUUCAUUCCGUUUGGACUCCGUUUGAUAUUAUUUUUCUGCGAAACACUGAAAUAGGCAAAAAAACAACAAUUUGGGCUGGGCCUCCGGUUAAUAGGUUAGUCCCAAAAAUAAUAUAAACGUGUAUAAUAAAGCCUAUUAAACAUCCAAAACAGAAUAUAACAUAGCAUGGAACAAUCAAAAAUUAUAGAUACGUUGGAGACGUAUCAACCUUUCGGUCAACGAAUAAGUUCACUAAUGUCCAGACUUUGUUCUCGUACUUGGAUCCUAUUUCGGAUUUCAUGGCCUCUAGCCAUUUUGUGGAAUCCGGGCUCAUCAUCAGUUCAUCAUUUUCUAACAACAUGACGUCCAAGACAUGAUUACCGUACCAUUCAUGAGUAAUACGUGUCCUGGUCGACCUACGAAGUUCAGUAGUAGCCUGGUUCGGAGUUUCUUCAUCAUCAUCAUUAGCUUCCUCUCUAUCUAGUGUAGGCCCCACAAGGACAUCUUUCUGUGUUCCGCUACUCUCCUAUUCGAGAGAAGGUUUGAUAACCUCAUCAAGCUCUACAUUCCUCCUGCUCACUUCUUUCAAGAGAAACUCAUUCUAUAGAAAUGAUCCAUACUUGGCGACAAAGAUCUUGCCCUCAGAUCUAUGAUAGAAGGUAUACACAAUUGUCCCUUUAGGGUAUUCUAUGAAGACACAUUUUUCGGCUUUGCAUUCGAGCUUAUCAGGUUGUCACCUCUUGACAUAACGUCGCAUCCCCAAACUUUAAGAAAAAUGAUAGCUUAGGUUUUAAUGGAUUUAAAUGGUGCCCUAUUUAAAGUGAAUGUGAUUGUUUCUAAUGCAUGACCUCAAUACGAUAGUGGCAAAUUGGUAAGAGACAUCAUAGAGCUCACCAUACCUAAUAGAGUAUAAUUACGACGUUUGAACACACCAUUACGCUGUGUUGUUCCAGGUGUUGUGAGUUGUGAAACAAUUUCACAUUUUCUUAAAUGCAUACCAAAUUCGUAACUUGGAUAUUCACCUCCACGAUCAAAUCAUACAAAAUUUAUCUUCUUAUUAUUAUGCUUUUCUACUUCACUCUGAAACUCCGUAAACUGUUCAAAUGUUUCAGACGUUUGUUUCAUCAAGUAAAUAUACUCAUAUGUACUUAAAUCAUAUAAGAAGAUCAACAAAUAACGAUAUCCGUCGCAUGCUUCAACACUCAUUGGACUGCAUACGUCGAUUAUUAUUUCUAAUAGUCACCUGCUCGCUCCAGUAUACCGAAAAAACGGGGUUCUAGUCAUCUCGCCCAUGAGGCAUGGUUCACAUGCUUCAAAUGAUUCAAAGUCAAGUGAUCUCAGAACUCCAUCAGUAUGGAGUUUCUUCAUGCGCUUUACACCAAUAUGACCUAAGCGGCAGUGCCACAAGUAUAUGGUACUAUCAUUAUCCACUUUGCAUCUUUUGUCAUCAAUAUAAUGAAGAUGUGUACUAUCGAGACUUACAAAGAAUAAACCAUUCACAUUGGAUGCAUGACCAGAAAAGAUAUUUUUCAUAUAAAUAUAAGAACCAUUAUUCUCAGACUUAAAUAAAUAACCGUCUCACAAUAAACAAGAUCCAGAUAUAAUGCUCAUGCUUAACGCAUGCACCAAAUAACAAUUAUUUAGGUUUAAAACUAACCCCGAAGGUAGACAUAAAGGAAGCGUGCUGACGGCCAUCACAUCAACCUUGGAGCCAUUUCCAACGCGUAUUGUCACCUCGUCCUUAGCUAGUCUCUGUUUAUUCUGCAGCUCUUGUUUUGAGUUACAAAUAUUAGCAACUGAAAAAGUAUCAAAAAGCCCACAUCAAUGACAUGUAUAUCAAAUAUACCAUGGUUGACGUUGCCAGCCUUCUUAUGCAUCAAAUACCAGGGACAAUUAUGCUUAAGUGGCCAUCCUCCUUGAAGUAUAAACACUUAGUGUCAGGUUCAGGUCCAACUUUGGGCUUCUUCAUGGGAGUGGCAACUUGCUUGUCAUUCUUAUUGAAGUUCCCAUCUCUCUAAUCUUCAACAUUCUAGGAUGUUAUCUAUCUUGCUCGAUGAAUAUAUGUGAUGUAAGGUAGAAUUUUGGAUGGUAACCUGCAUUCCAUUUCUCCAUGAAUGACCGACUCGAGUAACUAAAUACGACGGAGAGGUAAGACUAAUGUAGAAUGUUAAAUGCAUGCAUUCCACAAGAUAGGAAGUCCAUUAAGAGAUAAAGAAUCGCAAUAAGACCACUAGUCACUACAAGAGGACAGAGCUUUUGUAACACCGUCUCGUGUUACUAUAGGCCCAAAACUAUGUUACUAGCCAUAUAGUAACACAAUUUGAAAUGUGUUCCAUUAGACCGUGUUACUACGUGGUGUCAACUGUCACACAUAAUAAAUGUUACCAUAUAUUAAAAAGUGUGUUACAAUUACAUUGCAGUAAUAUGUGUAUUAUGUGUUACCAAACACACUGGUAACACAUUUUUGUACUUAUAGUAACACUGUUAGUAACAUAUUUGCAUAGACGCAGAACAUUGGUGGUAACAUGUUUCUGUAACAAUAGUAACACAACUGGUAACACAUUUUUCCAGCAUGGGAACACAACCAAUAGCAUAAUAUCCAAAUAUUGUAAUACUAUAAUUAGUUGUCAACUACUCUAGUAACAAAUUUUGUAACUAUAGUAACACCAUCGUUUACACUACUAUGUCAAUAUGGUAACAUAAUUAAUGUAUUUGUUUUUUAUUAUUACCCACAAAAUUUGAUACCCAUUUUAUGGAAUAUAAAUUUAUUUAGUAAAUAGAUGCAAUUGCAUAAAUAGUAAUCAUUUUAUUAUUAUGUUGGCAGCAUCAAAAUGAUAUUGAAACUGAACUAGAACACAUCUAUAAAUUGAUAUGAAGAUAUUUAUUACGAAUACACAAGAGUGUAUGAUACAUAUGCAUUACAAUAAAUAUAUCAGUCAUAUCAUUUUGAGCAGAGAAAACACAACUAUCGAGAAUAUCACACCAUAGCAUUUGCAUCAAUUCGACGAAAGAAAAAAAUCUUGUGGAUGAUAUUACAUUUUUCAAUCUAUCAAUGUAAACUACGACUAUUGGUAGCUAAAAUCUUCACAAAAAAUUGCUUCUUGAUCCAAGAACUCAGCUUCAACUCAAUUAUCCUUCUCCCGAAUCUGGAAAAGAAAAUUGCACCUUAGAUAUAUGUGAUUAAAUAUACACAAAUAUGAUUUCAGAAUGUGGAAGAGAAGAUUUUAACUUACAAAAGCUGAAGGCCAUGCAAUUAAGUAUCCUAAAGUGAAAGCCUCACCAAUUGUCUUGCAACCCAAUCCCUUACCAACUCCUCAUUAUCAUGAAUAGGUUGAUAUAUGCGCACAAUGGCAAAUUCAACACCUAAUUCAAUGCCACCAGCCUUAGUUCUUUGAUCAGUGCUCCGAAUAGUACCAUACACAACAUUUCGCUUGUUGGGAUAUGUUGAAGUCUUUAAAACUACUUUAGAAGCAGCCUAUAUUACAAUCAAUAUUAGCAUUCAACGACAAUGAUAAUAUAACUUGUAAUUUGCAUGAACAAUAUGAGAUCUUUAGAAUGUCAGCCCAGUAAGGUGCCCCAAAAAAACUAAAUAAACUGGACCCGACAUAAUUGUCUAAUAAUACCCAAGGUCACCUCGCUUACUCAUGCUUGGUUAAAUAUAUCCUUUACUUGCAUACAACAGAUUGAGCAAAAUUUGUAACAAAAUCCAUUUUUCAAGCAGGCAUGAUAAUGUGGUCUGGGUUGAGAAUUUAGGUGCAGUAAGCCAUGCCCCUUGGUGAAUCUUUACCUUGAUGGAAGAAGUACGCCUUCUUUUUGAGCUAGCUGGGUGUGGGUGUUCAGUUCUAUUCCCCUGGUGGUUCUGUGUUGAAACAGAUUCACCUGUAAGAUCCCUCAUUUCCCUCACCUACCAAGAGACAAUAAUAUUAGAUGGAAUGAUAUUCAUAUCUUGAAGCUACAGAAAGCUACAACUUCAAAACCCAAAAACACACAAAAUUUACCUCUGGCACAGAAUCAAUAACAAGGUCUUCAUAGUGCAGGUAUAUGGUUAGCAUGUCCAUCACCUAUAUAUAUAUAUAUAUAUGUGUGUGUGUGUGUGUGUGUGUGUGUGUGUGUGUGUGUGUGUGUGUGUGUGUGGCAAUUGAACCAUUACAAAUAAAGACAAAUUAACUAAUGACAUAACAGGGAUAAUUUUAUUUGCCAAUAGACAUGAAUUCGUAGCAGAUAAAUGAGGGAAGGAGAAAGGAGAAUCCACCUAGGACAAGAUUGUAGUCUCGGACAGGGAAAUCAAGCAAUACAAGUUGUGGAAGUCCCCUCGGCAAUUUGGGUCCCAAAACCGAUGAAACCUACCAAAAGAAACAUGUGAAUGUAGAGGGCAGAGAAGUACACAGUAGCAUGUCAAUGCACUAUCAGCUUAUCAUAACUCAAAAUAGAGAGAGGAGGUACAAGAACAUGGGUCCAGCCACACCCACACUCAGAUAUAACAUUGUCGACAUAUGGAUUCAGGACAGGUUUAAGUUGAAAACUGUAUAGAUUAUGUAAACUGAGCAGUAUUCAAGCGACGGAUAAGAUUCUGUUAAGAACUAUGUGAUAGUACAGCAGCAACAUGUUGCCUCAUGUGCCAUCCCAAUAAGUCAAGAAGCAGCAGCCAAGGUUUAUUCUAAGUCAAACUUCUUCACGUUUGAGUUUGUCAAAAAUAUAUCACUAUUUGGAACACUAGAUUAGUUUUAUACUUUUAUUAGAAUCUUUAGAAAAUAUUCACAAUAUGUAUAGUUUAUUUUGCAGAUCUUGCCAUAUUUUCUCUAUAAAUUUGAUCAAAUUUAAACACGUUUCACCUAGAACGCCCUAGCAGAAGUGUAGAACAUGCACCUACAUAUCAAUGGAUCGAUCUUAUUGAUGGAUUAAACACAGGCCCAACACAAAAUUAUAGCCAGCCACAACCGUACAUGGUUUAUGGGAUUUUCUAUAUCAGUGAUGGUUUAAUUACUUAUCUACGUAUGGGCUAAUUAUGCAAUUAGCUGCGGCCAUUAGCAUGUACAGUACACAUUGUCUGCUACGAAUCGUUAGGGGGGCUAGCGAGUGGCAGGGGUCUGACCCCUGAUCGCCCCUUCAUCUCCGCCCCUGCAUCUGUAUAGUGGCGUUCGUAGCAGUCAGAUCAGGGAAGGGGUGGGCAUUCAGAUCCAUACCAGCCAAGAGAUCGUACUCCUUGAGGAUGUAGGUGCCGGAGCUGAAGACCGACGAAGCGCUGAAGGGGCGGCGUGCUGGGCGUUGGAGCGUGGCGAGGUAGCCGCCGAAUGGGGGCUGGGCUGGAUGCAGAUGUAUUUGAGACCCAAUUUAUUUACCGUUUUCUAGUUAACUGGAGGGAAAAGUAAGCGCGAAAAUUAGAGCUUUUGCGCCAGAAUUAAUUUUUCACCAUCGAGAACUAGAGGGAAAUUUGGAUCUAUUUUUUAUCCAAGGAAAACUGGACGGAAAUUGUUUUGGAAGAUCUGCGACAUUGUUACAUAUAUUUAUUUGUUUGGCAUGGAAAUUUCCCAAAAAGUGUUUUUGGCAUGGAAAAUUAGAGCAUAUUUUAUAUUUUAUUUAUUAAUUAUUGAAAGGGAAAUUGGAUACAUCUAAAUAGUAAGGACUUGAUAAAAUUGAUUUACGUGACAUGUGCUAAAUAAUAUAUAACACGGUUUUCCUAGGCUAACUAGUUGAUAUAAAAAAUCAUUGAGCUUGCAGCUUCGACGGGCCUUGGAGAAUAUUGUGAUCGGGAGAGCCCCGAUGUUGGGACGAUGGACGUGCUGGUGUUGUCAUGAACAUCCGCGAUCAGCUGAUAGAUCUCGCUCCUGAUCGGUCACCUCGACCAAGAUCACGUCAUUCCCACACGACUUCCUAUGGAAAGUACGACCGAUGUGGGAGAAAAUUGCGACCGACAAUGCUAGAAGUUGCGACCGGCCCGGAACAUGUUAUGACCAGCGAGGUCGGUGACUUUUGAUCGGUACUAAGAGCGAAGACGGUGGUGCUACAAAGUGGCGACGACGAUAUGCGUCAGCUGCAACCAGCUGCCGACGGUGUUGUAACGACAUAUUUGAGAGGCUGUCACAUUAAUCUAGUCUCUUCCUUCCUUCCACCUUCAUGACGACAGAGAAUAAGGGGCGGGUAUCCCAACUACACCCAGGGUUUAAAAACCGACCGUAUUCGCAGUCGUACCGGAAAAAGGAAACCUAUGACCUCGAUGCUUGGUUAAAGAAACACAUUGUAAUUCUACCGACUGAUCUCGCUCCUGAUCGAUCGCCUCAACCAAGAUCACGUCAUUCCCACAUGACUGCCCAGGGAAGCUUUGGCCGGUGUGGGAGAAAACUACAAUUGUCAAUGAUAGAAGCUGUGAUCGACCCGGGAGCAUGUUGUGACCAGCAAGGUCGGAAACUUCUGAUUGGUGUUGAGACCGCAUGCGGUGGUGGUACAAAGUGGCGACAACGAGAUGCGUUAGGUACGACCGACCAUCGACAGUGUUCUAACGACAAAUCUGGGAGGCUGGCACAUUAAACUAGUUUCCUCCUUCCUUCCACCACCAUGGCGAUAGAGAAUAAGGGGAGGGUAUGUCAGCUACACCCAUGGUUUAAAAAACUGACUGUUGGUUACAGAAAAACAAUAUAAUUCUGCCUAGGACGUUAACUGAUUGACUUUACACCAGUCAACUGAGUCCAUGAACGUGGAGAUACGCAGCUGAUGAGCCUUCACUGAAGGGAGGGGCAAAUGGGCCGGCCCAACUGAUGAGUUCUAUUGAUAGAGUCACAACCAGAUAGUUGAAGUAUCAAACUUAUUUCGAAAAUUAUAAAAAAAAAUAUAGAAAUUGAGCAAUUUGUAAAAUUCCGUUGAACAUUUUAUUAAUGUACGACGAACAUUUUUAAUAACGAUGAAUUUUUUAAUACAUGGUUAACAUAUUUGAAAAAAUGAGUAUAUGCAUUGAACAAUUUUUUAAUAUGCAUUGAACAUUUAAGAAAAUAUGUUGAACAAUUCUUGAAUACACAUUGGAAUUUGUUUAUGGUAAUAUACACAGAACAAAUUAAAAAAAUAGAGUGAACAUUUUUAUAUUUGGUGAACAACUUCUAAUACACGCAAUGAACAUUGUAUAAGACACGAAAAAGGUAAUUAAAAAAGUAAAAUAAAAUAAAUAGAAACCGAAACAAAAAAAUUAGAAAAGAAGUGAACCGCGUAGCAACCAUAGGCCGGCCCAAAUUGUGGCGUCGGCAGCUCAAGCUUCAGGAAGACCCACCCUAUUAGACGCUUCAGGUGCCCGUUACAAGUGUUUUUGCAAACAGGCGCCUGAAGCGCCCCCGUGAUGGGCCGGCCCAUCUAACAUUUGUUUUCAUGUGUCUUAACAAAAUAUUUAAAUACACAUUGCAUAUUUUUGUGAUAUACACUAAAAAGUGUUUAAAUAUGCAUUGAACAUUCUUUUGAAUAUAUGUUGAACAAUUUUAAAAUACACAAUGAAAAUUUUAUUAAAUAUGUUGAACAUUUUCUUAAAUAUACAAUGAACAUUUUUUAUAUAAAUAUGCAAUGAACUGCAUAUAAUACACGAAAAAUAAACAAAAAUGAAAAAGACGAAAAAGAAAAGAAUAGAGACAGAAAAAUGAAAUGAAGGAAACAGGAAAAAGAAGAAAAAACAUCGUGACUGUGGGCCAGCCCAAAUGGGGCGUUGGGUGUGCAGGCUUCAGCGAAGCCACGUCCUUUGACGCCUGCGGGCGUCAAAUAGGAUCUUCCUUGAGAAUCAAUCAAGCGACUUCGCUCCUAAGGGUGGGUACGCUGGUGUAACCAUCAGGCCACCCCGUUCGGAUCAAAAUUUUAAUUUUUCAUCUCUUUGAUGCUUUUUUUCUUUUUUUAGCUCUUUUUCCUGAUUCAAUGAUUUUUCUCAAAUAUGUCAACAUUUAUUUAAUUCCAUGAACUUUUCCAAAAUUUUAUUAACAAUUUAUAAAUUGAUGACCGUUUUUUCAAAACCCAUAAUGUUUUUUAAUUUGGAUGAACUUUUUAAAAAUUAUGAGAUUUUUGAUAAAUCCAUGAAUAUUUUGUGAAUUUUGAUGAACUAUUUUUCAAAUUCAACGAACCUUCUUUAAACUCGGUGCACUUUUUUCACAUGGAUAUUUUUUUUAAAAUUGAUGAACUUUUUCCAUUUUUGAACUUUUUUCAGAAUUCAUUGUUUUUUGGGAAUUUCGUUUCAAAUAAUUAAUUCUGGGUUUAUAAUAUAUCUUUUUCUUGGUAACGGUUUAUAAUAUAUCUCUAGGAGAAGGGUCAAAUAGGCCUUGUUUCUUAAAGUGGACUAGCUUGGCAGCUUGGUGUGGUGGUUCUGACAUUGUUUACUGUUCAUUUAGGUUAGCACCAACUAGCGUUCCCAAAGCUUCAGCGAAGCCACGGCUAUUUGACGCAUGUGGGCGUCAGAUAGGAUCUGCCUCUUCCUAGUUCGCCCCCUCCUGAUCACAAAUUGCAAGCCCAAUUGGUAUUGGGUUGUUGGGCAUGCGGCUGCUCAAGGUUAAUGAUCCUAUUCCUAGUUUCACAUGAUUUUUUUAUUUCUCUAGAAGAACACUUUUUUAUAUAGUUUACUACUUUUCCCCUAAAAGGCCGACAUACUUAAAAACCUGGACAAGGCCUCGGUUCCCUUUUUUCGGUCGGACCACCGGUCCGGUUCUUAAAACCAUGUUCAAAUUUAAGCUCUUGUUUGAUGUUGAUCUUCCACUCUUGUGAGUAUUGACGUCAAAUAUUUAAUUUCAUAUGAUCAUCUCAAGGUGUGCAUUUUGCAUUUAUGGUCGCUGAGUCAUCCAAAAAUUUACAUAAAAAAUAAGGUUAAUAUGAUAUUCACUGCAACCAUACCAAAAAAUAGUUUGGUAUUUACCAACCAAAUUGUAUUGUUUGUCAUACCAUAUUACCAAAGAAUGAAAAUACUAUUUACGAAAACAAAACAUAUUGAAAAAAUCAUGGUGACUCACGGGUCUUUCUAGUUCCGCCUAGAAUAGGGAUUGUAACGCUAUGUAUCAGCCAUGAUUAUGUGUUACUCUAUGUAACACAUUCACUAACACAUAUUUAUAUGUUACCAUUCCAAAAACUAUGUAACACAUUCGACCAACACAUAUUUAUAUGUUACUAUUACAAUAUCACUGUAACACACUUAUGGCCGUAUAUAGUAUGUGUUACUGCCUGUCGUUCGACACAAAAUGAUGUGUUACAUUAAUUUCCCUUGUCACACAUUUUUCAAUCUAUUACAUGAUUGUGUUACAUAAAGUCUGUUUUGCUGUAGUGAGUAUUCAUCCAUCAUGGAUCAAGGAAACCCUCCUUCAAAGACCAAGUGCAUGGACAAGAUAUGACAAUUCUAUCCUUACUUUUUCUCUCCCCUUAUGUGUAUUUUGGUUUUUUCUAGAAUAAACAUUUUUGCACUUAAUUUUCCAUCUCCAUCAAGGUUAUUGGUGGUCAUUGUAUAAGGCUCUCAAUCUAUAAAGGCACCCUCUCAUGGAUCAUUUGUAACACAUCUCAUAUUAAACAAGAGCUCUUCCCUAGGGCGAGAUCUACUUUUUGAUUUGAUCAUUCCGGACACCAGGUUCGCGUGCAAUACCUUCGAGCAUUGGGCUUACGAAAAAGGAUGUCAACGAAAGUUGCGGCAUGUCAAAGAGGAUCCUCGACACAUCUCUGGAUUGUCAAGUUCGUGUGCGUAAGGUCGUACCAUUCAAUGGGAAAAGGCUUCUCUCGUUCCCGAGUCGAGGCUGCACCUGGUUAGCAAAAUUGAUUUUUUUCACUCGAGUUAGUGUCUUCUAUUUUACCUACAUUGUCAUGCACCCUCUCUUCAUGUUGUUUUUUCACUGACAGCAACCGUAUGGGAUAGUUCUGUGGCUAGGGUUUUGAAGGACUCGGGAAGAGAAGGGGAUGCGAACUUGGGUAGCAACGAUGCUGGGUUUUUUUCUGGGACGCAGAUGACGGGAACGUGUGUUCCUGUCUUAUGUAGAGGUUUUUAAGUGGACUAGCAGGCGUCAUGGAAUAUGGAUGGAUUAGUGGGUUUAUCUUGAGGAAUCCCUUGCAGACACGCUAGAUCGAUCAGUGGCCACUCAGCCGACAGAGUCGAGAUAGAACAGCGACACUGCUGUCACUUAGGUUUGCACGUGAGCAUGUGACACAGAGAGCGGAGUACAAAAGUAUUUAUGUGGUCAGCCGUUUGCGACGAACAUUCAUCUGCUUGGAUUCAGGAGGAUUGGAACGGAAGCUACGGAUUGGCAUGAAUGAUGGGCGCCGUCCCUGCUACACAUACUGCGGCCGGAGCUUUUUCUGUUGCCUUGAUGAUCAUCACAGUUUUCCGGCUUCUUUUAAAUAAGUUUUUUUUUUAGAAAAGGAGGAUGACCCCCGGCUUCUGCAUCUGGGAGAUGCAUGCGGCCACUUUAUUGAUUAUUCUCGAGGACCUUACAAAGUAUUACAAUAAUAGGCCUGAAUCCGCCAUCUUGGCAUCAUAUGCCACUACUCCUAUCCAUAUGAUGAAGGGGCGCUAGCUGGGCCAAAUACCCAGUCCACUCACCUAAGCCUAUCAUCAAAAGCCAGAAACCCCAGCCGAGCCACAUAUCGGGUCUGGGGCAUGAACUGGUCGGACGCACUCACAUGUGUUGUCGCCGCCAUCUUCCACUGAUCCGUCUUCAGAGCAGAUAUUGCUUCUACCUUGUCAGGCCACUCUGCCAUCGACGCCACCAUGACGCCAGACAACAUCCCCCUCCUGCGCGAGUCCAGCACCGCGCAUCGGGCGCCGAGUCUCCACUGCACCACGCCGCCUUCCUCGUAGCUGUUCUUGCUCGUAGCUGUUCUGGUCAUGUCUACCGCCUUCCUGCCCUGUAACCCAGACAGUAAGAACAUACAUUUCUCCUGUACAAUUUUUUUUGAAACAAGGCAACAUUUUUGCUUUUUAUAUUGAUAUAGUAGGAGCAAAGGACAACCCGGCCGAAGCCAAAAAUUUGUUGAGUAAAUAGGCAAUUUCUCGAUUAAAUUAAUCCACGAGUAAAUCACUAGCAUGGCAUUGACUAAGUUGAUGACGUACUGACUCUGGUCUAAACAUGCACGUACUAAGCAAACAGUAGACAAAUCUACACAUACUGCUAGUAAUGCUAAUACGAAAAUAAUCAGGAGCGGGAUAAACGCGUUAUACCCUCCAGUAGGCCAUGCAGACGCCGCGGCGGUGGUGGCGGCAGCAGCAUCCUCGGCGGCCUUCUUGUCGGCUUCAGCUUUCUCGGCGGCGGCACGGUCGGCGGUGGUGGACAUGGUGAUGAUGAAGGCGACACGGACGUAGAGGAAGUAGACGAUCGGAAGCGAGCAGUCGCGUAAUCGCUGCCCAAAAACCUAUUCGCCCCUCACCCCGUACAGGAACCAUAUGGCGUGGUUUCGGAGACCUGCUCUCUCGUCGACCGUGUACGCGGCGGACGGGAUGGAGUCACCGGCGGCAGCAGCAGAACGACGGUGGGCGUGCGCGUAGGUGUGAGCUCGGCUCGGCUCAAUCCCGCAACCCGCGACGCGUCAUGACGAGACGUGGCGUGGCGAGGCGGGCGGCGGAGGAGGAGUGCGCGAGGGCCUCUUCUUUUCUCAAGCUACAAUAGCAUGUAGAAGAGAAACCCUUAUAAACCACUCCAACUCUCCUUCCACUUCCGGGGUGGGACUAAACUUCCCACCACACCUAGUGCCAUAUAACCCACAUGGGCCCUUAGAGAUUUUUUAGAAAUUGCUAUAUGGGCCUAGAGCCCAUCUCAAAUUUCAGCAAUCCCCCACCAGAUCUCGAGGGCCCAUUGUGUCCUCUGUUCCAAUUGCUGUUUCGAUAUACCAGUGUUUCAAUGAAGACCUAUUAAGGUUGAACUUCACCUAGAGCAAGUAGCUACACUCCUUCACAACUGAACAAUGGACUAUGCCUUGAAUUGUCAGUUUGGCGCAAAGAAGUUUCACUACAUGUCUUACUAGUACUAGGCUGCCGAAGGCUGACCCCUCGGGUGGAGCAUAUAAAUCACACUCCUGGCCUAUUCAUGAGCUUACUAGAGAUCACCCCAAUCUCAUAGACUGUGACCAGCAGUCGGGCUCAUAUACGUGUGUUUCUCCAAAGAUCGCUCUGUAGGAUAGCAUCUUGCUUUUAUAAGCUUCAGAACACAUUAAGACAGUAGUCAUCCUACCAUACAGUAUCGAGAGUAUUGCAUCUCCAACGGAGUGGGUUAGUAUAUUUACGCUCCUCAGUUCACCACUGGCUUGUUUUCCCAGGUCCUACUUCACGGGAUCUCCGAUCACAUUGGUUGGGUUACCACCAUGGCAACUCAUGUGGGUCUCAUACCCAUCUCCCUCGAUGCAUUAUCUAUCACAACACGUGAUAGCCCUUUUGUAAAGGGAUCUGCCAGAUUCUGAGCCGUAUGGACAUAGUCCAACGCUAUCACUCCGGAGUUUCUUAAUUUUUUGACAGCUUUUAAUCUUAUUCUUAUGUGUUUGGUGGACUUCUUGUUGUCCUUUGAACUCUUCACCUUGGUGAUGACAGUCUGAUUGUCACAGUUCAUAAGGAUAGGCGGAACCGGUUUAUCAACCAAUGCCAAGUCCAUCAAAAGAUCUCGAAGCCAUCUCGCUUCAACACCCGAUGUGUCUAAUGCUAUUAACUCUGCUUCCAUUGUCGAUCUCGUUAAGAUCGUUUGCUUGCAAGACUUCCAGGAAACAGCGCCACCUCCAAGAGUAAACAUAUACCCAGUUGUGGCCUUCACCUCAUCAGCAUCAGAGAUCCAAUUCGCAUCACUAUACCCUUCAAGUACCGACGGGUAUCCGGUAUAGUGAAGUCCAUAGUUCGUAGUACCUUUCAGAUAGCGCAUAACUCUCUCAACAGCAUGCCAAUGUACAUCACCCGGUUUAGAAACAAACCGGCUCAGUUUGCUCACAGCAAACACGAUGUCAGGCCUCGUUGCGCUCGCUAGGUACAUCACUGAACCAAUGAUUUGAGAGUAUCUCAAUUGAUCCUUAGCCAUGCCUUUGGACUUUCGAAUCAACACGCUAGGAUCAUAUGGUGUUUGACAUGGUGUGCAGUCCGAAUAUCCAAAACGACUCAACACCUUCUCAACAUAGUGGGAUUGCAGAAGUGUGAUCCCACCUUCAUUAUCUCUCAGUAGAUUGAUGUUCAAGAUAACAUCAGUCACACCAAGGUCUUUCAUCUCAAAGUUCUGAGAUAGAAACGAUUUGACCUCCUCAAUGACUUUGAGGUUUGUUCCAAAUAUCAGUAUGUCAUCAACAUACAGGCACAGUAUAACUCCUUCGCCCCCACCAUGGAGAUAGUAUACACAUUUGUCAGCUUCAUUAACAACGAAGCCAACAGAUGUCAGAGUUGUAUUAAACUUAUUAUGCCAUUUCUUAGGUGCUUGCUUCAGGCCAUAUAAAGAUUUUAUCAACCUACACACCUUUCUUUCCUGACCAUCUAUCACAAAGCCAUCAGGCUGUUGCAUGUAGAUUUCCUCCUUUAGCUCUCCAUUUAGAAAAGCCAUCUUAACAUCCAUCUGAUGGACGAGAAGACCAUGUGAGGCCGCCAAUGAGAGUAAUACUCGAAUGGUGGUCAGUCUAACCACAGGUGAAUAAGUAUCAAAGAAAUCUUCCUCUUCUUGCUGGUCAUAGCCCUUGGCCACAAGCCUAGCCUUGUACUUUUCAAUCGUACCAUCGGGCGUAAGCUUCUUUUUAAACACCCACUUACAUCCCAGUGGUUUGCAACCAUAGGGACUGUCAGUGAUCUCCCAUGUCUCGUUAGCCAUGAUGGAAUCCAUCUCGCUACGGACCGCUUCCUUCCAGUAGUCAGCUUCUAGAAAGGCAUACGCUUCUGAGAUAGAAGUGGGAGUAUCAUCCACGAGGUACACGAAGAAAUCAUCACCAAAGGUCUUUGUAGUCCUUUCUCUCUUGCCCCUACCAAGGGUUUCCUCGUCAUCCUCCUCAGGAUUUUCAUCAUGUGUUUGUUCAUAAUAUUCCAUAGGGAUGGCAGGUUCAGGAGUCUCCUUAGAUUCCUGUCUAGAAGUGUUUUGCAUAUCUCUCAUAGGAAAAAUAUCCUCAAAAAAUGUAGCAUCCUUAGACUCCAUAAUUGUACCGACCUUCUGGUCAGGUACCUCAGAUUUCACUACUAGAAAUCUAUAGCCAACGCUAUUCUUAACGUAGCCCAAAUUAACACAAUCCACAGUCUUUGGUCCAAGCUUACGCUUUUUGGGGAUCAGCACAUUGACUUUCGCCAAACAGUCCCAAGUCCGCAAGUACGAGAGUGUUGUCCUUCUCUUUGCCCAUUUCUCAUAGGGAGUGAUCUCAUUAUCCUUUGUUGGAACUUUAUUCAGGACAUGACAUGCCGUCAAUAUAGCCUCCCCCACCAUGCCUUGGAUAAACCCGAUGUAUCUAACAUCGCGUUAACCAAAUCAGUAGAGUACGGUUUUUCCGCUCGGCAACCCCGUUUGACUGGGGUGAAUAGGGUGUUGGAAAUAUGCCCUAGAGGCAAUAAUAAAAGUGUUAUUAUUAUAUUUCCUUGUUCAUGAUAAUUGUCUUUUAUUCAUGCUAUAACUGUAUUAUCCGGAAAUCGUAAUACACGUGUGAAUACAUAGACCACAAUAUGUCCCUAGUAAGCCUCUAGUUGACUAGCUCGUUGAUCAAUAGAUGGUCACGGUUUCCUGGCUAUGGACAUUGGAUGUCGUUGAUAACGGGAUCACAUCAUUAGGAGAAUGAUGUGAUGGACAAGACCCAAUCCUAAGACUAGCUCAAAGAUCGUGUAGUUCGUUUGCUAGAGCUUUGCCAAUGUCAAGUAUCUCUUCCUUUGACCAUGAGAUCGUGUAACUCCUGGAUACCGUAGGAGUGCUUUGGGUGUAUCAAACGUCACAACGUAACUGGGUGACUAUAAAGGUGCACUACAGGUAUCUCCGAAAGUAUCUAUUGUUUUAUGCGGAUCGAGACUGGAAUUUGUCACUCCGUGUAAACGGAGAGGUAUCUCUAGGCCCACUCGGUAGGACAUCAUCAUUUGCGCAAAUGUGACCAAGGAGUUGAUCACGGGAUGAUGUGUUACGGAACGAGUAAAGAGACUUGCCGGUAACGAGAUUGAACAAGGUAUCGGUAUACCGACGAUCGAAUCUCGGGCAAGUAACAUACCGAUAGACAAAGGGAAUUGAAUACGGGAUCGAUUGAGUCCUUGACAUCGUGGUUCACCUGAUGAGAUCAUCGUGGAACAUGUGGGAGCCAUCAUGGGUAUCCAGAUCCCGCUGUUGGUUAUUGACCGGAGAACGUCUCGGUCAUGUCUGCAUGUCUCCCGAACCCGUAGGGUCUACACACUUAAGGUUCGAUGACGCUAGGGUUAUAAAGGAAGCUUGUAUGUGGUUACCGAAUGUUGUUCGGAGUCCCGGAUGAGAUCCCGGACGUCACGAGGAGUUCUGGAAUGGUCCGGAGGUAAAGAUUUAUAUAUAGGAAGUCCUGUUUCGGCCAUCGGGACAAGUUUCGGGGUCAUCGGUAUUGUACCGGGACCACCGGAAGGGUCCCGGGGGCCCACCGGGUGGGGCUACCUGCCCCGGGGGGCCACAUGGGCUGUAGGGGGUGCGCCUUGGCCUACAUGGGCCAAGGGCACCAGCCCCAAGAGGCCCAUGCGCCAAGAGAAGAGAAAAAGGGAAGAGUCCUAAAGGGGGAAGGCACCUCCGAGGUGCCUUGGGGAGGAUGGACUCCUCCCCAUCCUUAGCCGCACCCCUUCCUUGGAGGAGGGGGCAAGGCUGCGCCCUUCCCCUCUCCCUUGGCCCUAUAUAUAGUGGGGAAAAGGAGGAGCAAUCAUACCUAAGGCCUUUGGUUGCCUCCCUCUCCCUCCCGUGACACAUCUCCUCUCCCGUAGGUGCUCGGCGAAGCCCUGCAGGAUUGCCACACUCCUCCACCACCACCACGCCGUUGUGCUGCUGUUGGAUGGAGUCUUCCUCAACCUCUCCCUCUCCCCUUGCUGGAUCAAGGCGUGGGAGACGUCACCGGGCUGUACGUGUGUUGAACGCGGAGGUGUCGUCCGUUCGGCACUAGGAUCAUCGGUGAUCUGAAUCACGACGAGUACGACUCCAUCAACCCCGUUCACUUGAACGCUUCCGCUUAGCGAUCUACAAGGGUAUGUAGAUGCACUCUCUUUCUACUCGUUGCUGGUCUCUCCAUAGAUAGAUCUUGGUGAUGCGUAGGAAAUUUUUUGAAUUUCUGCUACGUUACCCAACAGUGGCAUCAUGAGCUAGGUCUAUUGCGUAGAUUCUUUGCACGAGUAGAACACAAAGUAGUUGUGGGCGUCGAUAUUGUUCAAUAUGCUUGCCGUUACUAGUCUUAUCUUGAUUCGGCGGCAUCGUGGGAUGAAGCGGCCCGGACCAACCUUACACGUACGCUUACGUGAGACCGGUUCCACCGACAAACAUGCACUAGUUGCAUAAGGUGGCUGGCGGGUGUCUGUCUCUCCCACUUUAGUCAGAUCGGAUUCGAUGAAAAGGGUCCUUAUGAAGGGUAAAUAGCAAUUGGCAUAUCACGUUGUGGUUCAUGCGUAGGUAAGAAACGUUCUUGCUAGAAACCCAUAGCAGCCACGUAAAACAUGCAACAACAAUUAGAGGACGUCUAACUUGUUUUUGCAGGGUAUGCUAUGUGAUGUGAUAUGGCCAAAGGAUGUGAUGAAUGAUAUAUGUGAUGUAUGAGAUUGAUCAUGUUCUUGUAAUAGGAUUCACGACUUGCAUGUCGAUGAGUAUGACAACCGGCAGGAGCCAUAGGAGUUGUCUUUGUUUUUUUGUAUGACCUGCGUGUCAUUGAAGAACACCAUGUAAACUACUUUACUUUAUUGCUAAACGCGUUAGUCAUAGAAGUAGAAGUAGUCGUUGGCGUGACAACUUCAUGAAGACACGAUGAUGGAGAUCAUGAUGAUGGAGAUCAUGGUGUCAUGCCGGUGACAAGUUGAUCAUGGAGCCCCGAAGAUGGAGAUCAAUGGAGCUAUAUGAUAUUGGCCAUAUCAUGUCACAACUAUAUUUGAUUGCAUGUGAUGUUUAUCAUGUUUAUGCAUCUUGUUUUCUUAGAACGACGGUAGUAAAUAAGAUGAUCCCUCAUUAAAAUUUCAAGAAGUGUUCUCCCCUAACUGUGCACCGUUGCUACAGUUCGUCGUUUCGAAGCACCACGUGAUGAUCGGGUGUGAUAGAUUCUUACGUUCACAUACAACGGGUGUAAGACAGUUUUACACAGCGAAAACACUUAGGGUUAACUUGACGAGCCUAGCAUGUACAGACAUGGCCUCGGAACACGGAGACCGAAAGGUCGAGCAUGAGUCGUAUAGUAGAUACGAUCAACAUGAAGAUGUUCACCGAUGAUGACUAGUCCGUCUCACGUGAUGAUCGGACACGGCCUAGUUUGACUCGGAUCAUGUAAUCACUUAGAUGACUAGAGGGAUGUCUAUCUGAGUGGGAGUUCAUAAGAUGAACUUAAUUAUCCUGAACAUAGUCAAAAGACCUUUUGCAAAUUAUGUCGUAGCUCACGCUAUAGUUCUACUGUUUAGAUAUGUUCCUAGAGAAAAUAUAGUUGAAAGUUGAUAGUAGCAAUUAUGCGAUCAGUAGAAAGCUCAUGUCCUUAAUGCACCGCUCAAUGUGCUGAACCCCAAACGUCGUUUGUGGAUGUUUCGAACAUCGAACAUACACGUUUUGAUAACUACGUGAUAGUUCAGUUAAAUGGUUUAGAGUAUAGGCACCAAAGACGUUUUCGAAAUGUCGCGGAACAUAUGAGAUGUUUCGAGGGCUGAAAUUAAGAUUUCAGGCUCGUGCCCACGUCAAGAGGUAUGAGACCUCCAACGAUUUUCUUAGCCUGCAAACUAAGGGAGAAAAGCUCAAUCGUUGAGCUUGUGCUCAGAUUGUCUGAGUACAACAAUCACUUGAAUCAAGUGGGAGUUGAUCUUCCAGAUGAAAUAGUGAUAGUUUCUCCGAAGUCAUUACCACCAAGCUGCUAGAGCUUCGUGAUGAACUAUAACAUAUCAAGGAUAGAGAUGAUGAUCCUUGAGGUAUUCGCGUUGUUUGACAUCGCGAAAGUAGAAAUCAAGAAGGAGCAUCAAUUGUUGAUGGUUGGUGAAACCACUAGUUUCAAGAAGGGCAAGGGAAGGAAGGGAUACUUCAUGAAACGGCAAAUCAGCUGCUGCACCAAUGAAGAAACCCGAGGUUGAACCCAAACCCGAGACUAAGUGCUUCUGUAAUAAGGGGAACAACCACUGGAGCAGGAUUACCCUAGAUACUUGGUAGAUGAGAAGGCUGGCAAGGUCGAUAGAAGUAUAUUGGAUAUACAUUGUGUUAAUGUGUACUUUACUAGUACUCCUAGUAGCACCAGGGUAUUAGAUACCGGUUCGGUUGCUAAGUGUUAGUAACUCGAAAUAAAAGCUACGGAAUAAAUCGGAGACUAGCUAAAGGUGAGCUGACGAUAUGUGUUGGAAGUGUUUCCAAGUUUGAUGUGAUCAAACAUCGCACGCUCCCUCUACCAUCAAGAUUAGUAUUAAACCAGAAUAAUUAUCAUUUGGUGUUUGCGUUGAGCAUAGACAUGAUUGGAUUAUGUCUAUCGCAAUACGGUUAUUCAUUUAAGGAGAAUAAUGGUUACUCUAUUUAUUUGAAUAAUACCUUCGAUGGUCAUGCACCUAAAGGAAUGGUUUAUUGAAUCUCGAUCGUAGUGAUACACAUUUUCAUGCCAAAAGAUAUAAGAUAGUAAUGAUAGUACCACUUACUUGUGGCACUGCCAUGUAAGUCAUAAUGGUAUAAAACGCAUGAAGAAGCUCCAUGUUGAUGGAUCUUUGGACUCACUCGUUUUGAAAAGUUUGAGACAUGCGAACCAUGUCUAUUGGUGUAUAUGCAUGAAGAAACUCCAUGCAGAUGGAUCGUUUAGACUCACUUGAUUUUGAAUCACUUGAGAUAUGCAAAUCAUACCACAAAGGCAAGAUGACUGAAAAGCCUCGGUUUCAGUAAGAUGGAACAAGAUAGCAACUCGUUGGAAGUAACACAUUUUGAUGUGUGCAGUCCAAUGAGUGCUGAGGCAUGCAGUGAAUAUCGUUAUGUUCUUACUUCACAGAUGAUUUGAGUAAAUGUUGAAUAUAUUUACUUGAUGAAACACAAGUCUGAAUUAUUGAAUGGUUCAAGUAAUUUCAGAGUGAAGUAUCAGAUCAUUGUGACAAGAGGAUAAAAUGUCUAUGAUAUGAUCAUAGAGAUGAAUAUCUGAGUUACGAGUUUUGGCACACAAUUAAGACAUUGUGGAAAUUGUUUCGCAAUUAAUACCGCCUGGAACACCAUAGUGUGAUGGUGUGUUCGAACAUCAUAGUUGCACCCUAUUGGACAUGGUGCGUACCAUGAUGUCUCUUAUCGAAUUACCACUAUCGUUCAUGGGUUAGGCAUUAGAGACAACCACAUUCACUUUAAAUAGGGCACCACGUAAUUCCGAUGAGAUGACACCGUAUGAAUUAUGGUUUAGAGAAACCUAAGUUGUCGUUUCUUAAAAGUUUGGGGCUGCGACGCUUAUAUGAAAAAGUUUCAGGUUGAUAAGCUUGAACCCAAAGCGGAUAAAAUGCAUCUUCAUAGGAAACCCAAAACGGUUGGGUAUACCUCCUAAUUCAGAUCCGAAAGCAAUAUGGAUUGUUUCUUGAAUCGGGUCCUUUCUCGAGGAAAGGUUUCUCUCGAAAGAAUUGAGUGGGAGGAUGGUGGAGACUUGAUGAGGUUAUAUGAACCGUCUCUUCAACUAGUGUGUGGCAGGGCACAGGAAGAUUGUUCCUGUGGCACCUACACCAAUUGAAGUGGAAGCUUAUGAUAUUGAUCAUGAAACUUCGGAUCAAGUCACUACCAAACCUCGUAGGACGACAAGAACACGUACUACUUCGGAGUGGUAAGGUGAUCCUGUCUUGAAGGUCAUGUUGCUAGACAACAAUGAACCUACGAGCUAUGGAGAAGCAAUGGUGGGCCCGGAUUCCGAUAAAUGGCUCGAGGCCAUAAAAUCCGAGAACGGAUCCAUGACUUUGGAAGAAAUACUUGAUGGUCGUAAGGCCAUUGGGUACGGAUGGAUUUUAAAAGGAAGACAGACAAUGAUGGUAAGAAUUACCAUUAAGAAAGCUCGACUUGUCGCUAAGAUAUUUUCCGACAAGUUCAAGGAGUUGAUUACGGUGAGGUUUUCUCACUCGUAGCGAUGCUAAGAGUCUGUUGGAAUUGGAUUAGCAGUUACUGCAUGAUUGAUGAAAUCUUGCAGAUAGGAUGUCAAAACAUUUUUUCCUCGACGUUAUACUUGAGGAAAGGUUGUAUGUGAUACAACCGGAAGGUUUUGUCAAUCCCAAAAGAUGCUAAUAAGUAUGCAAAGCUCCAGCAAUCCUUCUAAGGACUGGAGUAAGCAUCUCGGAGUUGGAAUGUAUGCUUUGAUGAUGAUCAAAGAUUUUGGGUUUGUACAAAGUUUAUGAGAAACUUGUAUUUCCAAAGAAGUGAGUGGGAGCACUAUAGAAUUUCUGAUGAGUAUAUGUUGAUCAGAAAUGAUAUAGAAUUUCUAGAAAGCAUAUAGGGUUAUUUGAAAGGUGUUUUUCCAUAGAAAACCUGGAUUAAGCUACUUGAACAUUGAGCAUCGAGAUCUAUAAGGAUAGAUCAAAAUGCUUAAUAAUACUUUCAAAUGAGCAGAAACCUUGACAUGAUCUUGAAGGUGUUCAAGAUGGACCAGUCAAAGAAGGAGUUCUUGCCUGAGUUGUAAGGUGCGAAGUUAAGACUUAAAGCUCGACCACGGCAGAAUAGAGAGAAAGGACGAAGGUCGUCCCCUAUGCUUUAGACGUAGGCUCUACAGUAUGCCGUGCUGUGUACCGCACCGAAAGUGUGCCUUGCCAUGAGUCAGUCAAGGGGUACAAGAGUGAUCCAUCAAUGGAUCAUAGGACAGCGGUCAAAGUUAUCCUUAGUAACUAGUGGACUAAGGAAUUUUUCUCGAUUAUGGAGGUGGUAAAAGAGUUCGUCGUAAAAGUUACGUCGAUGCAAGCUUAACACCUAUCCGGAUAGCUCUGAGUAGAGAGACCGGAUACAUAUAAUGGAGCAAUAAUUUAGAAUAGCUCCAAGUAGAACAGUUGUUUGGAAUAGCUCCAAAUAGAGCGUGGUAGCUGCAUCUAGGAGAUGACAUGGAGAUUUGUAAAGCACACACGGAUCUGAAAGGUUCAGACCCGUUGACUAAAACCUCUCUCACAAGCAACAUGAUCAAACAUAAAACUCAUUGAGUGUUAAUCACAUAGUGAUGUGAACUAGACUACUGACUCUAGUAAACUCUCGGGUAUUAGUCACAUGGCGAUGUGACCUGUGAGUGUUAAUCACAUGACAAUGUGAACUAGAUUAUUGACUCUAGUGCAAGUGGGAGACUGUUGGAAAUAUGCCCUAGAGGCAAUAAUAAAAGUGUUAUUAUUAUAUUUCCUUGUUCAUGAUAAUUGUCUUUUAUUCAUGCUAUAACUGUAUUAUCCGGAAAUCGUAAUACACGUGUGAAUACAUAGACCACAAUAUGUCCCUAGUAAGCCUCUAGUUGACUAGCUCGUUGAUCAAUAGAUGGUCACGGUUUCCUGGCUAUGGACAUUGGAUGUCGUUGAUAACGGGAUCACAUCAUUAGGAGAAUGAUGUGAUGGACAAGACCCAAUCCUAAGACUAGCUCAAAGAUCGUGUAGUUCGUUUGCUAGAGCUUUGCCAAUGUCAAGUUUCUCUUCCUUUGACCAUGAGAUCGUGUAACUCCUGGAUACCGUAGGAGUGCUUUGGGUGUAUCAAACGUCACAACGUAACUGGGUGACUAUAAAGGUGCACUACAGGUAUCUCCGAAAGUAUCUAUUGUUUUAUGCGGAUCGAGACUGGAAUUUGUCACUCCGUGUAAACGGAGAGGUAUCUCUAGGCCCACUCGGUAGGACAUCAUCAUUUGCGCAAAUGUGACCAAGGAGUUGAUCACGGGAUGAUGUGUUACAGAACGAGUAAAGAGACUUGCCGGUAACGAGAUUGAACAAGGUAUCGGUAUACCGACGAUCGAAUCUCGGGCAAGUAACAUACCGAUAGACAAAGGGAAUUGAAUACGGGAUCGAUUGAGUCCUUGACAUCGUGGUUCACCUGAUGAGAUCAUCGUGGAACAUGUGGGAGCCAUCAUGGGUAUCCAGAUCCCGCUGUUGGUUAUUGACCGGAGAACGUCUCGGUCAUGUCUGCAUGUCUCCCGAACCCGUAGGGUCUACACACUUAAGGUUCGAUGACGCUAGGGUUAUAAAGGAAGCUUGUAUGUGGUUACCGAAUGUUGUUCGGAGUCCCGGAUGAGAUCCUGGACGUCACGAGGAGUUCCGGAAUGGUCCGGAGGUAAAGAUUUAUAUAUAGGAAGUCCUGUUUCGGCCAUCGGGACAAGUUUCGGGGUCAUCGGUAUUGUACCGGGACCACCGGAAGGGUCCCGGGGGCCCACCGGGUGGGGCCACCUGCCCCGGGGGGCCACAUGGGCUGUAGGGGGUGCGCCUUGGCCUACAUGGGCCAAGGGCACCAGCCCCAAGAGGCCCAUGCGCCAAGAGAAGAGAAAAAGGGAAGAGUCCUAAAGGGGGAAGGCACCUCCGAGGUGCCUUGGGGAGGAUGGACUCCUCCCCAUCCUUAGCCGCACCCCUUCCUUGGAGGAGGGGGCAAGGCUGCGCCCUUCCCCUCUCCCUUGGCCCUAUAUAUAGUGGGGAAAAGGAGGAGCAAUCAUACCUAAGGCCUUUGGUUGCCUCCCUCUCCCUCCCGUGACACAUCUCCUCUCCCGUAGGUGCUCGGCGAAGCCCUGCAGGAUUGCCACGCUCCUCCACCACCACCACGCCGUUGUGCUGCUGUUGGAUGGAGUCUUCCUCAACCUCUCCCUCUCCCGUUGCUGGAUCAAGGCGUGGGAGACGUCACCGGGCUGUACGUGUGUUGAACGCGGAGGUGUCGUCCGUUCGGCACUAGGAUCAUCGGUGAUCUGAAUCACGACGAGUACGACUCCAUCAACCCCGUUCACUUGAACGCUUCCGCUUAGCGAUCUACAAGGGUAUGUAGAUGCACUCUCUUUCUACUCGUUGCUGGUCUCUCCAUAGAUAGAUCUUGGUGACGCGUAGGAAAUUUUUUGAAUUUCUGCUACGUUACCCAACAUAGGGAGGCGUCCUCUCAUGAAUAAUGCCAUGUUCCGAACAGAAGGAAUCAAACUCACUCGAGAAGUACUCUCCACCACGAUCUGACCGGACUCGUUUAAUUUUCCUUUCAAGUUGAUUCUCAACUUCUGCCUUAUAGAUUUUAAAGUAGUGUAGAGCCUCAUCCUUAGUAUUUAACAGAUAAACAUAGCAAUAUCUAGUGGAAUCGUCUAUCAAUGUCAUGAAGUAUCUCUUUCCACCUUUAGUCAACACACCAUUCAUCUCACAAAGAUCAGAAUGUAUGAGUUCUAAUGGUGCCAGGUGUCUCUCCUCUGCGGCCUUGUGAGGCUUGCGAGGUUGCUUAGCUUGCGCACAUGAAAGGCACUUAGAACCUUUGGCUAAAGUGAAACUCGGGAUUAAAUCCAAUUUGGCUAGCCGCGUCAUAACACCGAAACUAAUGUGACAAAGACGUGAAUGCCAAACUUCAGAUUCAUUAACAUUCAAAUGAAUAUGGUUCACGACUUUAUUACAAAAAUCUGCGAGGGAAAGGCGAAACAUGCCUCCGCUCUCAUAACCUUUUCCAACAAAGAGUCCAUAUUUCGUAACAACUAAUUUAUUAGACUCGAAAACCAACUUAAACCCUUCUCUACAUAGAAGGGAGCCACUAACGAGGUUCUUCUUGAUGGCGGGGACAUGUUGCACGUUAUUCAGCUGCACGAUCCUUCCCGAAGUAAACUUCAGAUCGACCGUGCCAACACCAUGAACAGAAGCACUCGCGCCAUUCCCCAUCAAUACGGACCCGUGACCUGUGACCUGGUAAGAAGUGAACAAUGAAAUGUCAGCACACACACAUGAACACCUGCACCUGUGUCCACCCACCAAUCGGUAGGCUGAAACACUGAAAAAACAGUAAAUAAAUUACCGUACCCAGAUGCACCAUUCUCAUUGUUUCCCACAAUCAUGUUGACCGACUUGGAGUCCAGUCCUGGCUUCUUGUACUUGUUUGGGCACUUGUUGGCCCAAUGUUCAACCGAACCAUAAGUAAAGCAGCCCUCAUCCUUCUUGUUCUUCUUGAAGUUCUUCUUGCCCUUCUUUUUAAAGUCGGUAUUGUGUUGGAUACCGUUCUUUCCCUUGUGUUUGUGGGACUUAUGGUUCCUCUGAUUCACCAUGUUGGCGACAGAAGUCCCUUCGGCCCCUUUUCCAUGCGAGUCCUUUGCCCUUGAAUUCUGCUCAACACUCAGAUGGCCAAUGACAUCCUCCAUAGGGAAUUCACGCCUCUGAUGUUUCAGAGUGGUGGCAAAGUUCCUCUAGGAAUUAGGGAGCUUAGCGAUUAUGCAGCCCGCGACAAACUUGCCCGGUAACUCGCACUUAGAAGUUCAAGCUCCUUAACAAUGCAUAUUAUUUCAUGAGCCUGCUCCAAUACAGGACGGUUUUCAACCAUCUUAUAAUCGUGGAACUGCGAUAUAAUAUACAUCUCGAUCCCUGCAUCGGCGGCCCCGAAUUUAGAUUCGAGCGCCUCCCACAAAUCCUUGGCGACAUGCACAUGUAAAUAUGCAUCGACCAGUUUAUCUCCGAUCACGCAAAGAACUGCUCCGAGAAACACAACGGUAGCCUCCUUGAACGCCUUCUCCUGUUCAGGAGCAAUUGUACCCGUGGAGACACCGGUGACCCAGAACAUGUUCAUAGCCGUGAGCCCUAACGUGGUCUUAGUCUGCCAACGCUUAAAGUAUGUACCGGUAAACUUAUCUGGUUUCAGUGCAGCGGCAAAGCCACUUGCCGAGAAAUUCCUGCACAUAAUAGGUUUUUGGAUUGCUGAGUAAAUAGGCAAUUUCUCUAUUAAAUUAAUCCACGAGUAAAUCACUAGCAUGGCAUUGACUAAGUUGAUGACGUACUGACUCUGAUCUAAACAUGCACGUACUAAGCAAACAGUAGACAAAUCUACACAUACUGCUAGUACUACUAAUACGAAAAUAAUCAGGAGCGGGAUAAACGCGUUAUACCUUCCAGUAGGCCAUGCAGACGCCGCGGCGGUGGUGGCGGCAGCAGCAUCCUCGGCGGCCUUCUUGUCGGCUUCAGUUGUGACGCCUGGAUAAUUAGGCUACAGUAAUCUCACGAUAAUGAUGCCACGUCACCAUGGUUACUGUUGUUAAUCUUGCAGUGUAUCACGUCCCUUUCGAAUUCUAACUUAAAAUAAAGUUAAAUGAUAAAAGUUUUCUAAAACUCAAAUCUAAAAUGUUCAAAGUGUAGUAAAUAAAUCAUAUAUGAUUAGGGUGGUGAACCCAAAAUUUUAUAAAAUGCUUAGAUGCACUAAAUAAUAGAAACAAUAGCUAAAUUAUUUAUUUAAUCGUCACUUAAAUGAUUAUAUUAUUGAAAACUACUUUUAAUAAAUAAAAGGAUAAUUGUGGCAGUAAUAUAAUUACUACCACUAAUUUAGGUGCUAGAAUUAUNNNNNNNNNNNNNNNNNNNNNNNNNNNNNNNNNNNNNNNNNNNNNNNNNNNNNNNNNNNNNNNNNNNNNNNNNNNNNNNNNNNNNNNNNNNNNNNNNNNNNNNNNNNNNNNNNNNNNNNNNNNNNNNNNNNNNNNNNNNNNNNNNNNNNNNNNNNNNNNNNNNNNNNNNNNNNNNNNNNNNNNNNNNNNNNNNNNNNNNNNNNNNNNNNNNNNNNNNNNNNNNNNNNNNNNNNNNNNNNNNNNNNNNNNNNNNNNNNNNNNNNNNNNNNNNNNNNNNNNNNNNNNNNCAUGGCCCAGUAGGCCAUCGGGCCGCCAGGCCGGCCCAGCCGCGCCCCACUCCCUUUUCCCCUGGUGCCGAAACCCUAACCCCCUAAACCUGGUUAGUUAGUGUUCAGCCUAUGACAUGUGGGACCCAACGGCCAGUUUGACUAGUCAAACAGUCAAAGCUGACCGCUGACAUCACCCAGACAUCUUGCUGAUGUCAUAAUUGCAUUUUCUAAUUUAAUUAAUUUUGUUCAUUCUGAAAAUGAUUUAAAUCUUUAAAAAUUAAUAUGAAAUAAUCCAUAACUCGGAUGAAAAUACUUUGUACAUGAAAAUUGCUUACAACGACGAGACGAACCCGGAUACGCAGCCCGUUUGUCCGCCACGCAUCCCUAGCAUAGCAAACACGCAGUUUUCCCCCUCCGGCUCCUCUGCCCGAAAACGCGAAACACCGGGGAUACUUUCCCGGAUGUUUUCCCCUUCACCGGUACCACCUCGUACACGUUAGGGCACACCUAGCAUCACGCUUUGUCAUGUCGUGCAUCGUCAUGCAUUUGUUUGCAUUUAUUUAUUGUUUCUUCCCCCUCUUUUCUCGCUAGACACCGAGACCGACGCCGCUGCUACCCAGUACAACUACGGAGUUGACGACCCCUCUCUCUUGCCAGAGCAACCAGGCAAGCCCCCCCUUGAUCACCAUAUAUCGCCUACUCUCCUCUAUACUGCUUGCAUUAGAGUAGUGUAGCAUGUUACUGCUUUCCGUUAAUCCUAUCCUGAUGCAUAGCCUGUCAUUGUUGCUACAACUAUUGAUAUCUUACCUGCAAUCCUAAAUGCUUAGUAUAGGAUGCUAGUUUAUCAUCAGUGGCCAUACAUUCUUGUCCGCCUGCCAUGCUAUACUUUCGGGCCGUGAUCCCUCGGGAGUUGAUCACGGGUAUAUACAUAUACUUUAUACAUGAUACAUGUGAUGACUAAAGUCGGGUUGGCUCGAGGAGUACCCGCGAGUGAUUCACGGAUUGGGGGCUGAAAGGACCUUUGUCCCGACGGCCCUCUGGGUGGAUCUUUGUGGCGGAGCGACAGGGCAGGUUGAGACCACCUAGGAGAGAGGUGGGCCUGGCCCUGGUCGGCGUUCGCGGUGUCUUCAAGAUAACACAUUUAACGAGAUCUUGGUAUUUGAUCUGAGUCUGGCUACUGGCCUAUAUGCACUAACCAUCUACGUGGGGACAGUUAUGGCAAAAACAUGUGAACAUGCUGAACAUGGCAAGUAUGUGAACAUGACAAAAACAUAAUCAGUUCUCAGACUAGUGAAAACUGGAACAUGCUGAAACAGAUAUCAAGUAGGCAUGUUUACGAGCUCGAUGCACUCGCUACAGAGCAAGUCAUGACGAGCUAAGCAUACAUCCAUCAAGAAUACACAAAAUACAAGCUAGACAUAGCAAGAAAAAGAACAUAGCAUGCACGGAUCAACUACAACAUCAUCGGCAAUAUCACUAACAAGUAGACAAUCUGCCCAGAUUCACGAAAUAGCAAAAGUAGAGCUCGAUUGACUCAAGUUAGGGUGCUCCAUAAUUGCAAACAAAUACAUGGAUGGAUAGAGCACUACAAGAUUAACAAAACAUCCUUACUGAUCAUCCUCAAAAGACGCACGUAUCACUAGGAAACAAUAUGAACAUAUGGCCAUAUGAGAUAAACAGUCCAAGGACUUGGUGGAAAUGCUAAGUCCCUGAAAUCAGCAUUAACAAAUGCCUCACUUUGCAAGCUUGCGCUAGUCACCACACACAUCACAAAAAUACAUGGGUUGCACCUCUGGAAAGAUGGCAAAACCCUUAACAAAACAUAUGUAGAGCUCAUGGGCAUAUCAUGCACACAAUAAUCAUGACAAAAAUGACAAAUAUCUACUUGGAGCAGCAAAUCUGACAAUUAUCUCAAAUAGCACUCUUCUAACAGCAUUUGGGGCAUCAAGAUGAACUCAAAUGAAAAUGAUGCAAUGAGAUGAAAUGAUGUACUCUCUGAGAUGAACAUUUUGAUAUGCUAUAUGCCCAAAACGGAGCUACGGAUGCAAAGUUAUGAUGCGAUGAACAGGAGCAAAUGAACUAGGGUUUCGGGGCAAAAGUCAACCCAAACAGGAUCUCAGAUCCAGAUCCGGGGCACGUCUCCCGAAGUUCACCGGAAUCGGAGGUGGGCCGCCGGAGUUGAAGUCGGCCGGAGCGGGGAGGCGCUCUCGGGCUCGCCGUAGUGGGGAGGAGCUUGCCAGCGGGGUCGGUGGCGUGGAGGCGAGGUCCGGCGGGGUNNNNNNNNNNNNNNNNNNNNNNNNNNNNNNNNNNNNNNNNNNNNNNNNNNNNNNNNNNNNNNNNNNNNNNNNNNNNNNNNNNNNNNNNNNNNNNNNNNNNNNNNNNNNNNNNNNNNNNNNNNNNNNNNNNNNNNNNNNNNNNNNNNNNNNNNNNNNNNNNNNNNNNNNNNNNNNNNNNNNNNNNNNNNNNNNNNNNNNNNNNNNNNNNNNNNNNNNNNNNNNNNNNNNNNNNNNNNNNNNNNNNNNNNNNNNNNNNNNNNNNNNNNNNNNNNNNNNNNNNNNNNGCCUGAGCUCGGCCGGCGACCGGCGCCGGGGAAGAUGAGCGCGGGGCGCUCGGGCGCGGCCGCGGGGGGAAGUCGGGCGGCGGGCGGAGGCAACGGGCCUCGAGGGCCCCUCCUGGGCCUCCCGGGCCGGCGAUGUGGGGCGACCGACGGGCGAGUGGCGGAGCGCCACGUGGCAGCCGGAGACAGGCCGGGGGAAGCGGGGCGGACACGUCCGUCGGUAGCGACUCUGUCCGGUGGCGCGCGAUGCUGAUUUGGAUCUAGGGUAUUUCGCGGGGGAAGGAGAAGGAGAUUUUCGGGGGUGGUCUUUAAAUAGGCAUAGAGGGAGCUAGAAGAGUCCAAAUGAGGUGCGGUUUUCGGCCACGUGAUCGUGAUCGAACGCUCUAGGUGAUGGAGAAGGUUUAGGUGGGUUUUGGGCCAACUUGGAGGGGUGUUGGGCUGCAACACACACGAGGCCUUUUUGGUCCCUCGGUUAACCGUUGGAGUAUCAAACGAAGUCCAAAUGAUACGAAACUUGACAGACGGUCUACCGGUAGUAAACCAAGGCCGCUUGGCAUGUCUCGGUCCAAUCCGGAAAUGUUUAAUCCCCACACACGAAAGAAAGGUAGAAAUGACCACCGGAGGAGAACGAAGCAUCGGAAUGCAAAACGGACAACGGGGAAAUGCUCGGAUGCAUGAGAUGAACACGUAUGCAAAUGCAAUGCACAUGAUGACAUGAUAUGAGAUGCAUGACAACGACAACAACACACGGAGACAAAAACCCGAACCUGAGAAAAUAAAAUAACUUAAGGCCGGAAACGGCAAGAUUUGGAUUACAUAUUGGGUAAAUCACAUCCGGGGUGUUACAAUCACCAGCAGACUUCGAAGAUAUUCUCCGAUCUACUCCCGAGAACUUGUGUUGAUUUAUUUUGCAGUCCCUUAACACCAUUGAAUCCUUAUGGAUAAAUGUGUACCCUCGCCGUUCAUACUUUCAUCCCUAGUUGUUCUUGUUAUUACAAGAUACCCGAAAGUAUUCUCCGACUUUUGAGAAUCCUUUUUCCGACUGCCUUGCAGUUCCUUGCCACCUGAAUACCCCUACGGAUAAUUGCUCGCCCUUAUCGAGUAUCCGCUCAUCCCCAGUUGUUCAGGUGUUUCACAAUUGUCUUCGAAGUACUAUUCGAUCCUCCAAAAUUCCUCAGUAGCUUAUUGCUCUGCAAUACUUGUCUGCUUGCAUUAUGGAUGCUUUCCAUAUGUCUGGCAAUAUUCGUUAGUAUCCUUAGACACCGUCAUUUUGAUACUAUUGACUCAACAUGAGUGCGAAUGAACGCAAUCAUCACUUGAUCCUUUUAAAUUAUCUUUCUGGCUCGGACGUCAUUUUUGAACAUAAGCUUGUUCUCGACCAAUCUGUUUGCCGUCAAUUGUACCCUUAGGUCUAUUGAACUUAUCCACCCUUGAUCAGAGCGUCUGCUUCUGAUCCUUCUAUUUGGAAAUCAUAAUUCCUUUGAUAUCUAAGCAUCGAAUCAUUCAGGUGUCCUAUAAUCUGAUGCCCUUGCAUCCUUCCUUCAAUUGAUAGUAUGCCGAUGCUCACAUCAGCUCCGCUAUGGACCGUCAGAUCCUUUAUUGGAUUAUUAUUCGAUAGUGUCCUCCUUGUUCAAUAACCUUGUGAGUUUUUCCUCGGAUACAUAAUGCUUUUGGUAAAUUGUAUCCUCUGUUUUCUCAACCAUGCUCUGUUUUAGAGCUGGUGGUAUUUACGAUUGAAGCUGGUGGUAUAUGUUUCCACGAUACCCUGAUGGGUUGAACCUACGCCUUUCUUAAUCUGUGUGAACCCGAAAGUUUUCACGGGUCAUACUCCUCUGGUAAUUCACCAGGUAGGUUUUGACACUGAAAUCAUUUUUAUCUAGAGCAGUGAAUGAAAGGUUAUGCAUUGAAGAAGUGGGAGUUGACCUUGAACUUUGUGUUCAUGCCCAUGGACACGAUGUAGAUCUUAUCAUUAGAGCUUCUCUUAAAUUAAACUUUCCCUUGGUAUAAGUUCUUAUAUCUGGGACCCGGCCUUUUGCAAUCGUGGUUUCGACCAUAUGUAUUUCUUUGACCCAUUUCACGGGCAAGUUUCAGCACUUGUCUUCUAUAGAUCAAUACACCAGUCCAACCUUUACUUUGAUAUUCCGUCGAGUAUUACACCAUGGUACCUCGAUAAUAUCAAGUACUACAUAACCUCUUAUGAGUUCUUCAUCGAGUACUACAUUCUCACUGAUUCCAAUUUUUCACGGGCUCUGAGUUAUUAAACACUCAAAGACCGAUAACUGAACCGAGUCCACACUACGGUUCAACAACUAUUAUAAAUCUUCUUUGCUUACGAGUUUGUACCCGAUCACGUCCUACCUACCCUAUUUGGCUAUAUCAUUACUGUGAUGAUUUUAACUGUGCUACCUGGUCCUUAUUCUCGAAGCAGAACUUUCGACGAUGAGCUAAGCUUACGACGAUCUUCCUCAUCAUACCAUUUUUCCUUAAACAAUGAGCUUGGUUUCGAGUUUAUGUCAUACCCUUGGGUUCAAGCAAGGUUAGCACACCCGGCUGGAGGCCCUAUGGUUAUAGAUUCCUUUUCAGCAAGGUUAUCCAUUCUUCCAUGAGGAAAUUGUAAGACUUAUUCUACAAGUUAUUCCUGAUGGAUCCUUUGUGUUUCCAAAGUCUGACCUUUGCCUGAAUACCAUGUCAAAGCUAUCUCGAAGCAUAUAUAUGAUACUCCAAUUUUCAACAAGAACAUUUAAAUCAUAAUGUUAAAUGUUUCCUGCUCAAUUAUCCAAACACCGUUGUACGGGUAAUGUCAUGAAAAUUCUCUCCCCUACCUAAAGAGUUUUCUACAUUAUAUCCUGUCAUGGAUAAUAUGUUCUGCUUGUCCUUGGGAAGAAUAUACCCUUGAAAUAUGUGUUUAAGCACAUUUUCCUUUCCAUUGUUCUGUUUAAAACCUGAUAAUCACUUUUCCUUUCCAUUGGUUUGUUUAAACCUUCUUGUGAUCUAUAUUGUAUAAGCAGUAAUAUAUCCUUGCUUAUGUGAACACCUCUUUGUACCACUCUGUUAGAAAGACCCUGUUACUUUUGUUGAUGGCAUUCCGGUAACCACCGAUGGACGAGAAUCUCGCCUACUGGUCCGCCUCGUUCAACGAGCAGGAAAAUGGUUCUCUUCGUCCCUUGCCCUUGGUACUGAUGUGUUGCCGACAUGACCGACAGACUAUCCUCUGACAUGCCUUGCUUACAUGAUCGUGCAAGAUGUCACCGACCUUCCUACUUUUAACCACAUGGUGGGCCCAUAACCCACGGUUCCAUAGGAUCGAAACCUAACUCUCCUGUACACCUUGUUAACAAAGUUAUCCCUUGCUCUUGGUUUCGUAGGUAAUUCACGAGCCACCUUCCUAGUGCUCCAUUCUGGCAUCAGAUGCAACACUUACUCUCGCUGCUCUGAACCCUUUCUCACUAUGGUUCAGACCUUGAGCAACUAUCUAUCCGCUUGGACCCUCUCAUUGUACCUUCGUACCUUACUCUUGAUGUAUUUUAUAUGUUCAACUCGAGAGGUAGUCUUAUGCUCAUUCAUGGGUUAACCCCCAGCUUGUUUCCCUCAUAAGCAUUCUGACGUAGCCAAGUUGCCUAUUACCUAUUCGUAAGUACGUUGGAGUUCCGAAGAAAGGAUGACGACUUGGUCAUGGUGACUUAAAUCAGAGAAAUGAAGACAUCAAUGAAAGGGAUCAACCUCUUCGAGAAGAGAAACCAAGACCGAGAAGACUCGAUAGAAUUUCAUAGCCACGUCUUUCCCUUACUCCCCUCUUAAAUCUCGGGACGAGAUUUCUUGUAGUGGAGGAGAAUUGUGAUGCCCGGAUAAUUAGGCUACAGUAAUCUCACAAUAAUGAUGCCACGUCACCAUGGUUACUGUUGUUAAUCUUGCGGUGUAUUACGUCCCUUUCGAAUUCUAACUUAAAAUAAAGUUAACCGAUAAAAGUUUUCUAAAAGUCAAAUCUAAAAUGUUCAAAGUGUAGCAAAUAAAUCAUAUAUGAUUAGGGUGGUGAACCCAAAAUUUUAUAAAAUGCUUAGAUGCACUAAAUGAUAGAAACAAUAGCUAAAUUAUUUAUUUAAUCGUCACUUAAAUGAUUAUAUUAUUGAAAACUACUUUUAAUAAAUAAAAGGAUAAUUGUGGCAGUAAUAUAAUUACUACCACUAAUUUAGGUGCUAGAAUUAUAUUUCAUAAAACUAAAAUAAUAUGAAUUAAAACCGUAAAAGAAAAAUGUUAUAAAUAGUUAAACAAAAAAAAGAAAUAGAAGAUCCCCCCCCCCCGCGCUGGACCAUGCCCCAGCAGGCCAUCGGGCCGCCAGGCCGGCCCAGCCAUGCCCCACUCCNNNNNNNNNNNNNNNNNNNNNNNNNNNNNNNNNNNNNNNNNNNNNNNNNNNNNNNNNNNNNNNNNNNNNNNNNNNNNNNNNNNNNNNNNNNNNNNNNNNNNNNNNNNNNNNNNNNNNNNNNNNNNNNNNNNNNNNNNNNNNNNNNNNNNNNNNNNNNNNNNNNNNNNNNNNNNNNNNNNNNNNNNNNNNNNNNNNNNNNNNNNNNNNNNNNNNNNNNNNNNNNNNNNNNNNNNNNNNNNNNNNNNNNNNNNNNNNNNNNNNNNNNNNNNNNNNNNNNNNNNNNNNNNNNNNNNNNNNNNNNNNNNNNNNNNNNNNNNNNNNNNNNNNNNNNNNNNNNNNNNNNNNNNNNNNNNNNNNNNNNNNNNNNNNNNNNNNNNNNNNNNNNNNNNNNNNNNNNNNNNNNNNNNNNNNNNNNNNNNNNNNNNNNNNNNNNNNNNNNNNNNNNNNNNNNNNNNNNNNNNNNNNNNNNNNNNNNNNNNNNNNNNNNNNNNNNNNNNNNNNNNNNNNNNNNNNNNNNNNNNNNNNNNNNNNNNNNNNNNNNNNNNNNNNNNNNNNNNNNNNNNNNNNNNNNNNNNNNNNNNNNNNNNNNNNNNNNNNNNNNNNNNNNNNNNNNNNNNNNNNNNNNNNNNNNNNNNNNNNNNNNNNNNNNNNNNNNNNNNNNNNNNNNNNNNNNNNNNNNNNNNNNNNNNNNNNNNNNNNNNNNNNNNCUCCUUUCGCCACUAUCGUACGCCGUCGCCGGUAGUCGGCCACGCCCGCUCAAUCCCGCUCCAGCCGCGGCUUCGCCUUGUCUCCCGCGGUCCGGUUUGGCCUCAGCGCGGGCAAUGCCAACGCCCCUGCGCCCGUAACCACUCCGGCCAGUGCCCGCCAAGGCCCUAUAGGCCUAUGACAGCUAGGCCCCACCCCAUGUGCCAAUGACAGGUGGGCCUAGCCCCAGAACGAAAACGAUUUAUAAAUAUAUAUAUAUAUAAUUAAUUAAAAAAUAAUGAAAUUAAUUAAUUAAUUAAUUAAUUAACCUAAUUAAUUACAGUUAAUAAACCUAAUUAAUUAGUUAGACUAACUAAACCUGGUUAGUUAGUGUUCAGACUAUGACAUGUGGGACCCAACGGCCAGUUUGACUAGUCAAACAGUCAAAGCUGACCGCUGACAUCACCCUGACAUCUUGCUGAUGUCAUAAUUGCAUUUUCUAAUUUAAUUAAUUCUGUUAAUUCUGAAAAUGAUUUAAAUCUUUAAAAAUUAAUAUCAAAUAAUCCAUAACUCGGAUGAAAAUACUUUCUACAUGAAAAUUGCUCAGAACGACGAGACGAACCUGGAUACGCAGCCCGUUCAUCCGCCAUGCAUCCCUAGCAUAGUAAACACGCAGCUUUCCCCCUCCGGCUCCUCUGCCCGAAAACGCGAAACACCGGGGAUACUUUCCCGGAUGUUUUCCCCUUCACCGGUACCACCUCAUACCGCGUUAGGGCACACCUAGCAUCACGCUUUGUCAUGUUGUGCAUCAUCAUGCAUUUGUUUGCAUUAUAUUUAUUAUUUCUUCCCCCUCUUCUCUACUAGACACCGAGACCGACGCCGCUGCUACCCAGUACGACUACGGAGUUGAUGACCCCUCUCUCUUGCCAGAGCAACCAGGCAAGCCCCCCCCCCUUGAUCACCAUAUAUCGCCUACUCUCCUCUAUACUGCUUGCAUUAGAGUAGUGUAGCAUGUUACUUCUUUCCGUUAAUCCUAUCCUGAUGCAUAGCCUGUCAUUGUUGCUACAACUAUUGAUACCUUACCUGCAAUCCUAAAUGCUUAGUAUAGGAUGCUAGUUUAUCAUCAGUGGCCAUACAUUCUUGUCCGUCUGCCAUGCUAUACUAUCGGGUCGUGAUCACUCGGGAGUUGAUCACGGGUAUAUACCUAUACUUUAUACAUGAUACAUGUGAUGACUAAAGUAGGGUUGGCUCGAGGAGUACCCGUGAGUGAUUCACGGAUUGGGGGCUGAAAGGACCUUUGUCCCGACGGCCCUCUGGGUGGAUCUUUGUGGCGGAGCGACAGGGCAGGUUGAGACCACCUAGGAGAGAGGUGGGCCUGGCCCUGGUCGGCGUUCGCGGUGUCUUCAAGAUAACACGUUUAACGAGAUCUUGGUAUUUGAUCUGAGUCUGGCUACUGGCCUAUACGCACUAACCAUCUACGUGGGGACAGUUUUGGGCACUCGACGUCGUGGUAUCAGCCGAAGCCUUUGUGAUGUCAGCGACUGAGCGGCGUGCGCCAGGUUGGACCGCGUAAAGCAACUUCCUUUAUAAUGGAGGUUGCUAGGUCUGCCCACCGGCCGCGUUCGCAACGUGCAGGUGUGCAAAGGGCGAUGGGCCCAGACCCCUGGACCAUAGGAUUUAGACCGGCGUGCUGACCUCUCUGUUGUGCCUAGGUAGGCUGCGACGUGUUGAUCUUCCGAGGCCGGGCAUGACCCAGGAAAGUGUGUCCGGCCAAAUGGGAUCGAGCGUGUUGCGUUAUGUGGUGCACCCCUGCAGGGAAGUUAAUCUAUUCGAAUAGCUGUGAUCUUCGGUAACAGGAUGACUUGGAGUUGUACCUUGACCUUAUGAGAACUAGAACCAGAUACUUAAUAAAACACACCCUUCCAAGUGCCAGAUACAACCGGUGAUCGCUCUCUCACAGGGCGACGAGGGGAGGAUCAUCAGUUAGGAUUAUGCUAUGCGAUGAUACUUGAAGGACUUCAGUCUACUCUCUUCUACAUGCUGCAAGACGGAGGCUGCCAGAAGCGUAGUCUUCGAAAGGAUUAGCUACCCCCCCCCCCCUUAUUCCGGCUUUCUGUAGUUCAGUCCACAUAUAAUAGCCUUAUUCCAGUUGAUACCAAUGCAUACAUAUGUAGUGUAGCUCCUUGCUUGGGAGUACUUUGGAUGAGUACUCACGGUUGCUUUCUCCCUCUUUUCCCUCCUUUUCUAUACUCGAUUGUUGCGACCAGACGAUGGAGCCCAGGAGCCAGACGCCACCGUCGACGACGACUACUACUACUUGGGAGGUGCCUACUACUACGUGCAGCCCGCUGAUGACGGCCAGGAGUAGUUUAGGAGGAUCCCAGGCAGGAGGCCUGCGCCUCUUUCGAUCUGUAUCUCAGUUUGUGCUAGCCUUCUUAAGGCAAACUUGUUUAACUUAUGUCUGUACUCAGAUAUUGUUGAUUCCGCUGACUCGUCUAUGAUCGAGCUCUUGUAUUCGAGCCCUCGAGGCCCCUGACUUGUAAUAUGAUGCUUGUAUGACUUAUUUUAUUUGUAGAGUUGUGUUGUGAUAUCUUCCCGUGAGUCCCUGAUCUUGAUCGUACACGUUUGCGUGUAUGAUUAGUGUAUGAUUGAAUCGGGGGCGUCACAUCAGCUUUCUCGGCGGCAGCACGGUCGGCGUCGGUGGACAUGGUGAUGAUGAAGGCGACGCGGACGUAGAGGAAGUAGACGGUCGGAAGCGAGCAGUCGCGUAAUCGCUGCCCAAAAACCUAUUCGCCCCUCACCCCGUACAGGAACCAGAGGGCGUGGUUUCGGAGACCUGCUCUCUCGUCGACCGUGUACGCGGCGGACGGGAUGGAGUCACCGGCGGCAGCAGCAGCAAAGGAACGACGGUGGGCGUGGGCGUGAGCAGAUGUGAUCUGUUCGUGGCGGCUAGGGUUAGGAGACACCACAUACUUAUAGGCGCAGCCGCGUGGAGAGACGUGGGCUCGACCCACGUUCGAGUCCGUGACAGCCCACGAUCCGACGUCUUAAAUCGUGGCCCAGCUGUCAGAGAACGCUCCGUUAGUGACUGGCAAAAAUAAGCGUGUAGGUGUGAGCUCGGCUCGGCUCAAUCCCGCAACCCGUGGCGCGUCAUGAUGUGGCGUGGCGAGGCGGGCGGCGGAGGAGGAGUGCACGAGGGCCUCUUCUCUUCUCAAGCUACAAUAGCAUGUAGAAGAGAAACCCUUAUAAACCACUCCAACUCUCCUUCCACUUUCGGGGUGAGACUAAACUUUUCACCACACCUAGUGCCAUAUAACCCACAUGGGCCCUUAGAGAUUUUUCAGAAAUUGCUAUAUGGGCCUAGAGCCCAUCUCAAAUUUCAGCAAAAUUUGCUUCCAUCAUCUUCUUUAUAGAUCUGUUCUUUCUUUCUCUUGGUACAAAACUGACCGUUCAUCUCUGUUCGUGCCGCUGUGCAGUCGACCCACCCAGCUGGUGCACGCCGGAGGCGGUUUGCCAGGACCCGGUUACGCCGGGAAACAGGGAAACGUGCAAAAGCAUCUGCAAAAGUUUUGGCUACAACCCGGAACAAGCCUACUGCAAUCCCGAUCCCACUCCGACGUGCAGCUGCAUCUAUUAAGCGCAAGAAAUAACAAUGUCACUGGAGUGGCAGAUGAUGGAUGACACAGCUAGCAAACUCAUUUUUAUGUGUAUCUUGUCUCAUGUAAAAAUCGGAACAGAUCAUGGUCCAGGCCUGACCGUCAAUAAAGAUUAGAAAAGUUUCUUAAAUAGGCGUGUUGCAGAAUUAAUAAGUUAACAUCUGGUAAACACAAGGGAACGAAAUGUCUUAACUAAAGACUUGAUAUUUACUCCUUGAUCCAGCGGACAAAAAAUAUAAAGGCAACGAACACCCCUUCACGUCAUAGCCCAACGGGAUAGCUAUCACUACAGGAAAAAAAUUAUAAGCCGAGUGCCCAAAACACUAGGCUCAUGCCGUUUUACGCUUGGUUUAUAUAUAAGCCGAGUGUUUUUCACGGCUUACAGUACACGGCUUUUUAAGAAGCAUCUUGCGUUCAUGCGCGAAAUACUUGACCACGGCAUUGACGCGAGCCUCGUAAGGCAUGUCUUGGACAAUCUUCUUGGCAAUCUCCUCCACGACCUCAUUAGCUUCAUCCUCCAUACCCUCAACGCAAGUAAAGAAGUCCUACCAAAGUGCAUAGAUUCGCAUAAGACAAUUAUCAAUGCAAUGAUUUGGAAUAUUGGCAAAGAAAUAACUAAGAAAAUUGACAAAGAAUUUUAUCCAAAAAUCGUUGACCACCCGCUCAGCAGCACUGCGGUACUCCCUGUCCCAAUUGUCUUUCGUAUCUGGAGCGCGUUUCCAGUGCUCCCAAGACCAAGCUGGCUCCUCCUCACCGUCUCCUAUGGGAAGUAGGCCGGGGUAAUAAUGCCUACAAAGACAUCCAAUAAUGGUGCUUGGCUGUCGUGGCGGGAUUGUGCCUUCUGGAAUAACCACCAAGGCCCUGCACAAUGGAAAGGCAAGUAAGUUAGUAUCUGCAAAAAACUUGAAUGUAAAGACAUAGUUAAGAGUCCACAGAAGCACUUACCUCACACCAACAGGUUUAACAAUGAUCCCCUUAUGUGGAUAUGGUCGCGAAGGGAGCGUGGACACCCCACGCAACCAGAUUUUGGUCUCCUGAAGAACCGGCCAUUCCAUGUCCUUUGCCGAUUCCUCCACCUCAUACUCUCCCUCCUCCAACUCCUCCUCCUGCACAUGUUAGUCGAUCCAGAAAGUUUACUUAAUAUCCUGGAAGACAGAGAUCCUCACCUCACGUCGGUGCUACGUGCUAUGUGGGCUGAGGAUAAUUGGCCAUGAGCAAUUUAGUUGGAGGUGUCCCUGGGAGUCUUCUUCCUCCAAACUGACGAAGUUGACAAGAACAUCGAGUACCU